UUUUUUUUUUUUUUUUUUUUUUGGCUAUCGUUAUUCAUGGAAAACAAUUAUCUUGCUAUAAGUGAUUAUAUCGAAUUCAUGAUUCAUCUCGAGGUUAACAAUAUUUGAUCACUACAUCACUUCUUGCGACCCUUUUAAUUUACACCAUUGGUAUGCCAGCUCCAAGAAAGUAAACGGCCCUCGGUAAAACCAGCAUUACAUUUAAUAUGCAGAUUAGCACGUGACUAACUACUAAUUGCGAUAAGAACAAGAAGGAAAGUCAUCAAAAGCAACCUCCUCUAUUAAUUGCCUAUUUAUACCAAACCUCACCGUGCCAUUUUAUAUGAAUUCUGUGAAGUAGUCUAUAACUACAGGCAUAUAGUAUCAGGCAGUACAAUCUGUGCUCCAAGAACUUCUUCCCAUGGCCACCGACAAAGCAGUUGCAGCUGAUAAGUAUAGGUCUUUCUCUACACGAAGAAGGACAAAAUUUUGAGUGGAGACAUGGUGGCCCUCCAAUUUACGAUUCUGUCAACAAGGUUUUUGAAGAAGCCGAACCAAGUGCUUGGAAUUUCUCAUCUUUUUCAAACACCGCUUUUCUCUUUUAUGUAUUUAUCUGCUGGUAUCAAAAUGAGUAAACCCUGCUCCAACGUUUACAUGUUUAUCAACAUGGUUUGCAGGAAUGGCCAAAAGGGUCCCUAGAAGAGGUAGUUCAAAAUGCUAUAAAAGUCGUGGGAGAUGGAGCUGUCUCACAAGACUCGUAUACAAGAUUUCAGGACCAUAAAUCCUGAGAAAUUCAAGCUUAUCGUCAAUGGUAGGACAAAUUAUCACAUAAACAACACUAAGGCAACCCUCGAUGAUUUUUUUUCCUCAUCUGGAUGCUGUAUGAUUCAGUAUUCAUUUAUCACCAUCAUGAAUCAUGCGAGAUGUCGAUCAGCUAAUGUUUUCCACGCACGCAGCACACAUGUUCUCGUGUUUUUGUAUCCAGUCUUUUCUUGAACGGGGGACUUAAAAAACCAAGGGAUUGCUGAUUAUGUGAUUUAACCACGUCUUAAACACCAAAGGUUACUUUCUUAUCUAUUUGGAUAUUCAUUCAAAAAAAUCCAAAAAAUAUAUAGUAGUACACCUCUUUGGCUUGGAUGGAUCUUUCCUUUUUAACUCCUCAUGUAGCUGAGUUGGAUAACCACUAGCCUUUGGGUUGAUGGCCUCCACCAAAGCUUUAAAGCUGGAUGGGGUGGAAGCCAAGGGUUUCAAACCAAUUGCCACAUUAAAGUGGCUUAUCAUAUGAGCCAAUCUAAAUAAUCCUGAGUUUUUUACUGUAACAUGAAAAGUAGUGGUAUUAUCAUAUGGGCUAAUAAUUUGGUUUGGGAGUGCAGGAAAAGAGGGAUUAUCAGGGGAAGAAACACUAAAAGCUGGGGAGCUACAAUGCGUUGUUAAAGAGUUUCAAUGCCAGAGGAAUUCAAGUACUACAAAGCAGAAGAAGAGAGCUUUGAAUCUUCUCAUGAUGCAUUCCGCUCAGCCUUUCCUCGUGGAUUUGCAUGGGAAGUAAUCAGUGUUUAUUCCGGACCCCCAGUGGUCACCUUCAAAUUCAGGCACUGGGGCUACUUUGAAGGACCUUUCAAAGGCCAUGCCCCUACUGGGAGAUGGUCCAGUUCUAUGGCCUCGCAGUCAUGAAGGUAAGCAAAGCCCUCGCGCGUUACCCCUCCCACAUCAUUUUUCCAUUUGUUUGCCAAUAACAGUAAACAACUGGACAAAUAGAUUGUCUCCGUUGCGCGAAAUAAUUAGUGAAAAAAGUGAUGUAAUAUCAACAAUUGAUUUGGUAUUUUUCUUUGAAUAUUUAUGGCAGGUUGAUGAAUCAUUGAGGGCAGAAGACGUGGAAGUUUCUAUGAUCCUGCGGAGCUAUUCGCGCGGGUUGCUUAAGCGAUCGGCGGUAUCUCUGACUCUGCCAACAUUUCAGCGCCUUCAGGUCAUGGCUGUCCUUUUCACAAUUUAGAUAAUGUUAAAAUCGUUCCAUCCUUUCUGGACCAAAGGCAGAAGUCCAACAAAUUUCCUUUUCAAGAAGUGGACAUUUGUCUUUCCAUAAAUUUUUUUUUUUUUUUUUUUUUAAAAAGGAGGACCGUCCGUGUAUCUUUUAAUUUACUUGGAAGGGCCAUCCGUGUUGUUCAUCAAUCAAGACUGCUGUGAUUUAUUCAACUUUUGUCAUUAUUGCUACGCUGCUUUAAUACGAAAUCGAAGCUAAUCGAAGCUCUAAAAAUAUCUCAUCAUAAGCAUGGAUGCUUAUAAAAGCCGAAUACAAAUCAACUCUGUCGUUUUGACACCACCUGCAUAAAUAAUAGAAAGUGUUUACUCCACCAGAAACUACGUCUGUAGAAUCGAAAUUUGGCCCUUGAAGUUCCCGUGGCAUAUUCCUGGAGGUGAAGGUAGAAAAGCUUAACCCUACGGUCUGUAGAAACUGCUGAUUGAAGACGUCUUACUUCAGCUCCGUAGAUAUCAAAAGAAUUCAGACUGUUGAGAUUAGGCAAGAAACAAAUUCUACGAAAGAUUUUUAAGUGAAAUUAUAGAAGUACAGUUGAAUGCUUAGAGAGGGAAAAAUGGGGAAAAAAAAAAGAAAGUAUACUACAUCUAAUUCGGUACAACAACACAGAAUUACUUGAGUGUUGACCUACUCAAAUAGGGUGUUACCAAUGAGAUUGACAACUACAUACAAACUACAGCAGAAAAAAAUAUCCCUAUUCCUAAAAGAGCAGCUCGCUGCGGUGAAAAUCAGAAUUGUUGCUUAUACCAAGGUGGCUUUCGUCAACAAGGGCCAGAGUCAACAUUUCUGUGCAGAAUUGGUCGUCUGGUUUUAGCCUUAACGCCUGUUUGAGAAAGUGGGGAGGUGAGACUGAAUGAGAACCAGGGAAACAGAACAAUCAAAAUGGUCGACACCAUCUUUUCAGUGGCCUCUCCAUGGAUUUUAUUAUGACUAAAGAACAAUGCGUUUGUAAAAUUCAGGGAAAUAUAGUCAUGUUUUGAUUGUCAUUCUAAUGGUUCUUGCAAGCCAGCGCUAGAGCAAAAAUAGUAUACCUUGUGAUAAUAGGCAAUUGCAGCAGUAAAGUUGUUCUGCAGAAAGAUUGCAUUAUCAGCGAAAUAUUUAAAACAUGCUUGUUCCAUAGAUACAACAGGAGGCAAAGCAAACCUCAGCGAAGUUAAUUACCUGCAGGUGGUAAGUGUAUGCAAGACCAGCAUACGUACUCAAACUUCUUGUUGACAAUGCAAGAGCUUUUUCAUAGUAUGUUACUGCUUCAUUGUACCUCCUGAUACGGAAUAGGUUACAUUAGUUAGUUUAAACAAGGCUUUUUCUUUUCGUUCAGUCUUCAAUAAAAUAUAUUUAUUUCUAAGAGUACUCAAAGAUGCACCUAUAAACUCAAAAUAAAAUAGACAUACUUUAGUUUUCUUAGUGCAUGAGCAAGAUUGACAACGGUUGGUUCCCAUGUCUCACUUAAAGAGGAUGCAAUGAGACCUAAUGUCCUCUCAAACCACCACACAGCCUUGUCGUACCUGAAGGACAAUGGGAUGAGAAAGUAAGUAGACUUAGUAAGAUUCAAAGAUAUGAUUAACAAAUUGACAAGUCAAAGAAAUUUAUAAACCAGGACAUACCGAAUAUUUUAGGUCCAAGUUAAAUGGAUGUAAAGAAGCUAAAUAAUUCCCUUAAUAUGAAAUUGGAUAUCUUGCUAGUUAUUCUUUUCCCAAAAUAUUAUCAAUUUUUACUAUCAUCACACUGUUGUAUCUAAACUCCACCUAGCUUGGGGAUCCUCAUCUUCCCUUUCAUCCUCGAAUUUCGCAAUUAGCAAAUGUGCUAAAACUAAGAUGAUUGUACCAAAUUAAACUGUAUUAAUCUGUUCAGGUUCCAGUAUCAAAUUUUAGGCCAGAUAGUCUAAAGCCAACUGAAAUGUGUAGCAGUGACCAAAUCACCAUGUUUAAAAAACCUAGACAAACUAUAUUGCUUUUCAGUAGCUAAUGUUCUAUAUCCUAAUACUGUGACUAGUAAUAAACAAACAGGCUAACAAUUUUAUAAAAAGUGCACGAACUACAACCAUCAAGAGGGAAAGAGGUACUACAGCAAAAAUACUCAUCAGCAGAAAAACAAUUUUCAGGGAAUUGCUUCUUACUCCUUCAUAUUAUAGGCAACAACUCCAAGUUCAUUGUAGACAAGUGGAUCUGAAGGCCAUAUUGCCCUAGCCUGCAUAAAAAACUGAAAACAAAAUCCUAUCAGAAUACAGAAUAUAAAGAUUGCCUGCCAAAACAUUGAAGUUGGGUUUGUCUUUUCCCUUAAAAAAAUUGCAAAAUCGGCAAAGAGAUGUGAUACACACUCUCCAACUCAGCAGAACUCGUGAUCACCUGCUCAGCCAGUUUGAAACUGUGAGUUCGCAUGUAUUCCAUCCCAAUAUACAUAGUAGGCAGAUGGCACCUGGAAUAAGAGAAUAUCAACAUUCAACCUGUAAAAGACAAUUAAUACUCCAUGAGUAAUAAGAGGGCCCUCGUAAUGCACAGCUUCAAAGUAUUUUCAUCAGUGUCAAAAAUGUGAAGUGCACUUGUAACUACUGAAUCAUUUUCAUACAACUCUAUGGAACAACCAAUAAAGCUUGUGAAAAUUGAAAUGACUGACAGAAGCUACUCUUAGGAGUAAUUAGAGAAGAUUAGCUCCUCUAAGAAAAGACUCAACAUCAAAAUAACUUUUAAAAAUGAAUUGUGCUGCAAACAGGUUCAGCUAAUAUAGACUCCACAUUGAAAAAAACUCCUCCAAACGAUCUGGCAAAAAAAUUCAGUUAACAUACAGAUCACAAAAAUUUGGCAGACAGUUCAUAUUGAACUUAAGAAAGAGAGAUUUACCCAGGAAAUAAACGUGCAGCAGUGCGAUAAGCAGACAUUGCUUGAUCUCCUUCUUCUUGAGCAGCAUAAGCAUUCCCAUAACCUAUCCAAGCAGGGGCAAAAGACCCAUCUAAACUUGUUGCCUUGCUGCAAAAAUGACAGAACUAAAUAGGAAUCAAACAAAAAUUCAUACACUGCACCAAUUUGAUCUGCUGCAUAAGCUAAGCAAAUAAAUGGUUUGGGCAGCUUCAGUUGCAGCCAACUAGUUUCUCUUCUACUUAAAAAAUAAAAGAUAAAGAAAGAAAGAAGAGGAAGAACAAAGUAGACUGUUAGUCUUACAAGUUAAGGAAUGUUGAGCAACUCCUGCCACAUCAGUUUAAACAGUGGCAUACCAAGGUGCCACAUGGGUUUAAACAGUGACAUACCAAGCUUAUUCAAUAGUAGAGUUACUUGUAUAAUAUUCCAGGAGAUAUGUUAUGCAUUAGAAUCUAUUCCAAGUAUUCAUCCAUUAUACACUGAAACCACUGAACACUAGCCUCUAUAGCAUACAUCAGUUACUUUAAAAAAAUAAUAAUAAUAAGAACCACAACCUGAGUCUUCUACUACCACUAGUCAGUACCUGAAAUAGCGACGUGACUGAUCAAACUUCUUGAUGCAAUAGUAGUAGCAACCUACAGCAAACCAUGACAGGGCCCUACAGAAAGGUAUCCAAAUUAGUCAAUCAGCUGUAAAGAUGAAGUGGAAAUGAACAUCAAAGGAAGACAAAAAGGUUCAUACAAUGAUUUUCAACCAGUUGUCUCAAAUACAAAAAAGAAAAAAUAAUUUCUCUGAAGAGAAGAUAAUUACAAGCCAUCAAAAUGCUGAUUGCUGCCAUUAUUCAUAUACUUAGCCUCUACCUAAUUAUAUCAGAUUCAAAUUAGAAAAAUGUUCCAUUCCGUCUAUGAUGAAUAGAUCAAAUUCAGAAAAUGAACCACAGGAAAGAAUUCUCAAAAAUACUCUCCUUGACACACAAACAGCAAUAUGCACUUCAUUCAGUCACAAUCAAAAAAGUUGGGACCUCAAAAUAUAUGAGAAUGAUUUAGCACCUAUCAUCGUUAAGUAUAAAUCAUGAAUAUGUGCUUUUAUUUAUCCAGGGAGGUGGGCAUGAGACCCAAGAAAACUGAGAUCUUCAAACAUUUUAUAACUCUCUGAAUGCUCUUCUAUUCAAAGCAUAAAUGCCUAAGUAUGUGCUAAAGUCGGAAGAUUCAAUGAUGCAUCAAUCAUUUAUCCGUUCUAUUCUCAGUUGUCCACUAGCAGAAUAGACCAAAUUCAAAUCACAGAUUACAAAGGAGAUAUAUUAAACGUUAGUCUUAAGUCUUCCAUUUCACAGGAAAUUCAGAUAACAAGGUUUUCAAACAAAUGAAAGAAGUUCUGAAUUCUCACUUCUGAGGAUAGUCCUUGACUAAAUUGCAUGCCAUAAGAUAUAGCUCAUUUGAAUGCCCAAGCUCCAUAGCUGCUGCUAAGUGUAUUUGUGUACACUUCAUGUGGAAAGGGUCCUUUUCAAGCAAUCUGGAUUACAUCAUAUGGAACAAAACAAAAUCUCAAUCCAGCAGUUUGGUUGUAAAGAGUUUGAACAAUUCUGUUUUCAACAAAAAUGCAAGCUUACACUGAGGUAAGCUGGAAGCACUUCUGGUAUUCACCACACUGAUGGUAGUACUCAGCUUUACAGGCCAAAAGGUCGGUAUUGUUUCUCAGUGUACACAAGAAGGUUUUCUCUGAGGAGUUUGUAUCAGCGUCUUCCUGUUCUAGUUCUCUAAAUUUGGUCUCUAUUACGUUUUUCUUAUCAUACUGGACAAUAACAUGAAAAGGAAUAUAUGUUUAAUUCACAAAAGAGGACACUAGGAAGAUACAUGCAUCUAGAACAAGUAGAAGACAUAAAAAGUUCGUAGCUUGAUAAAAAUGAAUAUGAAGAAGCAACCACCGCAUCAAUAUAAUCCUGUCCACUGGGACAUUAUUACCUUCUUCAUCAAACAUGUGUAGAAUGAAGAAAGCCAGCAUCUUCAGAACCACAAUUCAGUGAUGACAGUAAUCUUGUCUCUGCAAUUUAACAUGAAAAAAUAUCAUUGUUUAUUUUUAUCGCAACCAGGAAAUCCAGAGGAUUUAGACACAGAAGAAGAAUUCCACAGUAAAUCAACCAAAUAUUCAACAAAAAUAUCACAAGAUAGACAACAAAUGCUUGAAAUUCUUUUGGUCCCUGAAAAGCAUGAAAAGUUCCAUCACUUCUCACCUUCCUCACAAGUGAGCAUAUGAUUUUCUGUAAGACAUUCCAAUGCCUGAAUGCAGAAAAACCUGAGUGAGGAGAGACGGAUGAGAGUAAAAGGAGAUACAUAAAGACGAGGAGGAGGCAUAACCUAGUCAGAUAAAUGGGGAAACUGCUCUAUAGUAAAUCUACCACUUGGAAAUGUUACAAUUCAAUCCUUGAUAAGGUUCAAAAUCAAAUGUAUCACCCAUUGUAAAACACAUACUAGCAAACCCUCCCUUAGUAUCCUCCCGUGUCUUCAUCUUUGACAAGCAUGCAUUAAGGACCUCAGAGCUACAAAGUUUUAGUUGUUUAUUAUCUGACACUUGUAGCCAUAUCGCAGUCUACAAGGUUCCAAGACAAUCAACAACCAUGAAAACUGAUCGAAUUUUAGGAUCCCAGCUUCCUACUACUCCAAAGGCCCACUAAAGGAGCUUAAGAUAAUUUUUGACAUCCUCAAGGAAAAAUUUCAGAUAAUAUUGACAAGAAUAACUAGAUCAAAUGUCGAAAAAAAAAAAUCAGUCUUACCUCGUAGCACAGAGGAUCAGCCUUGAUAGCUGCUUUGUACCUUUAAGCGUCAACACCAGAGUACAACAAUGUGAUUGACCCACAGAGUACCAGUAGUUAAAUAAACUCAAGAGAGUGGGAGUGGAAAUACCAGGAAAGGGAACAACAAGACGCAUGAAAGGAAAUGGGAAGGCAGAAGUUAUACAUGUAAAACAUCGUACCAUUCUCAAACCAAAAAUCUAAAUUAACAUAAGACAUUAAUGAAAGCUACACUCUCAAUACAAAUGCAGCAGUCAAAAAUAGUGUAACAACUAUGACAUGAAUACUAACUCACCACAAGCGAGCCUGUGCACGAUUUUCUAAUGCUUCAUAUGCUUUACCUCUUAAAAAGCAAAUUGCUGCUAAAAUCUGCCACCAUAUGUAAGUUCUGUAAAUAUAUUGAGCACAUACCAAUAGAGGUUUCUCUUUAUAUCAAGUUUUAUUUACGGAUUAAAAGUAGCAGGAAACAGUGAGGGAUAACUUAAAAAGAUUCACACUCCCUCCUGGAAGAUUUGGUAGGAAUUUUUUUUUACAUGUUUUGUUGGAGUGGACAACUUACAUUGAUUUCCCGAUCUUCUCCAUCCUUGUCCAAAUACAUAAUGUUGAGAUCUCUUGUGUCUGUAAUAUUUCCAUGCUCAUCAACUUUGGCAUCGCCAAGCAUCAGGAGGCACUGGUCCCACUCUUUCAGUUCUUCCUGAUCAAAUAUGAUUGAAAGAAAUUCCAACAAGAAUCUAAAAUUAGAAAAAUAAAUAAAUUCCAGUGGAUCCUGCAUAUAAUAAUCCUGGACAAACAAAAGGCUGUAACACAAUGUUGAAAUAUGAAUCAGUUGUUGGCCUUUACUGCUUGCCAGUUCUACAUAUUCGAUCUUUGAUAACAACUGGGCCUAAGGCAAUACUGUACUAAGCAAUUCAGUUGCUAUCAACAAAAUGACUACACAGAUUGCUGAUUUGCUAAAACUUUCUAAAUCUCAUUAAACUUCAAUUAUUCAUGUUCUGCAGGACAAAAUGACUUCAGAUAUGCUGUUCUUUCUACCUAUCAGGUGAUUUUUUUUUUUGUUUUGAACUUCAAAUACUACAGUUGAGCUGCUUUGAUCUAUCUAAAAUUCUAAAUCCAUACAAAAGCUGCAUAACCCACUACAUACGUGGGUGCAAUUGAUUUACAAACCAAAAACUCCCAACCCUUAGUAUAGAAAGAUCAAAGCUCACCAAAAGCUGGCAUAGAUCCACCAAGAAUCACAUUCUGUAGAAAGAAUAGAUUAUCCUUUCAUUUCUAUAGCAUGAUAAUCAUUUGCUCGCUAAGUAAUACUAUCUAACAUUGCGCAACCCCACUCAGCUCUCAACGUAAAUUAAGGCAUGUGUGAAUCAACAGCGAGCUCAAAAUCUCUACUUAUCAGACGAUACAUCUGAAACUCUCCAUUACAAAAAGCUUAAAAAUGGAUAAUUUCGCUACCCUGAAAUGAUUUUUAAGAAAAAUCCUAAUUAUCAGAAAAUCCCAAAAACCAAUUCAUAAGAACCUAUUUAGCAGCAGAAAAGAAUCAUACUAUUGGCGGGGGAGGACGGAGACGGAUAACUCACGAGGCAUUUGGCGGCGAGGUAUCGGAAGCGGAGGUCACGGAGGACGAUUUGGGAGGCGUUGCAGGAGAUGAAAAGCACGUCGAUAAUGGCGACCGAGGUAAAGGGCCUGAGCCUGCAUAUAAAUGUCGGCGGGGUCGGCGUAAAGGCAGCUACUUUAUCGGCGAAAAAGAUCGCGAUGAGUACAAAUGCUUGCUGACGCGCAGUCCCGAACUACUCCCCUCAGCUUCUCAAUUUCUUCUUCCUUCAUUUUAUCCGGUAAAGAUUUUAAAUAAUUUAUGGAAACCAAUUGAAUUUGGGAUUUUGAGGUUUUGAAAUUGAAUGAAGUGAUUAGGGGUUUAAGCGGUGAGAGUUAAAAGAGCGGAGGGUGGUUUUGAUUGAUUGUCGUUUCUGACUGAUGAGGAUGGAUAUGACGGCGCAAAAUGGGCCUGCUUUUGGGUUGCUUUGGGCCUAAACUUUGGAUCCAAGGUGAAACUCUGGCUAUGUUUCGUAGCGCAAAUUUUUUCAAAAAAAUUUUUGUUGUAUCAUAAAUACAUUUUUUCAAUCCAUUUUUUUAUAUUUUCAAUUACCCUUUAUCUCAUAUACAUCAUUUCAUAAAAAAAGUGCUACAGUAACUAUUUUCAAGAUUUGCCAAUGAGACUCCCAAAUGUUGCAUAGGCCUCCCAAAAAAAGGAAAAAAAAUAGGGAUAAUUUCAGAAACCUCCCCUGAGGUUUCUGACAUUUACACUUACCUCCCCUGUGGUUUAAAUAAUUACACUGACCUCCCCUGAGGUUACUAAUCCUUUACAAAUUCAGUCCAAAUGAUUAAAAUUAUUUUAGAGAGUGAAAUUAGAAUUUUGUACCUGAUUUGUACUUUGUGUUACAUGUCCAAUGAAUGAUAAAGUAUUAUAAAUUAAUUAACAAUUAAUAAACUUUAAGAAGCGUAAUUUAUAGGCAAAUACGUAUUACAUAUUUAAAGUAUCAAGCUCUUUACGGGUAUUUUACUUUCAAAUAUUUACUUUAUUACAAAUAUUUAUUCUCAAAUACAUAUUUGUAUUUACUCUCAAAUAUUUAAUUUUUGUUAAACACAAAACCUACCAGUUUUUCUUCUGUAAAAAUAUUAAUAUAACACUUUUUCAAUUUUAGUUAUAAAUAUUUAUGUAUUAACAUAAAUUAAAUGAUUCAGGAUAAAAUAUCCAUAAAGAGCCAAUACUUUACUCAUGUAAUGGAGGAAAUCAUAAAAAAUUAAUAUUUUAUGAGGUCAUUUAUUUUUUAAAAAUAUUUAAUUUAUAUUAAAUAGAUAACCUACUGAUUUUUUUUGCAAGAAUAUUACUGUAACACUUUUUAAUUUUUAAUUACAAAUGUUAAUAUAUUUAUCAUAAAUUAAAUAUUUGAAAAUAAAAUAUCUGUAAAGAGCCGAUACUUUAAAUAGGAUAUGCGUAUUUGCCUAUAAACUACACUAUUUAAAGUAAGGAGUAUAGUUUAUUGAUUUAAGUUAAGGAGUGUAGUUAUUGAUUUAAGUAAGGAGUGUAGUUUAUAGGCAAAUACGCAUAACUUAUUUAAAGUACCAGCUCUUUACAGGUAUUUUAUUUUUUAAUAUUUAAUUUAUAAUAAACAUAUCAAUAUUUGUAAUUAAAAAUUAAAAGGUGUUACAAUAAUAUUCUUGCAAAAAGAAAAUCGAUAGGUUAUCUAUUUAAUAUAAAUUAAAAUUAAAAAAAAAGAAAAGAAAUGGCCUAUAAAAUGUUAAUUUUUUAUGGCUUUCAUCCAUUACACGAGUAAAGUAUUAGUUCUUUAUGAGUAUUUUAUUCUGAAUCAUUUAAUUUAUGUUAAAUACAUAAAUAUUUGUGACUAAAAUUGAAAAAAUGUCAUAUUAAUAUUUCUACGGAAGAAAAACUGGUAGGUUUUGUAUUUAACAAAAAUUAAAUAUUUGAGAGUAAAUACAAAUCUGUAUUUGAGAAUAAUAUUUGUGAUAAAGUAAAUGUUUGAAAGUAAAAUACAUGUAAAGAACUGGUACUUUAAAUAGGCAAUACGUAUUUGCCUAUAAACUACGCUCGUUGAAGUUUAUUAAUUGUUAAUUAAUUUGUAAUACUUUGUCAUUCAUUGGACAUGUGACACAAAGGACAAAUCAGGUACAAAAUUCUAAUUUCACUCUCUAAAAUAAUAUUUUAAUCAUUUGGACUGAAUUUGUAAAGGAUUAGUAACCUCAGGGAGGUCAGUGUAAUUGUUCAAACCACAGGGGAGGUAAGUGUAAAUGUCAGAAACCUCAGGGGAGGUUUCUGAAAUUAUCCCAAAAAAAUAACGGAUUUCUAUAUUCCAAAACCACCAUUUUCCAUCAAUUUGACGAAUGUAUAUUGUUGUAUAAAUGUGUUAUCAGUAAUCUCAUUUUGCUUUUGCAAUUAUGUAUAGGUUAUCGGUUAAUUUUAGAUAAUACGAGUUUGUGAUACAUUUUAGCAGUUUGUGAUACAAAUUUUCUCUGGAAAUACACGACUAAUAAUGUGAAUGUCCAAUAAAAGUUGUACAUUCCAAUAUUCAUGCGCGGGCAGAAAAGAGAUUUGGGCUUUAGGAGGUAUAAUUGUAGAGUAUCCAGCAAUUUAAGCUUAAAAUUCGUCAGAAGUUAAUAAGCAAACUUUUAUUUGAAAUGCAAACCAAUUUCUUUUGCAUAUAUCAAAAGGUUCUACCCAUAUGAACAUUAGCCCCAAGGAUAUCAUCCCAACCCAAAGAAAAAAGGUAUCUUGCCCUGAAGUCCAUGAAAGUUUAUCAGCAACUUGAAAAGCAAAAGUUUUCAACCACUCAAAGUUCUGAAUUACAAAAGCCCCACCCGUAACACUCAUUAUUCCUAUGAUUUGCAUUUUCUCUUUUCAAAAACCUUUCUCUGAAUCCUAGAGACCAUUUCGGCUCCACCAUCGUUUCUCCAGAUCAUAUUAUAUCAACUUUAUGGCCAAUUCUGAAGAGCCAUCAUCAUCAUCCUCAUUAGAGUCGCCCCAGGAAUUGGUACAAACUUUCUUCCCGGAUGGUGGUAGUUCAGAAGUCUACAUCCAAAUGGUUUCCAAAAGCUUAUCAGACAGGCUUUUGGGGAAGUACUUUGAUGCUUCAGAAUUCGACUUUGAUUAUGAGCAGAGUGGUUUAUGGUCUCCAUUGAUUCCCACAAGGGCCUUCUUUUUAUCUUCUCCACCCUACAACAAUCACUUCUCCAAGAUUGAAUUGCUGGGAAAGUUAAAGAAACUGAAGAAAGCCCCGAUGGCACGUUGGUUCAGAAACUGCAUUAGUGCUUGUUUCAAGGUAUAUCCCGCGCAGUUCUGAUUAUUCCAUUGCUUAGGAAAGUCAGAUAUAUACACUUGCAUUGCUAGUUAUUGCUGAAGGGAAGUCCAGCCAUGAUUAAUCAGUGAGGUAGAUUUCUUGUUGCUUUUGCAGGCUAUUUGGCGUUCUUGAAUUAUAUACAUUCUGGAUAUCUAGCAACAUGAUGAGUUAUUUUUAAGAGAGCUGAUCAAUGUUUCAUCACAUGAUGCUGGUAUCGAGCCUUCAGAGAAUGCAGAAAUCUGGUUCCACUUCCAGCCAAUCAUCAAGAAGUUGGAGGGGGGAAAAGAGUUUUUGAGAUCUGUAACUUGUACAACCUGUGCGUUCUUUCAGAAUUAACAAAAGUUUUCCGACAUUGAACAAUGUGUUGUGUUGCUCACCUCCUUAUUGAACAAGUGAACUGCAAUGACGCAUGAAUGAGAAGCACUCCGUUCGAUGAUCUCUUUAUCCAUAAUCACAUCCACAUUGAUCAUGUGGGCUAGUUAAUUACAACAUAAGCUGUCUAAAUCUCAUCUGGCAACCCUUUUCUUUUGCUGCUUAGUUUCAUUAUUUGUGAAUCACGUCAAUUCUAAACCGAUUGGAUGGUUGUAAUUCCCAUCUGCUUUUGGGGUUUUUAAACAUUAAUUUUUCUUUUUUUUGGGUUUCGUGACAACUGACAAGGGAAGUGAAUGAACCAAAGACGAACAUAUCACAUAUGAAUUAUGAUUUUCGUGUGAAAUUGAUGUACAUUGAUAAGUACAGGGUGCACUAGAAAUAUUUAAUAGACCAAAGCGAGAACUGCAGUCUCGUUAUCACUAGAGCUCACCGCAUGAAACACACUCAAAUUUCUGAUCCAAAUGCCAAGAACAUUUUCGUGUCUUUUUUAACAUUUUAUAUAAGCUAUAGAUUAAUGUUAAUCAGUAUAUCAAUGUACACUGAUAUAACAAGAACAUGCUACACGAAUUAAUAGGAUUGCAAGCGAAUCAAGUCACUCACGAACGUUCACAAGCCGACUCAGUCAAAACUCGACUCGAAAUCGAAUCAAUCUAGUGGAACUAUCGAAUUCAAAUCAACUUGAACAUAGAAAAAUUCAAUUUAUUAGUUUGAGAGCCGAUUCAUUUUUAUUAAGGAAAAAUGACUAACUAUUGUUGAUCUAAUGCACUUUUUUUUUUUUUUGGGGUGACAGUCUAGUGCAGUUCACUGACCUUGGCAAAAUUUGAAUAGUAAAACAACGACAAUUCAGCAGCAGCCACUGUUUCAUAUAACAGAGAGAAUUUCAGUCUGAAGGUCGUGCUGCUAAAGCAGCAGUCAAAUAGAUCUGCUUUUCUUGACUUUAGAAUUACUGCAAAACGCAGGCUUCAUUUAAAAUUGAAAGCUGCUCCUAUUUAACUUUUCCUCUGUCGGUUUUACCUUGAACUAUACCCUUCGCCCUUCGAUUCCUUUUCCAUGCAGAUCUUGUUACCUUUAAGUUUUUAAAGCCAACAUUUUACUUUGAAUUCUUGUACUUGUUAUUCCGGGUUCUUCGAGAAUUAGACCGGUAAUAAUUAAUUUUUCCUGGUUGAACCAUUUUUAUCAUCUCAUUUUGAUUUGUGACUUAAUUCUUUUUCAACCAGCUGUUCAUGGCCUUUCCUUUUCUUUUUUUUUUCUUUUUAAUUCUUUUAGCUUCAUUGAUUGAUCCAAUUCCUUUCCAACUAUAACAUCUCAAAUAUUUUUCUAGGGAAUCUCACGUAUUAUUCAAGUGGCCGGGUACAAAUUUUGAUUUACGAGAAAGUAAUUUUGGACGGACCAAUUACAAAAAUCAGGUCUUAAUUGAGAUAAGCUAUUUUAGUAAUUAAUAUUAAAAGUUUCCUAUGACGAAAAUGAUAAUCUAUACCUAAUUGUCGUAUUCAAGAAAAAAAAAACCCCACAUUAGCUUUUAUCUGUGUUGAAAUCUUUUCUACGACAAAAAGCAAUUUGUGUUAAGAAAAAGCAUCUACACAGUUUAUUUUGCUUAUACAAUUGGCUUAGCUCCUUGAUAUUCAUAUUUUUUGGGAUCUCUACAUCAAAAUGUCAAAUAAAAGUUUCAAAUUGUCAGUUGACGUUACACAAUUUCACAGGAUUUUUCUUUGUUCUCGAUUUAGCUGAUAAUACAGAAAAUUAAUGGAGUAACAUGGCCCAAAUCCCACCCCGAAAAAAAUUUAAGAAACAAAAUACAUGGGCCAGUAUUUUCCACUACGGCCCAAAUAGUGGCCUUAGAAAUGCCUUUUGAUCCAUCAUCUUCAGGCGGGAACCAAACUCCCAUUUAUUUGCCAACUUCCAUAGCCGUUGCAUUUAAAUGGAAAAACUCAAUAAAAUCUCUCCUUUCAGACUUUCUUCUCUCCUUCGCCUGCAAAAAGACCCUAAACUUGCCUUCCAACUCUUCCUCAACCCUAACCCAAAUGAUCCUAACCCAAGUCCCAAGCCCUUCCGCUACUCUCGUCUGUCCUACGAUCUCAUUAUCUCAAAGUUGGGUAGAGCCAAAAUGUUUGAUGAAUUAGAACAAAUAAUCCAGAAAUUAAGACAGGACACUCGAAUAAUCCCGAAAGAGAUAAUUUUUUGUAACAUUAUUACAUUUUACGGCAGAGCUCGUUUGCCCCAAAAAGCCCUCCAGAUGUUUGAUGAAAUUCCAUCUUUUCGUUGCCAAAGAACAAUCAACUCGGUGAAUUCUUUGUUAAAUAGUCUGUCAAUUUGCAGGGAAUUUGAGAAAAUGAGGGAAGUUUUUGUGGGUGUUGAGAAGUACGCUUGCCCGGAUGCUUGUACGUAUGGUAUACUCAUUAAAGCUUGCUGCAGGCAAGGGGAUUUGGGUAAUGCGUUGAAUUUGUUUGAUGGAAUGCUUAAGAGAGGUAUUGUGCCGAGUGUGGUGACAUUUGGGACUUUGAUUAAUGGGUUCUGUGCGAAUGCACACUUAGAUGAUGCUUUUAGAUUGAAGAGAAUGAUGGAGAGGGACUUCAAAUUGAAGCCUAAUGCAUUUGUGUAUGUUGUGUUGCUUAAAGGGCUUUGCAAGAGUAAUGCGGUUGAUUCCGCUAUUAAGCUUAAGAAGGAGAUGAUGAGGAAAAAGGUGGAAUUGGAUUCCACAGUGUAUGCUACCUUGAUUUCUGCACUAUUCAAGGUUGGUCGUCGGGAGGAUGUUUUUGGAUUGUUAGAUGAAAUGAGAAUAAAUAACUGCACAAUGAACACAGCGACAUACAAUGCAAUGAUACAUGGAUACUGUAUGGAGGAGGACUUCGAUUCUGCAUUUGGAAUAUUAAAUGAGAUGGAAGCAAAGGGGUGUAAGCCAGAUGUAAUUAGUUACAAUGUGAUUAUUGGUGGGCUUUGCAUGGCAGGGAAGCUAAAAGAAGCUAACGAGUUAUUUGAAGAUAUGCCGAGAAGGAAGUGCUUUCCGGAUGUGGUGACUUAUAGGGAACUCUUUGAUGGCCUUUGUGAUGGAAUGCAAUUGAAGGAAGCAGCACUUAUUUUGGAUGAGAUGGUCUUCAAAGGUUAUCUUCCUCACUCUUCAAGUAUAUGUAAAUUAGUUGAUGGGUUAAUUCGAGGAGAGGAUACAGAUAGGCUGUGGAAGGUUUUAAGUAGUUUGGUGAAGGGAAAGUUUUCUGAUAUAACCACAUGGAGCAUGGUGAUAUCUGUGGUGUUGAAAAAAGAUAGGCUGUCAAACACCUGCCAGUUUAUUGAUUCUUUGUUAAAAGGAACAGAUGAUGCUCUUUCAGUCCUUUAGAGUUGGUUGUGUACAGUAUUUGUGAUUGACCAUCAAGCUCUAAUGGAUUUAUUGACUGCCCAAACUUUCAGCCCAUGUCUUGUAAGAUAUCAUUUCCCUUGUUCUUACUUGUGAUGUUAGUAGUCCAAACAUAAGAAAUAGGAAAGUUAUGUUUCUUGGAAUUAAGUAAAGCAGUAGAUUGCAGUGUUCCAUGUUUGUAUAAAUUUUCAGCAUACCUUAGCAGUGUUUGUAUUUUUAUUGCUGACAGCAUGAGGUGUAAUACAGAGUGUAGUGAGUUUUUCCACUUUGUCUGCAAUUAUACAUUUCUGUUCUAUUGAAAUUCCAUGAUCUUAAUCUUGCCAUCAUGCUAGCCUUUCAUGGCCAAUUUCUGUAAAGCAUUUAAGACUUUCAUGGCCAAUUUCUGUAAAGUGAAUGCAUGCUGCAUCUAGUAGAAAAUAAAGAUGAAGAAGAAAUAACAAGAUAUUAGUAGGGACACAGAAACAUAAUAUGUUAGAAGCUGUGGAGUUGCAACAGUCAAAAGGCUUGUUUCAGGAAUAUGCUUUUUCUUCCAUGUGACUUUUUGAUUGUUGUGCCAAUGCUAACACCAGAAACUUUCUUUUCUGCUCAAUAAAUGAAAUGAGAGAAUCGCUAUAUCAUUUUUCCGAUUCUUGAUAUCCCCAGAAUGAUGAUAAUUAUGUUGGUAUAUAUUUCAGCAAAGGAGAAGAUGCUGGAGGUUGUCAAAUUUGGAUUCUUCACUUGACAGGAACUUCUCAAGUUUCUCCCUUUUCUAAUGUUUUCUGAUAUUCCAAGCAAUCUAUCUCCCCAGUUCUGCUUCUUACUCGCAUUAGUUUAUGCAUACAACUCAAGCUUAGUCUGCAAGAUUAAAUGUUUGCAACAGAAUUAAAUGUGUCUAUCUCCAGCAAUGUAGUCGAUCCAGAAGCAGCUGGGCUUAGCACUUCUGCUCGUAUAACUUCAUACUGAAGCUCAUCCAGAGAUGCUGCGUUGUUUCCUUUGAAGAUAAAGGCAGCAACAACAUAACCAUAGGCCUUGUGACACUUUGGAAGGGUGUGGAAUUCUCUUGUGACAGGAUUUCAUAUGACAUGAUUGUAGUCGAUCCAGAGGCAGCAGCGUUUAGCACUUUUGCUUGUAUAAAUAUUGAACCUCAUCCAGAGAUGCAGAGUCGUUUUUUUGGCAGAUAAAGGCAACAGCAACAUAGCCGUAGGCCUUGUGAGGCCUUGGAAGGGUGCAGAAUUCUCCCAACAUACACCAGCGUUUCAGGAGUGUCUAUCGUAAGGCAACAGCAACAUACACCAGCGCUUCAGAAGUGUAUAUCCAAAGUUCUAUUUGUCAGUAAUUAGAAUUAAUCAGUAUGUUUUUGAAUUUUCGAUAUUCUGUAAAUUGUUUGAGAUUCUUUCCUUGCUAAUGAUUGUUUUGAAAAGAUGUAUUAAUCUCUGUAGAUCCCCUGCUAGAAGAGCACUAAAAUCUGAUUUCUCCAGCAAAUGUAACAUUGAAACAUCAAAUUAACUUAUCCAUAAGCAGUUUUUUAUUUUUCAUAUCACAAGUAUAAAAGAAUUGCCGUUACGAAAAUUUCCAUUGCUAAAUAUGGCUAUGCAUGAGAGAGAGUAUACAUAGCCAAUAGUUGUUUUGUUCUUCGUACUCUGCCUGCAACUUUUGCACUCUUUGGGUUUAAUCUCCUUUGAUGUUUGAAUAGUUUUAACUUUCCACAUAUAAUAAAUCCGGCUCUUUCGAGCCUCCAGAUGUCCCAAAUGCCAUUUGGGCUUUAUCUGAAGGCAACCAGAGACAAAAUGGUACAAAAAUAACAAGCUUUGGAUGACAAAUUCCUUUCGACAAUUAUCGGAGUUGAAUGAAAAUGUUUCGUCCAGUGUCUUUUGUAUAUUGCUGAUUCAACCAUUUUUUUUAAUCUGGAUUUAGUUAUUUAAUCAAGCUGAUUUCUGAAUGCGUAACCAUUCGCAAGAAAAGUUGUAAAUUGUCUUAUCUGAGAUGCUGAUUGCAGAAGAGUUAAUUUAAUUGAUAUGUUAACUUGUUAACUUCAAAGACAUGUCAGAUUACUGCUUCAGCCUCAUGGACGGCAGUUUUAAGGGCUUGUAGAAUGCAAUUUUGGACUAUAGGUACUUUUUGCCUCCACUAAUUCACGGGGAUUAGUAAAAUCUUUUUCUUUGACUAAUCUUGAUUAAGAUGUCUAUGAGAACAAUCAGCUGUCACGUGCUGGUUAAUCACCUCAAAUUGCUUAGGACAAAAGAUUCUUCCCACAAGAUCCAAUUUCUCCCUUUUGAACUCUAUAUGAAGUCAAUCCAGUUUGUAACAUUUUUCCAUUGUGUAAAAUCUCAGUUCUGCAGUCCUCACCAUGUCUACCAUGUCUUCAUUCCCAGAACAAUCUUUUUAAAUUUCCAGCUAUAAGUAACCUGAGCACGAGGGUUUACCAUGGACUGUAGUAUUUGUCUCUUCGUUUGAUAUCAUCACUGAAAUGUCAACCACAUAUAUCUCUCACUUAGUGUUGCUUUUCUUUCUCCGGACCUACUUUUGUCUUCCUCAAAUGUCUUGUGCACCUAAAUCCCUUGUCGACAACAGGGCGACAUUUAUUUCUUUUCUUUGGUUGUGUGAUCUGUGGUUGUUUCGCAUUAGGAGUUGAGGCUUUAUGGCCAAAAACUUGAGCAAGAUUAAGUUAAUUAGAAUUCAAACUCUUGUCUUGGAGCAAUCGUUCAAACUCGUACUUCUCUGGCAUAAAAUUAGAAUAAAUCUUAUAUACACUGACGGUAUACACACUAUCACGGUUGGAUAUAUGACACAUAUGCAAAAUUUGAAUUUCAAACUCAAUUUCGGAUUAUGUGUCGUGCAUCUAAUAGUGAAAGUGUAUACACUGUCAGUGUAUAGUAAAUGAAUUCAUAAAAUUAAGUUAAUAAUUCUUGAUAACCUACAAUUAAGAAUAUAAUUAAGUCUGGACCAAGCAUGUUAGUCCAUCCAAAAGAGCUACAUGCAAAACCUUAAUAUAUGAUGGUUAGAAACUUACUUCAGGCCUGCAGAUCAUAUGGUGGCAGACAAAUAGUAGUUGUAGCCGUAGGUGAUGUAAUUAACUUGAAAAAUUGAUAGAAAGUGGAAACAAAUUAGAACCAGCUACAAUAGACUAUACAAAGUACAGUAGUUUACAGGAAGGAACGAUUUCUUUAUAUAUGGUCAGCGGCCAGCCGUAGUGAAUACAGGACAAUACCAAAUCAAAUAGCACGAGGUAAAACCGUAAAAGAAGGCAAAGGACGAAAUCAAACAGAAAAGUCCAAAGAAACCAGGGCCGGCGGCUUAGUUUAUCCAUACCUACUCAACUUCCACGAGGCAAUUGGAAGUACACUGUAAUAGUAGAACACAAAGCAAUUAUUCCUCCUCCAAAAAGGCAAAAACUUAAAUCCUCUUGACUGACUCCUCACCCCCUCUACCCGUUUCUUCACAUAUAAAGCCAUGGAUAACCAUUCCAUUCCCAAGAAAUCUCAUCACUCCGACUCCCUACUUCUCUUGCUCACAACAUAGCCAAAGCCUUGCUAAAUUUUGCUUUCUUGCAACUCUUUCUUGCACUACAUGGCUAAGCUCCAUGCAAGAUUGCAAGUUUUGGUUAUUAUUUGUAUAUGUUGUUUGGUGCAGCGUACAGAAUCAAGGAAGCUCCUAAAUAGUGAAAAGAAAGAGGUGGGAUCUUCUCUGGAGGAAAGUUUGGUAUUGAGGGCCCUUCCCCUUCCCGAGGGUUGCGUUCCACCUUCUACUCCAAGUAAUGAAGGUCACUCAGCAAAUCCUUUCAAUGAGAAACACUUCGCUGCGGCCCCUGCCCAUAUUGAACGGAAUUUGCAGUCUGUACCAAGUCCUGGAAUAGGCCACUGAAAUAAUUCAUUUCUUGGUUUUUCUUUCUUUCUUCCACUCCUGCAAAGUUUUCUAUGCUAUGUGUUUGAGGAUAUAGUCAUUAGUUAAUACAUAUCCCAAACAAUUCUGUAAGGUUUUUUUUCCUUUUAUUAACUCAGUUUUGAGUUAUAUAUACAGAUACAUAGGUUAUAAACAUGUAGACACAUAAUGAAUGUAUAGAUCAUGGUGUGGUGAUUCAGAGAAAUGAAAAUGAGACAAUAUGAUAUUUCUAAACUAGUCAAAUGCAUGAUUUUAUUGGGAUCUGCUUGCCAAACAUUCGUUGUUUUCCUUUGGUACUUAUGCUAUUGGAAAUUUCUGAUUUCUCACUUAACCAGUGGCCACUACUCAGAUGAACAAAAGCUGACCGUAUUAAUUACGUAAACACUAGCAAUAAUAAAGUAAUGGUGACUCCAUGGCAUUUUUGUCAACUAAAGUACCAAUCUUUUAUUAAUUUUUUUUUGGUCAAAUUCAGAUAAAGUAAAAGCAGUGAAACAUGGAGCUGGCUAAAAGUACUAAUUUCCUGACCAACUGAUCAAAGGUGCUUUUCUGCUUCAAGUUUUUCGAAGGGAAACCGCUGGAUGGAGCAAAUGAGAAUCAAACUUUCUUUCUUUAGAUUAAAAAAAAAAAAUCUUUGACGCUUGGAAAUUAAAUCCUGCCCAUAACACAAGAAUCGUCAUCUAUGCCAAGAUUUUUUUUUUCUUGCCAAAUAAUAAUUAUCUUAAUUAACUUGAUGUUCCUCCUUUGAUUUUGGACUCAAAAACUUCUUGAUGUGUGAGUUUAAUGUAGGUUUUGCAGUUUAAUAAUGGGAUCGUGUGCUCAACAGGUUCUAAAUGAGGCAGACUUCCAUUCCCACUAUGAACUCAUCAUGAAAGAGUUCUAAUUCUCUAACAGAUGAAUGGUCAGAAGAUGAAUGAUGAAAGUUUAAAUUGUAGAAUUGGAAUCUUGGUCGACGUUGGAUCGAGGCGGCUACUCCUCCAUGCCUAAAAACCGCCCAUGUGUUUGAUAAACUUGUUAAUUUCUAUCUGGGCCAUUGCACCUAUACUCCCUUGGAAGUGGAAGUCAAUCUCUGGAACAAUUCUUUUUAAGCUUUGUGGCCUCUCUGUGUUGUCUUUCUCGUUUACAGAUCAAAAUGAAGGGGGGGAGGGGAUGGAUUACUUGUCUUGUCUCCUUUCAGGGUCCAAAGCAUUAUGCAUUAUUGAGCACCUCACAUAUUCAGCUUGAAAUCGACCGACAAUUUGAUGAUUUCAUGAAAACUUAUAAGCUUAUAGCUAAAUCUUUUUCGUUUUGACCCACCAAAGACAUCAAAAGUCUCAAUUGGGCACCAAAAUUGACAACAUUGUGGAGCCUCCGGUUCCAAUUUCUUUCCUUUAAUGUUUAAAUGAUUGAGGGAGUAAUGACAAAAUUUCACUAACCUAAUGCCAAUUCCUAAAAGUACAUGGUAAACUGAAUCUGAUUUUUUGUAUUUUCCACACCUUCUUCCUAUCUUCCAUUUCAUUUUGGACCCAAAGCAUUUGGUUCGAUGUAAGUUUUUAAGUUUAAAUAUGUGACCAUGUAAAAUAAGAAAUUCUCAACAAAAUUUUCGAUGAGGUAGGCCUCCCUUACAGAAUGAAAUCAUAAAACAGUAUAAAUUCUUCAUCCAGAAAGUUCGACUCAUUGAAUGAUUAACCUAAAUCAUUUGAUUUAUAAAUCCAAAAGGAGGAAGGGUAGCUAAAAAUUGUUUGAUAUUUCGUAUGUUAAACUACUACUAUUUGUUAAAUUUUUAUGUAUUAUAUAUUCCUAUAACUAUUUAUUUAUUUUUUCAUAACAUUCUACUGUGCGUAGCAUGGUUAGACUAGUAUAAACAAAAUUAUUUACCGAAGUAAAUAUACUCUAUGAAACCAAAGAAUGACAAUGAAUCAAACUUUCUGUAAUGGCUGAAUCCACAUAUUACACGCUAAAUCAAACGAUUGCCUAUAACGAUGACAAAAUCCCACGUAACACAAAUCAGCCAAUUUCCUAAUACCAACAAAUCCAAGGCAAAAUUAGCAUUUCAUCAGAUAGUGCUUCUUGAUCCCACAACCCACAGAUCUUUGCUACUUCUCGUGCUUAUCCCUUGCCACAAUCUUGUACUUCCCACUUCUCUGUUGCUGGCAAGAGAAAAACAUCCCUUAAAACCAAAAAAAAAAAAAAAGUAAAGAAAAAGAAACUCUCGCACAAUAUCUAAAGCAGAAGUAGAAAUUCACCUUUUCCCAUAGAUCAGAGUGAGUUCCACAAAAACCAGCAACAAUGACUUUUUUAUUCCUUCCUUCAGAGUACUCAAUGCAAAGAUUUUCUUUCAGCGCACAAGUCACAUGAAAAGCCAAUGGACAUCUGGGCUCAGAGCAAUCGAUGGCACAACCAUUCUUGGAUUUGCAAAUAUAGCACUUCUGCUUCCAUCUCCUGGCUGGAACCUUAGUUACGUCAAUCCCUUCUCUGCCUUCAGGGUCACUAAAAAAUGCCUCAGGAACGAAAAGUGCACAAACAAGAUGAGCCCAUUUGCCUUUAUCCGUUGUGGGCUUCAGAGCACCACCAGUCACAGGGCAGAGACAGCAAGAAAAUGGCUUAAUAUGAUUGGAGGUAUUGGUCCUAUAAGGUGAUUGAGAAGCCAAGCAUUUUGCACAAAACCAAUCACCAUCUGGGAUACCUUUUGUAAAAGGGUGACCAUAGCAAGUUGCAUGGACCAUUAGCUCACAGCCAUCACAAAAAACAAUUGGAUCUGAAGGAUCUCCGUCUGUGCUUUCACAGAUAGCACAUAAAAUCCCAUCAUCCUCGUCAUCGCCAUCGCCGUUGUCUACAUGCUCCUUAUUUUCUUCAUUUAAUUCUUCAAGUCGAAUAUUUCCUUCCUUGUCCUGGAUUUCACUUUCAGAUACUUUGUCCUCCUUGUCUUCUGCUUUGUUCUUGCCUUCACGUGCGUUACUGUCAACUUUGGCAUCUGGGAUUUGGUUUACCUCUUCAGACACCUUCUGGGAUUUCUCGGUAUUAUCCAAGAAAGGCUGAUGAUAUUCGAUAUUGAGAUCGAAUGGUUGGAUGGCCCAAACUCUUUUCUUGGCAGGUAAAGAAUAGGUGGCUGUGUUGGAAAUGGGAUCUAUUGGGAGGAGAUUGCGGGAUUCUUUGCGUUUUUUAGCGGGAAGGCACGAGGGGGCUGGAAAAUUGCGGUGGUUUGGAUGGAUGUUCUGGGUCAGCUUUUCUUCUUGUUGAAUGAGCCUGUACCUCUUGAGGGGAGGCAACUCAUGAAGCUUGUUCCCCAUUUGUUCAACGAAUUGUCGCACAGAAUACCGAUAUUAAUGAUGUAGGAUUGAGAUUUGGAGAAGAUAAAUGUGGGAUUGAGAACUGGGGAAGGUUUGGAGAAGCAUGUAUUUGGAGACUUUUGAAAGUCUGUCUGCUCUUGGGGAGAUUGGGGUUAGAAACUGAGCAAAAGUGAAGGUGGGAAGAAAAAGCGGCAAAAAGAGACCUGUUUUCUGAGUUUCUAGUUUGAAUUUGGCGGGUUGGGCUCAUGUAAAAUUUUUGGGCUUCCACUGUUCGAAAUUUUGGAUGAAAAAUUUUCCUUCGAGCGUCACUUGUCUUGAUUAAUUAUUAGUAAAGUAAUGGAGACCUGGUUAGGAAUGCCCCGCCCCGCCCCGUUAGCCCUUGCCCUCGCCCCGCUCCACUUCUCCCGUGGGUGUCCGUGGGGGGAAAGGUUUAUAAUUAAUAAAAAUAUAUAAUUAGUAAAAAAUAUAAUUAAUAAAUUAGUAUAAAUGUAUUAGUAUAACUAAUCAAUAAUUUGUGUUAAUAUAGAUAUAUAAUUAUUAGUAUAACUAAUAAUAUUAAAUAUGUUAUGUAUAUAAUUAAUAUAUAUAUAAUUUUAUUUAAGCGGGGGACGGGGCAGGGGUAUAGUCCCCCGUCCCCUGUUCCGCUUUUUAAUGGGAGGAGCAUUUUACCCCCAUCCCAUCCCCGUCUCAUUAAUCCGAGCAUCCACCCCAAUUGUCAUCUCUAGAUUCGGUGCUCCCUAGCAACUCCAUCAUUUUUGUAGGCUAUAAACUUUGUAUUAUUUCUAAAAUAGGCUAUAAACAAACCUGCCAAACAGACCCUUCAAGUUUGAGAUUGUUUUUAAAAUAGAGUACUUCUUGCUGAAUUUACAGGGGGAAAUUCCUUGUUUAUUCGGCUUACUAGUAAGUUGAGACAGACACGGUAUUAAUAAUAGUAAAUUAAAAAAAAAAAAAAAUCCAAGACUUGCCUUACCCUGCCAAGCUUUAAUUAGUUUUGGGGACCUGUUUAAAAGAUGCCAUCUUAUCAAAUUCUUGCUUUUAGUGAUGGGAUCAAAAUUGACCGUUCAACCCAACUCCAAGUCAGGACUUUGAGAAAGUUCGACAGCUUAUUUCAAACCAAAAGGGUUUUACUUUACCCAAGUGAUGGCGAUUUCUCAUUAGCUUCAUUUUGCUGUUGGUGCUCGUACGUUUGUAUUUGCAGGCAGAUUAUACAAAUUGUCAAUCAAGUCUCUUUUCUGAGGUGCAUGUGUAAUUCAGAUACUAUAUGAUUGAAUUCCCUUGUGCGUGAUAUGGAAAACCACGGUAGCAAGCUCUAACUCGAGCUAGAAAUCCACCUCCUAUCCAAAUACUAACAUUCAACCUGUCAUUGAAUUCCCUUUUGCAGAAUCUGCAGCUAUAGAAAUAAUUCUUGCUUGUUUUGUUGAUUAACUUAACGGUAGUAACGACUGAGCUGAAGUAUUUGGACUAAUAGAUUGAGAUUCAAUAAGCCGCUAAAGAAACCAAGGAAUUUGACUGUCUCGAUGAACAAUUCUCUCAUGCUAAAUCUCUUCAUUUUCUUAAUCCAGUUACAAAUUGUGAUGAACUAAUUCUGCACUUGCGUAGGGACAGAUUGUCUCCAGAUUCCAGCUAAGGCACUACCAAAGAUCGAGUGACACACACUGGAAACUGCACAUGGCACUGCAGUCAGAGGAUUUCCAAAGUGUUGAGUGGCAAGAACUACUCCAAGCACCGAAUUCUGAAACAAGACAAGCAGCAAAAGUGAGUGACAAACUUAUCUUCAUAACGUCAUUCACAUUCAAAGAGGACAAUUAGUUCCCUUAAAACUUAGUCAAAUCUUUGAAAUGGCAAAAUUCUGUACACUUAGCUGCAGUCGCCAUUCAGCGUUUGCUUACCCCGUUGUCAGAUGGUACAAAAAUGAUACGCCAUACCUUCUUGUUUCAGUCAAUAAAUCAAAGUCAAGUUUUAUACUAAUUUGCUCUUACUUCCUUUUUUCUUUCAUUUGCUUUUUCAUUUCUCUUUUAAAAGCACGACACCACUAUUAGGCUACAUCUUACUACUACCACUUGUGUUUUUGGUAAUAUUUUUCUAGCCCUCUUUCCUAAACAGAAAAUCACAAUGAAUCUCAAAGCUCAUACUAACAUUCAUUCAUCAGCCAGAAGCCCAAGCUUCACCAUUGACUUGCAACUAUAACAUCAAAUGUAAACCAGUACCAGCAGGUUAGAUAAAAUUCACAGUAGAAAGUUUUAUGAUCUUGCUGAAUCUUCAUCUGCACUACUCUUUUGAGCAGCAAGUGAAGCCCCAAGGUUAACAGGUAGAAGGUUUUAGACAUUUUGGAAAUGCUCUAACACACCAAUUUUUAGUACAGUACUGGACCUAAGCUGGUAACGUCUUAAGGGUAAAGCAAUACUCCCAUAAUGCAGAGCACUACUCAGAUACUACCCAUAUACAUUAUUAUCUCAAACUUGUAGGAAUAAUUCUGGGUAAAUGUUUCACACCAUGACAAGUAACUAGUCCAUUUCUAAAAGGCGCUACACGCUCCAUUGUAGAAUCUCACAGUUUAAAGAAUCACAAUCUAGUUACAUAAAACUUGCAUAAGCACAUACCUGCAUGCCAACCUCAAUUGAAAUUGUUCUAGAUGAAGAUACAUCAAGGCCCAGCAUCCUUGAGAGCACAUAGCCAAAGAAGAAUCCAGAUGCAUGAAGAAGAACUGUGGCUAAAGCCACUUGUUGACCAGACAUUAGGAUUGUAGAAGAACUCUGUGCGAUUGCAUUUCCACACAGAACUGCCACAGUUAACACUGCAAUGGGUGGCAUUAAGGGAGAGACAAUUUUAACAAUGCUCUGGAAAUACUGAUUAAGGAACGCGCCAGCUAGAACAGGUAGAAGCACAACCUGAAAGAAAGAAUGAUCAGGAAAACACCAACCGAAGAACCAAUUCCUGCUGUUGCAGGGAAUUAGAAUUACCUGCAAGGUUGACAUAAAUAAUCCAGGUGCAUCUACAGCAACAUAUUGCCCUGCAAGUUUUGCAGUAAGAGCAGGGGUCAUAACCUGAGACAAAAUUUUAAAACGGUCAGUAAAGCUUUCAUUAGUUCUGAUGACGUGCCUUCAUGAAAAUACAUAAUCCUUUUCAGGCAUCAAAUCUGACUAGCAUUUCAACUACAGCACUUUUCAGCUAUAUUUCAAAUAAGAACUCGCAAAUCGGAAUGAGAAUUUUUCCUUUCUACUUUUAGUACAGUAAAUAGGAGUCUCAUGCUUGAAGGUUAAAUGAAGCAAUUCCAAUAAUCAUUCAUUUGUUGCGCUGAUUCUCAAAUGGAACAGUCAAAGUAUCCAUUGAAAUCAAAUUUAAAAAAAUAAGGAAAAAAAAAACUAUAUUGAAACAGCAAGACGAGUUACCAACCACAGCAGAUAGGGUGCUAGCAGCAGUCAUUAACACUGAAAGGGCCACAUUUCCGCUGUUACAGAAGAAUGCCAUUAAGAUCCCCAACCAAGGCAUGUAAAAUUUUUUUUAAAAAAAAUUGUUAUAAGCACCUUCUAUAUUUUUACCUACCGUGCAAUACAUAACUUUAAGGAUCAGGAAAACAGGGAAGACAAAGAAUACUGCCACAAAAAAGUUUAUGCACAAGAUCCAAGGGCAUGGAGGCAUACCUCCAGGGCAACACCCAACCAAAAUUAAGCCAGCCGCAUAAUGGGAUGGCAAAUUCAAGAGCUUGCUGACAAAAAAUCCAGAUAGUGGCAUUAUCUGCAAGGAGUAAAUAAGUCCUGUAAGCCUUACAGGCAAAUUGGAAAUCAAACUAACCAGAUAUCCCUGGAGUACUCAGUUUAAACACUAGUACUAGGAGGUAUUUGAACCGCACUAUGUAAUAGCCACAUUUACAUUCUGACAAACCAAGUAUUUGGUUUUGAAGAAAAAGAGAACGUGAGAUAAUUUUCCCUCACCAAGAACAGAAGCAGUUCAGCACAGAGCCUGAAUCCAAAUAUCAUACAGUUUGUAGUAACAUUGGUGUUCCAAACUAGAGGUGGCAAUUUGGAUUGAGAUCCAUUUAUCCAUCCAUAUAAUCCAUAAUUAAAUGGAUUGGAUUAUCCAUUUAUAGUAUUGGUUUUAAAUGGUUAAUCAAAGUAAAACCAUUAAAUUAAAUGGAUUUAUAUGGAUUAUCCACAAAAACCAUAUAUAUCCAUUUACUUAAAAACCAAAUAAAUGAAACAGAAAGGAAAUGAACUUCUGAAACGGCUCGCCAGCCAAUGGGGCAGCGCUCUCGCCAUUGCGGUCAGUUGAUGUUGGGUGUUGGCCUCGGAGACUCAGAAAAACAUGUCCGAGGACUUGGGGAGUCUUCGUAAGUUUGGACUAAUCAGCUCACUACUACAUUUCCAUGGGCUGUCUUCUAAACUAGAAAAAUGUGGAAUAAGGGAACUAGUAAAAUAUUUAAAUGGAUUAUAAAUGGAUAAUUGGUUUUUAUUUAAUCCAUUUAGAUCCAUCCAUUUAGAUCCAUUUAUUAAAUGGAUUUAAAUGGAUUGGAUAAAUUUUAUCCACCAUCCAUUAAGUCAAAACCAAUUAUGAACCAUUUAUCCAUUUUGCCACCUCUAUUCCAAACCAUCAAUUAUACCACUUUCACCCAUAAACACAAUCUAAAUGACAUUGAAACCAGACAUACAGAAAGCACAUCUUCUUCCAUCAGUGCUCUAGGGUAGCCUACAGUUAUUUUUUGAGUGCAUGGAGCAUCACAUUUACAGAUGUAAAACUUCUGUGGAAGAGACUUCCAAGACGGUAAAAUGGAUGACACCGUGGAUCAAAAGUGUCAAAUAGAAAAACUCACACUAAAAGAGCAUCAACUCCUCCUCCAUAUAUCAAAGGCAUGACCAGUAAGAAUGACUGAUCCAUUUAACUAUAAGUGCAACUUUAAAUGCUUCUUAACCUAUUCCAACGUUUCUGAUAGCUGCUCCAUAUCAAAUUUUGGUCAAAAUUCAAGCUCAAAAAAUGUGUGGAAUUAUACCAUCAAUGUCAAUGAACAUACCCCUUUUGAGGCCUGCAUCUAAUGCAACUUUAUCGGUUUGACUUUUGUCAGUAGAUAAUACAAGGGCACUACUUUGAAUCUUGAAGCUACCGGGGGGAAAAAAGGAAAAGAAGAAGAAAGCUUUAUACAAGUGGCAUAGGAUAGGAGGAAAUACUGGAAUCAAGUAAUAGAGAUUGAAUGCUAGCUUUCCAACAGUCCAAGAUUCGUCCAAACCACCCAUAGAUAGUUAACAAAUAACUAUAUCCGCAACUUUGAUUCAGUAGUGUACCCUCUUCAACAAGAUCUCAAAACCCGAGGCUACAUACUACCACUAAGUAAGUGUAAUUGUAAGCAACACCCACAGAUUAAGAAAACUGAUGAGAAGAAAAUCCCAUUUAGAAAUUUUCAAACUGCAAAAGAACUGCUAAAUAAACAAAGUCAGUAUUGAACAAGCCUCCAAACAAUUCAUCACAUAAACAGCUUCUAAGAACAAUCCAAUACUUGGUUUGCUAUAUCGAGAAGACAGAAAAAUGGAAGACCGAAAAGUAAAGGAAGCAAAGCAGACCGAAUAUUGGAGCACAAAUCCAGUGAACAACUCCUUAGGCAUAGCCAAAGCACCUCUAAGAUCAUCAAAAGUGAGAGUCAUUCCCAUGCCAAGCAUAGUUAGCGUGAUCCCCAUGAUAGUCCAUUUGGGCUGCACCCAAUUAUAGGAACUAGGCUUCAGCAGCCCCAGCAAACAACCUAUAGCAACCCACAAAGGAAAAGCAGUAGAAAUAGCAUCCCCAACAGCCUCGAUCCAACUCCUGCCACUGCUAGCAUUACUUGCAAUGCUGCUACUCCCACCAUCAUCUGCACUCACAGUACCGUUCGAAGAAUUGCCACAAAGAAGUGACCUUUUGGGUUUAGCUGGGACUAGUGAGAUGGGUUUUGUAAAUUGAUAGUUUUCUUGAGAUUUAGCGAGUUUGAGAUUGGAGAAAUUCAAAGAUGUGUUUUUUCUUGAAGUGGGACUCCCAGCUAUUCCACCUAUUCUACUACAAUUUGGGUAGCAGGUUCUUGCUGUUCCAUGAAUCAUGAACAAUGAAGAUUGCAUUUUUACCCCCACCCCGAAUCUGGAAUCUGUAGUUUGGACUUCGGAGAGUGGACUAUGGAUUGCGGACAGUGGACCUCCUGGACUCACACAGCACAGGGGGGCAUGCUGACUUGUUAAGGUUACAAUGAAAACAAAGACCACCUGCAAAGUCGGGUCCCAAAAUAUUCGGAGUUAAGUGCACAAGUGUAAUUAAUCAAGUGAGGAAUGCUUACAUGUUAGAGAGUAAGUAAUCAUAAAAAGUUGUUAAAAUUCUAGAAUUUAGCUUUGCACAAUAAACGAAUACACAUUUUUUUUCCCUAACUUGUGCUGCAGUACCUUUUUUUUUUUCCUCUAACUUGUAUUGCAAUACGUACUUGUAUAUGUAGAAUUUCAAGAAAAUUUUGAAGCAUAAUACAUGUACUUGGAUGCAAAUACCAUUACAACAGUUUGUCAAAUUUCCUUUUCUUUAAUUUAUAAAUAUUUCAUAGCUGGGGAGGGGUAAAUUUUAAUAAAUGCGCAAGGAGAGAAGCAAAAAUUUUUUAAAAUGGAAGAAGGGGAGGGAAAACUGAAUCAAAACCACUAUUCCCUAGAGCUUGUUAAUUGAACGCACUAUUCCCUAGUUAACUCCCCCGUCCACCCCUCCCUUCCCUCCCCCUCCUCUGCAUCAUUGACAAAACAGCUUCGUUGCAGCAGAUUAUAUCAAGCAAAAAUGAGGACUCAGCGAUCACAACCGCUGAAAACUUUCUGAAAGAGUCCCUGGCAUAAAAAUUUUCAUUGUUUUAUUAAACUUCUUCGAAGUUUCAUACAACAAAGUCCUGGCAAGGAUUGCGAGUACACAUAGUAAAUUGGGUCCAAUGCACCAAAUGCAAAUAGAACUGCCAGCUCAAAUACAUGAGACCAACCCUAAUGGCAGAUCUUCUCAUACAAGUUUAAUCUUGGUCUUUACCAUUCAAAUACAAUUUCCUGUCACCUAAAACCAUUAUGGAUCAUGCUGCUUUCGCAUUCAAGUACUGAAGACUUGACAACAAGAGAUUCCAUUGAAGUAUCCACUCCCCUUUACAAAGAGCAUGCGCUUGUACGUUUCAGCCCGAGUAAUGCCAAGUUAUGCACCCUUGGGAUUGAAGGGGAGCUGAAUGUUUGCGAGGUAGAUUAUCAUCUGUUUCUGCUCUUGCAAAAUGAUCCUCUUGCGUUCAAGCCUCUUGGUACAUUUUCAUGUAGAGCAUCAUCCAAACUGCUUUGAGCCCAAGCCAUGCACUGCUACAGUAAACAGAUACCAACCUAUACAUUUCUUUAAAAGAUCACAAUUACAUUGUAAACCUUAUGAAUCAAAUUGCCAGAAAUAUGUUAAUGAAUUCAAACAGGCAAAUCUUAGUUCAACUACGUAAUGAAGUACUCUGGUACUCUUUGCUCCAGAUCACAGAUUGUCAGCUUUCUUCCAGCUUUGAGGGGUAGGUGUAAAACGCUUCAUUUUAGGUAAAAUAAGACCAUAAGACAACUUAGUUCGUUUAGCAGCCCUCAGGGCAGCUCAGACCCCAUGUACAUUAUCUAGUACAAGCUCCUGUUGAGUAACCAGUACAUUAGGCAAUUCAGGUGAAUAUGCACAUAGCAUAAUUAAUUUAGAAGGAAAAGAAUAAGAAUUAUUUAAUAUAUUUCUAGUCCAAGAACAACACAUAAUUGUUCAAUUUAAGACAUCUAUUAUGUAAGUAUUACCUUCAAAUUUACAAAAAAGCAAGAACAUCCCUUGUGAAGUGAAAAAUCAACAAAUCAAGCAGGAGAGAUGGGAAGUUCCCACUUCCAAGCUCUUGCAACCUGGAGAAUAAGAAUGACAAUUUCAAUGUCAAACAUACCACAGUAAUAGCCAGCAAGAUUCAUCUAUGUUAAAUUCUUUGCAAACACACAAAAAAAAAAACAAAUAAAUAAAUAAAUUGCUAACUGGGAAAACAAAAUUAGCGGCAAUCAGAUGUGUAGUCUGCAUUGAUUGAAACAAGAAUGAAGGACCAAGUCCAAUUAUUAAUGAAGAAGACUAAGGAAUAGUAAACUAGCCAAGUCCAAAACCAACAAGGGAAAGCGAGCAUGCUCCUGCACUUGUGAAGCCUUGCAAGGAAACUACAGAACCACAUAACCUGACCUAAUUAUCAGGACAAAAAUCCUAUAAUACUGGGCCUCCCUAAACACUUCACAAUUCACUAUGUAACCAACACGUAAGCACGCAAACAGAUACCAUAGAAAAAAUCUAGUGAUUAGAACCAUUAGAUUUUCAUCACUCAUUUAAUAACUUUGCUGGCCAAAAUCCAAUAGCUCAUUUGCGUUGGGAGGAGGAAAAGCAUUUCAUCUUUUACCAAUUCAUGGAGAACAAUUGGAAGUUAAGGCAUCAGAUCAAGGUCCCAAGUUAAAUGACAUCAAAAUCUGAAAGCAAUAAACAAUCAGCUAAGCAUCCAUAUUGUGAAUCUAUAAAUGCCACAGUGGAAAAACUUCAAUUGCACUUCAGCCAUUCUAAAUCAUCAUAGUAGUAUGUGUUUAUACUUUAGGGAGGUGAUUUCAAGCUGCCAGUCAUCCAAUCUCAGCGUGCACCAUCUUCAGACUGUUGUCUGACACUUUCUGGUUCUCUUAAGACUGCUAGCAUUACAAUAGGAAGAAAGAUAUCUUUAGAAUGAUAUGUUUCUAAGCAGAAGAUGAAAUGUCUAUACACAUCGUACAGAAGUAGCGGCAGACCCUGAACAAAAGAUUAGAUCAAAGUGAUAGGUUGUUAUGAAGAAAUGCUUAGGGUUGGAAUAAAAUGAAAGAAACCAAUUCUAGCUGUCAUACUACCAGAGGACCUAUUUUCCAAACUUGCAUAAGUGCCUAAAUAAAUGUACACGUGACAUGUGCUAGUUGCAAAUAAAAAGGCACGCAAAUGUUCUGUUGAUUUCCUUAGCUCAAGUCUGACAGCCACGUCGUAGCUAAACCUAUUUUUAACACCCAAAGCACAUAGUAGAAAUCAAGCAACACCAGUAGCAUAGGAGCAUUGGGAUCGCUGCUGAUGCUUGUGAAGGCAAAGGGGCAAAGGGACACAAUCCCAUGGUACAUAUGUGGAGUGAGUCUGUGAAACCAGACAUUAAGCCAAAAGUGUGACGAUAACUUACAGUGGCUAUGUGGGAAGCCUCAACAUUGAAAAUCUGUUCCCAGCAAGAAAGAAUCUCUAAAUAAGUCCGAUACACAAGAUCUUACAAGUUAUGAUAGCCACAACAUAAAUAAUUUCUUGACAUAAUCGAACACUGAAAGAUGUUACAUAAGGAAAAUUGCUGGGAACGACAUAAACUCUGAGUGAGCUACUAGAUCAGUGGAAGGAAAGAUGUAACUCAGCCUAUCAAAAGACUUCACAUUUUAAUGUAUGCUUAAGAGAACAACCAACAGAAUGAAUAAAGGAACAAGAUGAUGAGCUCAGAGGCAAUUACAUUACUUACUUGUAUGAGAAAUUCAUCUUGCAGCUCCAUAAUCGAACAUGUCUUCUCAACAGUUUAGAUUUGAGCAAUCGUUAUGAUUCCUUAACAGCUGAUGUUAUGUCCAAAGGACCCAUCAUGAAGUACAUUUUCAUCGGAAGCCUAACCAACAUAUCCUAGACUAAAGACAGACAAUACUCAUGACUCACUUACCGAUGCUACAUGCAACAAAAACCCUGCACCACCACCCCCUCUUCCCCCUCCUCUGACUCCCCCCAAAAGGAAAAAAGAGAACAUAAAUGUUAGAAGACUAUUCUUAUUCCUCUCAUAUCUUUGCAGGUCCCAAAAGCUAUGCAGCAUAGUUUGCACAUAAAAAUUCGGCUGGCUUAAGAGAAUAUUUUUUUUUUAACAGAAUGUACUACACUAAAUUUCCUCUCAAGCUAUGGCUGUGAAGUUGAGAGAAUUAGAAAGAGAGAGAAGAGGGAGAGAGAGUGUUGUCAACCAGGAAGAUUAUCUCAACUAUGGCCUUGAAGUUGAGAGAAUGAGAAAGAGAGAGAAGAGGGAGAAAGAGUGUUGCCAACCAGGAAGAUUAGCUCAACAAGUAAAAGAUCAUGUUUUGAAGCUUAUCCUUUAGCAAACUAGAGGGCAGAGGCCUUGCUCAACUCCACUUUAUACUCUGACACUCAUCCCAAAAAGCCAAUCCUAACCUUCUACUUCUUUUGAGCAACAUUUUCUAUAACAAAGACACAUCAAUAGGGGGAAAAUCUGUUCUUAGACAAUAGAUAUAGAGCGCCCAUAAAUAUAUUUACGUAGAAAGAACAAAAAUAAAACCUAAAAACUAAAUUGUAGUCAGAUGACUCCACACCAAACAGAAUCCGCUCUAUCCUCUAGACAAUAAUUCUCCUCACUGAGCAAGAAAAGGCAAUAUCACCAGAACAAAACAUAUCCCAACUAGUCAUUGAGCAAUCAAAUCAAAAGCUAGAAACAUCGACUGCACAGAGUCGACUUUGCCUGCUUUAGAACAGUCAAUUCCGCCGAAAAGAGUUAAAGAUAGAAAGCCAAAUAUAACAAGAAUGCUGAAGAGCUUUGGUGCAACCAAAAGCUGCAAGCUCUAUAGAAACUCAGAACCAGGCAAACCAACACUCACCCUCCACCUACCCAAUAACAUAUUAAGGGAGGCAAAAAAAAAAAGAAACACUCACCCUCCACCUCCCACCCCCCUCACCCCAGUGGCCGCCCUCCUGAAUACAUAAACAUGGAACCAACACACAAGGAUGUAUGCGGAAUAAAUCAGACCUGCCUACAGAUCUGUAAUGCACCAAAGUCUAAGAUAUUCAAAAUUCCUUCUCCACUAAAAGCCCUCAUUCCACAAGUUCAGCUAUAAGUAAAAAACUGAUAAGGCUCUAGUUUUUGCUUGAAUUUGGAAGCAAAAGCUACAUUUAUAAGGGUCAGAAGCUUGUCUAAACCUAAAAAGAAAUCUUCUCCAUCUCAUCACUUCAACUACUACAUGAAGGAGACAAGAUAUAACCUCCAGUAUUGAUAGACAGGACGCCUACAGGAUGCAAUGUUAUAAACCCAAUAAGCUAUUGUGUCUACCUAUUACUCAUUUCAAAUCGUAGUUCAAUUCAUCAAGGAGGAAUGCCCUACUGGUCCUAGCAAUGGAAGAAAAUAAGGCAUAGCACCAACUUAAAUAUAAAUGACUAGCAUCUAGGACAUUUUCUAUGCUCUCAGACAUAUGAAUCGCACAAUCUGCUGCUCACAUCAGUACAUCGUACGUUCCAAAACAGAGACAAACUUAUAAUUAUUUGAACAAAUGGGAAAAACCAGUAGAUAUAUGCCAGGACAAACCAACAUUUUCCUUUUCCUUGCAAGGACAUAGCAUUAAAAUCAUACAAAAUGUCUACUUUUGCUCAAGGAAAAAAGAUGUCCAACAUGACUUUAAGAAGUCUAUCAUGACACAGCAUAUCCAACACAAGCCAAUAUCCAAUUUGUAGUACCAGAUAUUAGUAAGGUAAAAUAAGUGGUCACGGUCUAGCAUGGACUUAUUUAUCUGGGUCCUUGAGCUCGCUGCAUGUCAUAAGCACCCCAGGUACCAGGUCCAGGUCCAUAUUGAGGAUAACCUUCCAUGGAAGUUUGCACCUGCUAUAAAAAUGUUAGUCUCCUAGAGGUACUAUAAGUCUAGGGCCUCAAAGGAAGCCCUGCCUAGUGGAAGCGUUUUUGUCGUACAGAAUGUAUUUGUAUUUGUGUUUGAUAAAGAGGGCCAGAGAUAGGACUUACAGGAUGCAUGGGAUUCAUGGGAUUCAGGCCAUAGCUAGCAGGAUAGGGAUUUACUGGAUAAAUACUUUCCACAUUGCCAUAAUUUGCACUAUAACCUGGACCUGAAAUUGCAUAUUUCAACUCAUAAAAUGUAAGGCCCCUGACAAAAUAUUCAUCGAGGCUGCUUUUCAGCACUUAGAUGUGCAGCUCUUUACAUACUAUAAAAUUCCAUCCAAUUAAGUUAUGAGGCAAGAUUUAAACUUUUUGUGAAUGCAACAGAUGACGUAUCUCAUAUGCCCAUUGCUUAACAGUUUAUCAGCGAGGCAAGAUAAAAUACCCACAGGUACCUGGAUUCCCAAUUGCAGCAGCAGCGCGAGCUCUUUUUUCAGCAUUUGCCAUCUCUGCACGAAGUUUCUCUAGCUCCCUUGCCAUUGAGACUAACUUCUUCUCCAUCACCUGACCAUGCUCAUAAUUCUCUGCAUACCCCUUUUUCUCAUAUUCAAUAGCAGUCCUAAAAGCCAAGAAAGAAAGAAAGAAGUAAAAAUCCAGAUGCAAAGUCUAAAGAUAAAUCAAAACGCACCAAAAGUUCCUACCUAGUUCGCUGCAAUUCUUGUUUCAAACCUUCAAUAUCUGCCUUUAUUGCAGGGACCUGCUGUAACUCAGCAGUCAUUCUAGCCAAAUCUUCAGUCAUCAAUUGAGCCUUAGCUGUAAGCUCUUGCCUUGCUGCAGUUAGCUCCUUAACAUCACCAUGUACUCGCAUAAGUUCAGUCCUCAUGCUAUCCACCGCCUGAAGAUCCCUAUCCAUUUUGACAGACUUCUCAUAAAGUUCUCUCAUCUGGAUAUCUUUCUCUGCAUGCAAUAAACCUGCAUACUCAUGCGUGCGCUGAAGCUCAAACUGUGCAACUUCCAGUUCCUGCUUGAGCGCCACGUGUGUUGCAGCCAACCUCUGGUUAUCAAUCAGCAGACCUUGAAUCUCAUCAUGUUGAACAGCCAAUCUCUCCUCUAUAAUAGCAGGGUGAGGAGGAAGUUGUCUAAGAUCCAUACCCAUCGGUGGUUCUCUCAUUUCCUCCAGCAAUGCAGGAUGAGGAACUGGCCCACGGCCUCUCACAAACUGAGGAGAUUCGUGAACAGGUGGAAGCAUCCCACCAUGUGCAAUACCUUUGAUUGGCACAGGAGGCCCACGAUUUCUUCCAGCCAUUAUUUUUUUUCACUUGAUUUGCUUACAAAAACUCACUAGCUGAAUGGCGGAUAAAUUAGGCACUGAUGCACAAGUAUUUCCCAGUCAGCAUAUGAAGGAUAAUCAAAUUGAAUAAAUAAAAAACCAAAGCUAUCACUAGCUAAAUAUUUUCUUUUAAUUUUGUGGAUGCUUGGAAAAAUUCCUAGUAGCAGGUAUUCUGGUAGACCAAUCGUAACUCCCAAAUGUCAUCUUCCAGUCAAUAAACAAUGGUCAAAGUUUCGCUCUUUGACGCCAAAGAACGGUUAAAGUCUGAAUUUAACGCAAAACCAUCUUCGAAAAAUAUGCAUUUGUCAAUAAUUUGAGAAGACAUUAUCAGACCAAGGAACAGAAUCAAGAUUCUACGCCAUCAAACAUGGAGAAUAUAUGCAAUUAAUACAAGCCAACCGCAGCCUUCCCAAAAAAAAGGGUGGGAAAAAGUCAAAAUCUUUCCAAGAACAUAAAGAAAAUCCAGUAUAAGAUUAGAUUAAUUAACAGCAGAAUCAAGAAGUAAAACUGUAAAGAUAAUUCAGCAGACAGAUUCAAGGCUAGAUAUGCAGAUGAGCGCAAAAGGAAUACAGGUAGAAAAGGAUAGAAAAAUGAAGAAAAGGGCCAAGUGGUAAUCUGAUGAUUAACCUUUUAUUAGCUAUAAAGCCUGGAAUCGAUGAUGGGGUUUGCGAGAAAGACGAAGGAAGAGCAAACUGAAACGGGAAUUUUUGCUUUUGUAAUCAAAAGUAUAAACCCCAGACAAUUGGGUUCAGGCCAGUAUUAACUACUGAUUAUUGAUGAAAUUGUCACCAAACCUUUGCUGAAGUUUACCCUGAAUAUCAAUUGUUGCCCCCUGAAUAUCAAUUAUUGAUGAGCAUUUAAACCCAUUUAAACUUGAAAGACUUUAAAGAUGCCACUAUGUUUAGACUUUCUUUUCUGGUUUCAUGCUGUUUCUUGCCUCCUCUUUUCUUAAUCUUUCUAAGCCGCUCUUUGGGCUUUCUGACCCAUGCUUUAUUUAGCAGACUAGGCCUGACCAGAAAGGCUCACUUUUGGACUAGAGUUCCGCCAAGUCCAAUAUCGAAAAAUUAUAGAGUAUUCAGUUUCCAGCCCAAUUCAGGCAGUCACGAAUAGGGGUGCAAACGAGCCGAACUCGAGUCAAAUUUUGGCUAAUUGAGCCGAGCUCGUGUUAAUUUUGUGAAGCUCGAACUCGAGCUCGAGCUCGAGCUUAAAAAAUAAAAAAAUAAUUAUUAUUAUUUUAUUUUUUAAAAAAUAAAAAUAAUUAUUUAUUUUUAAAAAUGAAUAAAAUAAUAAUUUUUUUAAUAAAUAAUAAAAUAUUAGGGAUAUAUAUAUAAUUUUACUAUUAAAAUAAAAUAUAUAUAUAAUUGAGCUCGCGAGCCAACGAGUUUAAUAUUUUUGAUCUCGAGCUCGACUCGAACUCGAUAUUGACGAGCUCGAGUCGAGCUCGUAUUCGAACCGCUCGCGAGCCGAAACACUCCUAGUCACGAACUCAACCAGUCAAACUUAUGGGAGAGAUGAUGUUUAAGAAAACGGAGAGAGUCAAGAGAUUUGAAUCGAGAAUCUCUAAAUUUUGGAUCCUUAAUUUAAUCCAUCAGAAUAAAUUUUCUUACUUAAAGUUAAACUUUUAUUUUUAGAAAAGGAUAUUUUAAAAAGUGUAAUUUACCUAAAAACUUAUUACCAAAGUAAAUAAAAUUUAAGAAAAAAGAUACUACUAAUUUGCAUUUCUUCUGCAACAAUUGCUUCUAAUACACUGUAUAGCAUUGUUCUGAAGCGGAGAGAUCACAGAGCAACGCAUCGGACUUUAAUUGGGAUAUCAGAAAAAUCCUAGCUUGAUCCUUUUAAAUGGGCCUUAGCGUUUGGGCUCAAGAUUAACUAAUUUAAAUUCAAUUCAGCUACGAUCUUAUAUGUCACUUUCUCUUUUUCUAGGACUACCAAUAAAGUUGGACCAACUCAAACUCAAUCCAAAAACCCAGCCGAGUCUAUGCUUCAAUUGGCUGGGCCAAUUAAUAUAUAUAUAUAUAUAUAUGUAUAUAGACACAGAUACACAUAUAUAUAAAUUUAUAGUAAUUCAUAAUUAUAUAAUAUAUAUAUUAUAUAUAAUUAUGUUUUUAUUAUGAACAUGGGUCGAGUCCAAUUUUUUAACUCAAAUCUCAUAUAAUAGUGUGAGUUGAGUUUAAACCUUUUAAUUUUAGCCAAAAAUAAAAAAAGCCUGAAAUUGGAAAACCGUAUAAUUUAUGAGUAGAGUCAAGACUUGCCAAAACCCAACUCGAAAAACCCAAUUGACAUCUCUAUUUUUUCUUUUUACUGGGGCACUUUGAAAUAAUAGGAGGACCUGAAGUACUAAGACUCUGUUUAAUAACCCAAUUUAACAUCUAAACUUAAUAAAUUCAUAUUUUAACAUGUUCAUAAGCAUUUGAUAACAAAAAAUUGAAUAUUUGAAUUAAUUAAAUGGUGCUGAAUUUCCUAAACAAAACUUGCUUUCAAAAAUAAGUGAUAAGUUAUUCGCUUAUCACUUAAUGUGAUAUAUAUAUAUAUAUAUAUAUAUAUAUAUAUAUAUAUUUAAAUGUAUCAAAUUUAUUACUUAACAAUUCAAUAAGUGAAUGGAUUCAGAUUUCAGAUUUUAAAUUUUAAAUUUUAGUUUUUAUCAAACAUACUCUAACUAUUCAACAAUUAAAGAGGUGUAACAUUGAAACAUUUUUAUGUAAAAAUAUUUCCUUGUACACUUGAAUAUAUGAAUAUAGAUUAGGGGUGGACAAAAUUAUCCGCUAACCCGAAAACCCGUCAUAUCCGAUCCGGUCUGAUCCGAAAAUUAGGAUAUCCGAUUUUUAUUUUUUGAUCGGGUCAAAAGAGGGUCGGGUAUUCGCUAAGAUACGGGCGGAUUAGGGUUACAUAAUUAAAAAUCCGCGGGUACCCGAUCCGCCCUGCAUAUAUAUAUAUAUAUAUAUAUAUAUAUAUAUAUAUAUAUAUAUAUAUAUAUAUAUAUAUAUAUAUAUAUAUAUUUAACACACACUAUAAAAUAAUAAGUUAGAACUAAAUAAGUAAUUUUAUUGAACAAAUUGCAUUACAAAUAUGAGAGACUAUAGUUUAUUUACAAGAUUCAUUUGUAAAGGCCAUGAUCUUAUAUUUUAUAGAAAAAAGUUUAAUUAAUGUGGAACAUAUAUAUUAAAAAUUGUGUUACUUAUUUCAAACUUUUAUUGAUUUUGAAUUCUUUUAAUUUUUUUCCUUUAUCUUAUAUUCUCUUCAUAUGCUUGUUUCUUGAUGGGAAACCUUUUUUUAGAAAAAAAAUUAUUAAAUCUUAAAUGAAUGUGUAAAAUAUAAAAUUCAAUUGGCAUAAAUAUUUGUUUAAAAAAAAUUAAAUGAUAAAUGGGACGGGACGGGUACCCGCUGAUCCGACUCUAUCUCAGCAGGUACCCGUUAUAGGGUACCUGCUGAUAUUUGGGAUGGGUAAGGGUCAGAAAAUGGCUGACUCGCAAGGUGCGGGUCGGAUCAGUAAAAUGGUGAAUGGGGCGGGUACUUCACCCGCGCCCACUGCUAAAUAGAUGGCACAUUUUACGCAUGAGAAUUGGGCUACAUCAUUCCAAUUUUUAAUGAUUGUGUAAGAAGGUGAUUGAUUGUCUACAUUAUUCCAAUUUCAGAAAACAAUUUUCUUGCAAUUGUUGAGCCCCUUCCUUCUUUACUGCCAAAUCAUUUUCCUAACUCUGACAAGGUUCACAUCUGAUGUUAAUGAGGGCAGCAAGUUUGAGAUAUGGUUGCCGCUGCAUCAUGCAAUGUACAUUGUAUAGUGCUCCAAGGUUGUUUCAUCAGUAUGGACUAACUGAACACUGAUGAAGUUCUUGAAAGAUCCAAUGCUAUAACAUGGACUGGUUUUGCCUGAAAUAAAUGCAAAUUUUUGGACCAUAUGAAUCUCUGGUGCAAUUGAAUGCUUGCAUCCAACCACUGAGCCAGACCAUAUGAAUCUCUGGUACAAUUGAAUGCUUGCAUCUAACCACUGAGCUUGGCUCAGUAAGUCCCUCCUCACCUACAGCAAAAAAAUCUAAAGGUAGUGUCAUAACACUCUCUUGGUCUAGUUGAAUCUGUAUAUUCACUAGUCCCUAACACAAGUUUCUUUAGACUCUCCUUCCUCCUAGUUUAUGAUAGAGUACGUUAUACAAUUUAUCGUUGCUGGGAAAAAAAAAGAAAAAAGAAUCCUUGCAUCUGAAUUUUCUAUAUUGUUCUUUACAAUCUAUAUUUAUUAUAUAUCAAGACAGGGAAUGCAUUGAAUGGUCGAUUAAUUUGUAGCGUACUUGGGGAGCGAAAGAUUUCUUGGUUAGAGAAUAUUGCUUGAUCACAACAAGAAGUGACUAUGACUUAAAAAACAUGACUGUUGCAUUGAAGUCUAAUAGUCUAAUACAAAUAUAUACUAGUAAAACACAGUAGCUGAUGUCAUUAUUUACUUCUAAUAGGGAGUUUCCCGUGAAAUUGAUCAAUCCGACUUCAACGGUGAGUAAUUGCAAACGGCUACUAAUAAAUAAAAAUUCAAUGUAUGGCCCACGAUAAAGAGACCGACGGCCCAAGCCCAUCUGUCGGUGACUCUCACAUGACCCUUGCAAAACAUUCAGCAUUACAACGCUACAUUUUCUCUUGGAAUUUUGUCCAAAAUUUCACGUCAGGAAAAAGGAAAUUCUCUAAUCAUUCUCAAAUCAAUGGAUGCUCUAUGGAAAUUAGAAGAUAAGUGGAAGCUAUCAACCCAAGAAGCUGUAGCAUUUUUUGCAUGCACUGCUUUUCUGGUCAUUGGAGCUUGCUUUGCCACAUUCCUAAAGAGGAGGGCUAAAAGAAGUGGACUAGUUCAUCAAGAACCAUGCAUGAAUACUGAAGCAACAGAUGAAGCAAAGCGGUCUGAUCAGAAACAGAUGAAAAAAUGGGGAGCUGUGAAGGAGUUGCUGAUGGGUUCGGUGAGGUGGAGUGGUGUGAGCAAAUUGGAAGAAAGAAGAUUAAGUGGAAGUCAGAGGGAGAGAGCUGCACCAUUGCUGGUGGUAGGAGGGGAAAAGUGUGAAGAAAAUUUGGGAAGGUUGAGUCAUAAUUCGAGUUCUGCGGUGUGGCAAAGGCCUAUAUUGAUGGGGGAGAAGUGUGAGUUGCCCAGGUUUAGUGGGCUUAUUCUCUAUGAUGAAAGAGGAAGGCCACUUGAUCAGCACGGUGACAUUCAAAGUAUUGAUGAUUUUCAGGUAUUUAUCUUUGAUUAUAAACUCUCUUGAGUAUAGACUUUGAAAGACUUGUGAUAGGGUCUUUUGCAGGCCUAAGUUAGGCUCAUUUCCGUCUAAAUUGAUGUGUAUGUAUUCGUGACAGGGUGAUCAGGAAAGACCAUCUACUUCUGUUAGAACUACUCUGAGGGACUUCCUGUAACAGAUAUCAGUCAAUACUCAACACUUGACUCUGGGAUUGUACUUCCCAGUUGAACUUUUGUUUAUAAUGUUUUUGUGUGAACUAUGAUAUGAUGAAUUGCUCUUAUAUCUUAGAUUAUAAGUUUGCAAUUUGUUUGCUACAGGUCUAAAGAGAGGUCUGUGUGUUUGGGUGCUAAAAAUGUUGAAACCGUAAGAGACAAAUGUGAAAGAAGACUUCGCAUAAAAGUUGGUUAACCUAGCUAGCGCUGGACGUUCUUCCCUUCAAUUCUUUCCCUGGUUGGCUUUACUUAAUUUUUAUUUGCUAGCAUCUAUAUCAUCAGAGUAGCCAAAUGAUCCACCAUCUUCAUCUUCAUUAAUUGUGUAGAACAACAGGGCACUAUGCAUUUGCAAUCCUAUGUCACACCUGAUUCUACACUGGUGUCUCAUUUGCAUUUGCAUUUUCCGGAUAAGGAUCAUAUAUCAGCCCCGUGUAUUUUUUAAAACUGUGCAGAAACUGAGGAGGAGUAAUUCCUACAACUGAAUUCUCGCGAUUGUUGCAGUUCACUUUCUUUCAUGUUUUCCCCCGCUGAGUUGAGUUGCACCAUUAAUAUAUGCCAGAUCCAUUGAGAAACUGACCGUCGUCACGUGUAUGGAAUUAGAAAUGUCACGGCUAAUACUGAGACUCUUUUUACUUCUUCUCUGCUGGAAAACUGCAAAUUUGGUGCCAAUUGUGAUAAAGACUGAAUAGCUUGAGAAAGAGUGUUUUUCCGUAGUUCCAUUAUCCCAGCCCAGGAAUGGACUUUCGUUUUCAUUAGUUUCAUGCACAAAAUCCCAAAGAAUGCAGAAGUGAGAACGAUUGUGCUUCCGCGUGUUAGGAACGUCCAAACAACGUAUCCUGAGCAGGCGAAUUUUGUCACAGCUACUUGUUCAACCAACAGACAAGCGGAUAGCAGUAAAACUAUGAUCCAUGUUAGGUUCAAUUAUCAUCCAGCCCUGAUGCUGUUUUCCAGCAUGGAGAAAACUUGAACCCAGUACCAUUCCACAGCCCUUAAUUAUGCAUUGAAAUGUUGCAAUUCCAUUGAAUGUACUAUCUUCUAAUGCAUAUAGCAUAAAGACAAUAUUGUACAAACUUUUAACGAUCAAAGGAGAAACCUUAUAAUACAGUAGUCUAACUAGACAGGUGGUAUUACAAAUAUCUUGUGCGAGGGACUCAAUGAGCAGGGAGGCAAUCAAAAAGCAAAAAGGACAAUCAGGAGAAGAGACAAGUUUGGAAGAGAAACAUCUGUGGAAACAUUUGUGGAAACUCAAUGUAAAGCAUAAGCUGAAAAUUUUCAUCUGGAAGUGCUUGAACAAAGCCUUGCCUGUGAACGAGGUAGUAUUCAGCAGGACAAAGAAGGGGUCUCCAAUAUGUGGAAAUGUGGUGAAGACAUAUAAACUGUGGAGCAUCAACUUUGCCAUUGCAGAAAUGCUCAGGGAGUAUGGAAUCUAUCGCCGGUGAAAUGGGAUGGAAUUGAAGACCAAAGCGGGAACUUCAAAAGAUGGUGGAAUACUCUAACAGAAGCCAGAAGUAGACCUGAAGGAAUGGAACUUAUAGCACUAACUGUAAACAUUCUUUGGUGGAUUUGAAAGGCAAGAAAUGAGUGAGUUUUUAAGGAAAACAGGAGAUCUUCAAUCAAGAUAAUUCAGAAAGCUCAAAUGCAGUGGUUAGAAUUCCAGGAUGCAAAUGCAAAAGAGAACAUGAUGAGCAUGCCAGAAACAAUAGCAGCUGGGGCAACACAGGAAGAUUGCAGAGACAAAGAGACCCCAAUCCACAUCAGUUUUGCUGUCAAAACUCAAAGGACAAGACAGUCAAAUGGGAGUUGGUAUCUACGCAAUGGCUAGAAACAAUCAGUUGGUGGCUUAGUGGGCGCUAAAGGAAUUCAGUGGAGGGAAUAGCCUGAUGGAUAAUGCUAUGGCUCUCAAAGUUGCUAUGAUCAAAGCAAGGGAACAACAGUGGAGGAGGAUUGAAGUAGGAAUCCCUCAGAGGCAGCUGAUGAGGAUGAUAGAAACCAACAAGACUAGAGAUAUGAGACUGUUUUCUCAUCUACAGUAUGUUAAGGAUCUAAGCUCAAUGUUUGUGAGAUGCUCAUAUGUUCUAGCUAGGAAUGAAAUUAGUGUUAGAACAACCAACAUUUGUGAUCAUGCAUUAAGCAUGUCUCUUUUGAUGAGGAGUGGUUACUUCCUCAGUGCCUUUAGGCACUUGUAUAGCUCUAAUGGAGCCUUUGCUCACUACGUGUAUAGUUCAUACAGAAAUCUAAUAAAAUCAUCUAUCGUUUCCGGGGGAAAAAAAAAAGUAUCUUGUGUGCAUAAAAGGUCAAGAGGCCGGUUGGGGUAGCCACUCUAAUUAUGCAGUCUAAUAUUCUCUCCAUGACAAAAUAGCAGCCCACCGCUAGUGGCAUUCUUCAUUUCUUCUUUACCUGGAUCGUAUUUUUGGUCAUUUUGUUGGGUAGUGGGAGAAUUGUAACUCAAAUACUUGCGCUAUGAUGUUCUGCAAUCCUACUAAAUGCACCCGAUAACAGGAAUUUUUUCAAAAAUUUGUAAUGGAUGAAUUUACACAACGGCUUCAAUCUUAAUCAUGUACAUAAAGAUUACUGACAUGCUCAUUUAGAGUAGUAAUAAUUACAACAAAAAAGGCUCAGCGCAGAAGAAGACCAUGAAAACCAGAACGUCGGACAAACCAGGAAGUGUUGAUAUAUUUGUAACGAUCCUUCACCCAGACUCUCAAGACCACCUACGAUGGGGAUGUGACUAGGAUUGGUUGCAGGCCAAAGUAAUGACAUGGCAGCUCAUAAAGCAAUGUUGCAUAGGAACUUUCAUCAAUCUUCAAGAGAUUUGAAGGUAUGCAAAGUGUUAUUCAGGGUGUAGAUCAUCAAGAAAUACCUAACAAAAAAAAGCACAAUUCAAGCAUUUCAGAGCAGUAAGAUCAGCUCAUAUUGGUUGUACAAACAGACAUCAAAGAUUCCUCUGGAUAAAACAGAAACUACGAACGCAAACUAUUCUGAACCAAUCACAAAGCAGUCUAAUAUGUAUAAAAAAAAUUUUAGGGAGACAAGCGGAGACAACUAUCAACGCCAUGUUCAGAAAUCAAAUUCACCAGCAUAAGAGGCAAUGAAAGGCCUAAUCAUCAUAGAGUACUUGUGGAGCAGAGAUUUAUGUACCUCGCUGUAUAUCUGUUCCAUGUUUAUGAACAAGACUCCAGCAAGGGUUCUCUAGUGUCUUCUUUAGAUGCACUUUUGUAGUAUGCAUAUAAUACUAGUUGCACAGUUCCCAAGAAAGCCCCUAUUCCAUUCGGGACCUGUAAUUCAGUCAACAACUGUCUGAGGGUGACGGUGCAAGCAAGAUUGGAAAGAAAAAUUCCCCUAUUUGUUGUGCAGUUGUACUCUAUGGGCCCAUACCAAAGUUUUGAAAGAAAUCCUCAUGCAAUUAUCAAUUAACAUAUCCUUUUUUUUAUCUUAAUACCAGCAAAACCAAAUAUUAGGCCACUUUCAUCUAAACGGAAAACCAAUGAGCAGCAACGAGGAAUUUCAAUCUCUGAGCUGUUUAGCAUGUGACUUGCAUGCAAUGUUUAAAAUUGAACAAAAUAAUAAAGAAAGAAGAGAAACGAAGAGAUACAGAUAAAAGGCAGAUACCUGCACCUCCAGCUGCAUCUUUACAAAUUUCAAGAACUUGAAUUGAAGCCAGAGAAACCAUCAAAGAUUGCAACUUUUUACUGAAAAAACAAAAACCCAAUAUAGUUUCCACCACUACAAAUCAAAAUCAAGAAAUAGAAUCCUUUCUCAGUCUCAGCCUACUUUUAUUUCUGCCCUUUUUGUGUCUCUCUCUUUCGAAGAGUGUUUUCGAGAGAGUUUUAUAGCACGUUUUUUUCGUUUGUGCUCUUUUCAAGUCAACCUCGGCCGAAACUCUUUUAUGGAAUAAUUCUAGCAUAUUCAUGCCCGAUGGGAGGGAGAAAAUGUCCGAAUUUGAUAAUUUUCAAGUAUGGUCGUAGGACUAUGUUAAAAUUAAAUUUAGGCUCUCAAACAGAAUGGACCUAGAUAAACAGCUAGUAGUACAAAUUUUGGCAACACCACAAAAUACAAUAAUUGGUAAACAAAAAUUAAAAAAGGAAAAGAAAUAGAUAUCCUUAUAUUUCCUAUAGAGCAUAUUUUCUGGUUCACAAGGCAUUAGCAAUUUUUUAUAAAAGAAGAAAUCAGAAUAAUGUGUUCGACUAGCUGAAGCCAGCUGGUAAGCUGUGACAUCUCGCCAUAAAGGAGGUAAACGGUGGAAAAGUGGACUUGCAUGCUGAAAAUUAAUAAGGAGCCUCCACGUAGCAUGGUUUCAUGUGACAAGAAGAAUAUAAAUGAAAAUUUGCAUACUUUUUCAUUUUUUUUUUAUUUUAUUUUGUGCCUUGUGAGCACAUGAUAAGCAGAACAAAGCAGCGAGUUUUUUUUUUUUUUUUUAACGUAAUGACGUAUCUAAUCCAAUCUAUUCCUACUGGGACCUACUCUAAGAGACGGUCCAACUGAGUCGGAGAAAUCUAAUGGGGAUUGAACCACUAUCAGACCAGAUGCACUCGUAUGGAUUUUUUUAGAACAACCUUUAUAUAGAGGCAUAUUGAUAGAAGGCAAGAUUUGAACUUUUGACCUCCUAUCAAUAUAGAGAGUUGGAUUUUUUUAGAACAAGCCUUGUAUAGAGAGUUGGUUACGAUAUCAUUUGUGAGGAUAAAAUUUUGAAUUGAAGAUACUUUAGUGUUAAAGUUUUAAUUGUCGCUAAACCAAGAGUAGGCACGCAAUAGAAGAAUUCUAAUAUGAUUAGUAGGGAAGAAGUUCAUUCUUAAAAUCAGAAAAUUGUUGAGAGCAUUAGAUGUCGGGCAUCUUUUGUGCCCUGUCCAAAAUAUGGAACAACUCACAAAAUGCAAGAAAAGUUCCUCCCAAUCCAAGAUAUGUUUAGUUAUACUACCGUCUUCUAUGCAAAUCAGAGAAUUUCCAAACACUCAAUUGACAUCUAUAAUAUCCUCAACCUUAUUAUUUUUGUCAAUAAAUAAUGCUCUGCACUUUCAAUUAUACUCUUUUUUGUGUAGAAAUUUCUGCAUCUGAUCUAUUGGCAGCCAAUGCCAUCGAGUUUACCUCACUGCAAUCAGAGAACCACUGCUACAAUUUUCUUCUCAAAUAAAGAAAGAAGGAAAGAAAAUAUGCCAACUAUUCAUUGCAAUAGGACUGAAGCUUCCCGAGUUCUGAGGUCUCUAGGCUUUUCUUUUGGAAUGGUCGUGCUAGAGUGCGGGUCAAGAUUUUUUUGGAAAACAUGAUAAGGUCGUAGGUCUGGGACGAAGCAAAGUUGUGCUCUUCAUUUGACUGGCUGGCUAUUAGGCUGUAGGUAUAAUUAAGAAAAAGACGUUUCAAAUGACUUUGCAUGUCAUGUAACCCCAAAGUGAUUAAGCGUCAUAAAUACAUGCCUAAUCUAGUCUAAGAUGAACAGAGGGAAUGAAUGAAUGAAUAGAACUUGAGGAGGAGAAAUUUGAAGGCCAUUCCUAAGACCCCCCAGUAAUUCAGCCUCAUAAACACAUGGCUAAUCUAAUCUAAGAUUGUAAGAUCAAGAAAGGCAAGGGAUAUAUAUAAAAGUGAGAAAAAAUUAAUGGUGGUUCAUAGGUGAAUCAGGCUUCUGAUCGAAGGUUUUGUGGCUAAAUAUGGAGAGGAGAAUCGAGCUGUUUGUUGAUGCUCUAGCAAAAGAAGCAGUAGCACGGGAACUAAGAUUUGAUAGUUUUUUGAUGUAAUGCCUUCUUUUGUUUCCACCAUUUUUGGAGGACUAGGAGGUGAACACCGCGCAUAGGACUUUUCAGCUUGCCCAGAGUGCCGGGACAUCUUAGUUGAGAUAAUAUGCUUCGAUCCGGAGGUACCAUAUGAAAUCCAUUGAAAUAGAUAUUUACAAAGUCUUAACUUCAACUAAAAGUAAUAGAAAGGACAUCAGUUCAUAGUUAGCAGGGUUAAAAUGCAUCAUCUUCGAAGAUUGGGAACCGCAAAUCAGGGAAAUUACUCUUAAAAUAACAAUCCGUCGUCAUGAUUUUCUGCUAGUUAAUGCAGUUAUAAUUCCACCAGCUAUAAGUACCACAGCAGUAACUGAAAUGCCAAUUCCAAUGACACCAUCUGCACCAUAAAGUUAAACUUUUAUUUCAUGUAUUGCCAUACUCGAAAAAAAAAAUCCUGAGGAUUCAAAGUAAUAUGUUAUCACCUUUUGUAAUUUGUUCUUUUACUGCCUUCUCAAGGUACAAAGCCUACCUCCAAUCAAGUUUAAUCUAGCAAACAAAGACAAAACCAAUGGGAUAAAAGCACCACUCUUGAAUACAACCAAAAGUUCUACAGUUUCUUUCUUUUGACAAUUAAUAUUGGUAAAGCAUGUUAAACUAUGAGCAAUUUCACUAAUGGGAGCAGAGAACUAACCUCCAAACAUUUCUAUACAAGCUGCAGGCUUCUUGAAUGCUCACCACUUCUAUAACAACCAACAGUUAGAAGGUAAAGCUUUUCACUCUUUUGCGAUGGACUAUUGGUCUCAGAGAGAAGCUGCACAUAGACAAUAGAUAGGUUUUAGUAGUGAGAGGAGUUUGCAAUUCAUAUUUAAAUCGAAUUUAAACACCAAAACUCCAAUUGCAGUUCUCUCCUUCCAACUUUCUAAAAAGGUCAUACACUCUCAGAACAGUAUUUUUUAUAGUACGGCAAAAAUUACCAUUCUAUGCAAAUAACAAGUACUACAAUUGAAUUUAUGUAACAUUUUGAUUCUUCUACUUGUGAAAACCCAGCAAACUCUAACACGUGCAAUGACAUAAUUCCUUCAUAGGACAUAGUAGAUGCUUAUGACAUUCAGUAUUAUAAAAAAAAAGAAAAAAAAACUCUUAGUAGCAUCAUUACUUCUCUGGAUAGCAAACAUCUAUAUUCCAGUAGUAAUAUCUAUAUUACUUCUCUAGUUUUCACUCUUUUGAAACCUGAUUUGAAGUUUAAAAAAAAAAAUCCAAUAAUGAUCAUGAGAUCAGUGCACAGGACAAUUUAAAAAUUAUAACAAUCACGUAGAUUCACAACUUCCCGAAAACGUGGAAUUAUAAGAAUCACUGAUAAUGACUAAGUUGAGGGAAAGAUUAUGUUUGAUACUAUUAACAUGUUCAAUUUAAAAUGUUUAAGUACGCAGGGAAAAAAAAGGUGCAGAUGGUUAUAGUUGGCUGUUGUCACUUUGACUCUAAUGGCAAUGAUAAUUGUGAAGGGAUCAUGCUCAGUUGCAAUAGGAUUAUCGUGAGCUUCCUCAAAUUGAUUCCAUAUGGUUUAAACCAUUGGCUUCAUGCUGCAGAAACAAAGAAAAAAAGACUACUGUCUAUAAAUCUAUAUAACACAAAGUCACGAAUUCUUGUUUUUCUCAAGCAUUGAUUUACUUUGACAAUACCAGAAGGCACAAAACAAUGGAUCUUAAGAAAGGUAAGCUAAAUCAAAACAAAUUAACAAGGGGCGAAAAUAUAGAAACACAACCUAAGAAUCCCAACAAAAUUUUUAGCCAGCUAGUUGGUAUAAUAAAAAGAAGCAGCCGCAGCACAUACUGAAUGAAAAGGCAAUCUUCACAAAAUAUUAGAAAUUAAUAAAUAGAAUGAUAAACGAUCACACUUUAAAAAUGUUGUUUCUAUAUCAGGCUUAUUACCAAAGUCCGAAUUUACUGCUAUCAUUUCCCUGUUCUAUGUUGUGGCGGUAUACAAUAUGACGAAACAAUACACUCAUGUACUAUUCUAACAGCAUUCAAACAUCAUUAAAAUUUUGGUUGCCUCUUUCGACAACAUACAAAGUGACAAAAUAGGUCAUUAUUAUUAAUCUUCAUCCUGCACCUUUCUAAAGACCAAUAAUAGCAUAAAGAUAGCAAAAACUUACAAUAAAGUGUUGGGAAAAAAAUCUGUUAACACAAGGAAAAAAAUAGGAAGAUAAAACCUUAGAUCUGCACUAAACAGACCAUUUCCCUUUUUCUUCUUUUGGUUUAGGAAAAACACCCAAAUAAAACUCACCUUGAGAAAAAAAAUUCCCUAAUCAUUUUGUACCAUACUGCAAAUUUUAAUAGCUCAACCUGUAACAAACAUUUAAAAUCCAAUAGAAAAUAAAGACACCUAUAACAAAAAGAAGAAAACAAAUAGUCUAUAAUUUAAACAGAUAACAAAAAACCUAAAACUUAAAAUAGCAAACAGUUAAAAAUUUAGAAACUUUUAAAGUUACUUUUGUUGCACCAUAGGCGAACACAUGAAAGAAUUUUGAACCACCCUAAGCAAGUGGACAACAACGCAAUGCACCACAAGAAAGGACACAUAGAAUCACAUAAGAUUUCCACUAAUACACAAGAAAUCAGAAGAGGAAAAAUUACAAAGAAUAAAUUAGCAUUUUUGUAAAGUUCUUGUACUCCCUAUAACAACAUAACAAACUUUCCAAACAAUCUGAUAUGAUAAUUACACAUCAACCCUAACCAAGCUAGCAGAUAUAGUAGAAUCAUUAAAAAAAACUUCUCUAAAAAUGCGACAGAAACACUAAGAUAACAUGAAGCCACCAAUUCUUGUCUUUUGUUAAGAAAACAGGAGGUCAGCAGUUAAAUAUCUGCAUCUUUUGUUAUUUUUGGCUGAAAAAAUACUACUGUUUUAAAUGCAGAAAUGCCUUUCAAACUUCAUUAUAUUAUUAGAAUUGUGCAGAAACCUAAUAAUGAUCUAAGAGGCGUCAAGCAAAGAAAUUAAAGGGGGAAAAGGUAAUACAUAAAGCAAGAAAAUAAGAAAUUAGGGCACAAAAAGCUUACCUUUUGAUGAUUUCUCCAACCUAAAUAAAAAAAACCACAAAAAAAUUGAGCAAAUGAUGAGAUGCGAAAUAGGUAAAAAUAAAAUAAAAUCUAAGAUUUAGAAUUGAGCAUGGUAGGGUACCUCAAUGUCAGAUCAAUCAACUUCUUCCUUCUGUGGCAACAGAGACUUGUUGAAAAGAGAGUUUGAGAGAAAGGUACGGGAGGUAAGGACAUUGGUGGAUGAGAAAAUGAAGUCUCGUUUGAAUCUUAUGGGUAGAUGAAUAGCACAGCCUCCAUAUCCAAACACAUCCUUAUCUGCUUUCUUAAUCUCUCUCAUAUGAUCCGAUAAAGGAAGAAAAACGCUAACAAAUAUACAUAAAAAUAAACGGAUAUUCCUGUUUGAUCUUGUCAACACAGGCGUCCAUAUCCAAAUUCAUCCUUAUUUGCUUUCUUAAUCUCUCUGAUGAGAUCUAAACAAGGGAAACAAGACUAACAAUAUACAUAAAAAUAAAUAAAAAACUCAAAAAUUUUAAGAGAUUGGAUUUUUUUGCUUAGAACAUGUGAUUUUUUAAAUUUCACAAAAUAAAGAUGCUGAAGAUCCAGUUUUUAACUUGUCUGCUUCUUUCCAUGUGGCUUUUUUUUUUUUGUCUAUUUUCUUGCAGGCAAAAAAAGUAUCAAUACUUACGAAGCAAAAAACUGACGAUAAAGAUAAAUUUCACAAAAAAAUAAAAAUAAAAAUACUUACUGAGAAAAAAAAUCACAUGUUCUGAUGAAGAUGCCGAAGACCUAUUUUUUCCCUUAUUGCUUCUUGUUUCCACAUGGCUUCCUUGUUUUUUUUUUGUCUUAUUUCUUGCAGUAGAAAAGAAAAUCGAGAUACUUACCGACCAAAAAACUCACCUGUUCAAAUGAAGAAGAUAAAGAUGGAGAAGAUUCAAUUUAUCUUUCACAGAGAGAGGAGAGAAAUAACGUUUAAUUAGCAAAAUAAACCUUGUAAAAAAAAAGGCAUAAAAAAAUGCAGCAGCACAAUGUAAAUUUUAUGCAGAGAGAAACAAGAAACAGUUUGAAUUUAGAAAAUAGAAAGCAAGGAGCUGAGCUAACCAGAGUGCAAGAAACAGCAACAAAGCAACAAAGGAAAACGGAAGAAAGGAACUAUUAUCACUGACCUUGAUGAUGAUAUUGGUCGGUGUGCAAAUUGUGCAGAGAAAUUGCAUCAGUCUUCUCAUCCAUCAAAGAAAAGAGGUAAAAGCUGUUAUUUGGCAGAUUGCAAUAGUGACGGUAGAAGCAAUUUUUACUCAAAAGCCCAUGGGGACAAGAAAGGAUUCACAACAGCACUAGUAAUUUUGGGUACAAGAGUAAGGUCAAAAUUGUAAAACCAACAAAUUAGCAUUGAGCCCAACACCACCACUUGUCAUAAAUCAAGCUAAUCACUCUGACAACAAAGUAGACACGGACCUGGUGACUUUCAAAUGGGUUUCUCACAUUGGGUAAAAGAAUCAACCCUCGAUGUAAAAGAAAACAACUUGUUUCAAAGCAAGAGAAAAGAAAAACAGGAAAAUGUAGCCAAUUCUUCUCUUCAGCUUCAGCACGUGAGAUCCCCGUGGCAGACGACCACGCUUGAACCAAUCCCAUUCAACCACAUCAGCACAACAACCACCAUUCUUAACAGAUCCGUUCGCGCUUUUACUAUAUAGGUUGAAGACAUUAGGGAAAUUAGCUUCCCGCGUGUUGUCACGGUUUAAAUUGUUUAGUGCGUGUGUGUAUCUAUAUGUUUGACCCAAAAAAACAAAAGAAAAAACUGGCUGAAGUUACUCUCAAAAGUCAAAUCUAAAGGGCACUCUACAACUCCAAGUCUAAUCAAGUGUUACUCUCAUCGCUCCUAUUCGAUGAAUGGAGACUGCAGUGGCGGAGUUAAGACCUUUGUUCACGGGGUGCAAUACUAAUGUUAGUCUAAAUGUAAAAUGUGUUGGUCUAGAAUUUUUUAGUAUCACUAAAUAUUUGUUAUAAGUACACCAAUUAAUUUAUUUAAUAUUACAUUUAAAAAAAAAAAUCUUAUACUAGUAAUUAACCAUUUGCAAUAGUUAUCAGGUCAUGUUAUUUUAUAAAAUUGCAUAAAACUUUAAAAUGUGCAUAAAACUACAAGAAGUAAAGAUCUAGUGUCUAAACUUGGCUAGUAAUGUACAACAGAAUUGGACUGUUAAAGGGAUGUUUGUUGCGCUUGUAAUUCAUAUUAUUGAACACCUAAAAAAGUUCAAUAUUACAUAAUCAAAAACAUUAGUAAGGGAAAAAAAAAUCGUAACAUUGUGUAGUAUAUUUUGUUUCAAGGUUCCAUUAGAAAAGGUAAGAGCAAUUGCAAAAAGUUUUAACACUUUUAGAGGGGGCAAUUGCAGGAUUAGAAGGAAUAUUAUCAAAAUUUAGGGUUUCUGUAGUUAAAAUUAUUUUUAAAAAAAACUCGCAGAAAAAAACUCACCAAAAAACUAAAGAUGCAAACAGGACCCAGGUUAACUAACUUGAUCCCAUUACGUUGCUGACAGAAGCAAGAAUUUAAUUUCUAUAAAAUGGGACUACAUUAAAGAUUGAAAGCCUGCCAUAAUCAAUCACCUGCUCUGAUGUGCUUUUCUUCCAGGCUUCAAAUCGCGGCCGACAACGUUGCUUGGGCCACUAUUGUUUGGCUGCUUUAAAAAAAAUGCAUUUUGCUGGGCAUAUUUCGUGCAAAGUGAUCGAUGAGUUGCAAUCUUCCGGUCUGUCACACAAAAUCAUUAGUCACAUCUUAAUAUCUCUCAUUGACACACACGUUGUUAAUUCCCAGAAUACUGUACCAUGCUUAGAAGUUAAAAAGCACAAUCUAAUAAUAAAAAAAAAAAAGAAUGUUAUAAAGUGCAAUUUGUCCCUCAAGAGAAGUUAACACAAUAAAUAAAUAAGGGUAAUAAAUUUUUUGUUCUUGGGUCUCCACGACUCAAUGAAGUUUAGUAGAGUAACUUUUAAGCCUACACAACAUCCCAUAAAUAGAUUACCCUCUUGAAAAGGAUUCACGUCAUCAUCACAAUUCUCUCCCUUUAGUCAAUUCCACAAUUCCUGCGUAAUCUCUUUUUUUUUUUUUUUUUUUUCAGUUGGGGGUGUCCGGGACUAAACCCGACUAGUCCCCCAACCCCGAAGAGAGCGGGCUCCAUCGAUUCUCAGGAAAUUACGCCGGGUUGCUGAGCGCGGGAUCGAACCCAAGCCGUCUCACCUUAAAGAGAGCUACACGACCACCCGAGCAACCCGUCGGGGGCAAUUCCUGCGUAAUCUCAAUCACAUGGAAAUCAUCAUAUUCCUAUUAGACCCUAAUUCUCUUUUCAUUCGUGAAUUAAAAACCAUACUAAUUAAGAGAUCUUCAGGUUCCAAGUUGCAUGCAACCAUUUGGAACAGAGUUUGAUGGGCGUGCCUCAAGGUAACUAGCUUCUAACCUACUUCUGCACACCCUACCCUGUCAUUGCAGUAUUUACAAUGGACUGAAAUUUGCUAUAUAUAGUUUACAGCUGACAUAAGUAUUGAUGAACCUUUUUCAUAGAUAUUAGAUGCUUAAUUAAACUGAAAAUUAUAAGUUCCCCAACAAGAAAUAGAAAAGAGUAAUCUCAAAGUUGAAGUUCACUCAAGAUUUUGCAGCUACGAAUUCAUGUGUAAUGGGGAAAGGAGCAAAAAAAAAAAUUUCUUAGAUUUAGUAUUAACAAAAUCGUUGAAGGUGUCAAAAUAGAUGAAUUGGACAGAGUUGGACAGUGAUAAUUAGGUAAUAAGUAUAAUUGGAUCAACCCCUUUAUAUUCGUUUAAAGAAAUGGAUAUGAAUGGAGUAUAAAUGGGUAUAUCCAAUUAUCCAUUUAUAAGUCACUUACCGAUCUACUUAUUUUUCAUUUUUUUGUAUGUUGUCUGACAAGAAAUAACAGUAUUUUAUUGUUAUGAAAUUGAUAAUGAAUUCAAAUUUAUCUGCUUAACACUCAUUAAAUAUUGUUGAAUUUAAAUGUGUAAUUAUUUUUAAACGGGUGAGUCAAGUCAAUAUACAAUCCACCAAUUACAUGAUUUUAAUUAGGUACUCAUUUAAAAUUAAUGAAUGGAUUUAGGCAAAUUAUUAGUGGGUGAAUUUGGCUGAGUCAACAUAAUUGGGUUGCAAUUGACACUUUUAAAAAUCACCAACACGUGUUUAUAAUAUCUAGUGGUUGGUAAAGCUUAUUGGCUUUAGGCUGGUAGAACAUUCAAAAAUUAUGGCAUCUCUUUAUCGUCCAUUGCAUCGCGUUGGCAUAGUACGUGUGCAUGUUCUGCUUUUGAUAUGGCCAUAGACUUUUCAACAUCGAAUUUCUGAGGUUCGAUCAUGGAUGUGGCAGACCAUCUGAAGAAGAGCAAAAGCAAGGCCAGUAGCAUCUAUCAACCAUCAUCUGCCACGUUACGGAGUAUGGACCUCUGGAUACAAACCAACCCAACCCAGCCCAGCCCAGCCCAACCCAAUCUCCAGUCUUAUUUACAUUUGUGGACUUUGUCUGCAGGGAUUUUGAUUGCUGAGAGUGUUUCUUAUUAUAUUUUUUUCGCUAGGGACACGAAACCCAUUUGAUAACCUAACUUAGGACUUAAAUUUAAUAAAAUUAUAUCUUAAUAUAUUUAAGUCGUUUGAUAAUUAAAAAUUAAAUAUUUAAAUUAAUUAAAUGACACUGAAUUUUCUAGGUAAAACUUGCUUCCAAAAUUAAGUGAUAAACUAUUCACUUAUCAUUGAAUAUGAUAUAUAUAUUCAAAUGUAUUUGAUUUAAUAUUUAACAGAUCAAUAACUUAAUGGAUUCAAACUUUAGAUUUUAAAUUUCAGUUUUUAAAUUUUAAUUUUAUCAAACGCACCCAAAAUGUUGAAAUCUUAAUUAGAUAAUACUGAUUUUUUGGGAAGACCAAAGGAAAAUUGGAAAAGAAAAAAAAAUGAAAACAAAAUAAGCUUUCUUUGGUCUUUUAUUAAUGAUUGCUGCCUAAAAUUGGCAGGUGGAUAAUACGGGUUUAUCUUUGGCCUUUUAUCUGCAUACAUUUUUACAUUUGUCACUUCUCUUACUCUGACCUUUAUAUACUCUUUGAUUUAAUUUUUACUACCUAUGCCCAUUAACCAAUGCCUGUUAUACAAAGUUACGAACCUAAAGAGACAAAAAAAAAUCUUCCUAAAGUUUUUCUUACUUUUAGUUUAUCAUCUCAAUGAAAAACGGCUAAUCCCUAUUUGUUUUUGAAGUUUCCUACAAAUGUGAAAUAGCAACGGAAUAAAAGAGUCAAAUAAAAUAUGACUUUUUUAACGGGUACUCAAUUAACACUUAUUAAAACACUUCAAUCAUACAUAAUCUAUCACGUGAAUGCAUACUAAUAAUUAUUAUCGUACUUUGUAUUUGUACAUUUUUCCUGUUUAAUUUUAAAAUUUUAAAAUAUUAAUAUUUUAAGCAGUAUCGUGCAGACACGUGUUAGACAGAUUCGUAAAAAUAUGAAACAAAGAAUCUGUUCAUUCCACCCAUCAAAGGGUGACCAAUGUACAAUCCACACCAACCAUUGCUUGCCCAAAGCAGCCAAUUGUACUCCAGAAACAAUUUGCAGUCUAAAAUAUAAAUUGAAUUUUAGAUUUGCUGGUAGAACUAAUAAGAAAUCCCAUCUAGAUUUACAAUUAAAUAUGUGCAUUCAUCCUUUAACUGUUUACACGUAUUAUGUGAACAUUUACACUGGGCUAGACAAAUACUUUUCCAAUUUCAGGGGGGCUUUAUUUUUCACUUUCCAUGUUUGCCCCCCAAAAUCAGCCGACGCGUGGCGCUCAACUCCCUGAUAGAUGAGUGUGGUGGGCGCAAGUAACUAUCUGCACUUGUCACACGGAAUGCAUAAGUUCUUCUCGCCGCCGACACCCCGGCCAGCACCACCACCACCGCGAAAACCGCGUGACGUAGUUGCCAGUUGCCAGUUGCCACACCAUAUAAAGCCCGUUCUCGUAAUUUCACACGACCCAUGUUUUUUCCCCCUCGAUCCACCCCCAACCGGUCCCAUCCGAACACGCAAUGAGAAUUUUCACUGCUCUCUUUCUCUAUUUCUCUCUCUCCCCUUGAUCGUAUUUGUACUGCAUGUAGUCCUAUAAAUCAAGAAGAAAGGAGAGAAACAAAGACAUUGCUUGACCAUCCUCACUUCUCGCCUUGGUGUCUCUUCAUCGCUCAAAAAAUUUUUCUCUCUCUUUUUUUUUUUUCUAUAUAUUUGCUCCGCAUUGUUUCAUCUGGGUUAGACUUCAAUUGAAUUGAAUUUUACCUGUAAGUUUAUCAUCCAUCCAACUCAACUCCUUGCUCUUUUUUUUUUUUAAAAAAAUAUUUUGGUUAUUGAUUUUAGAAUUCUGAUGGAAUUUAUUAUCUGGGGUUCGGUUAUGAUGGAAAUAGAUUAGAUCUUUAGAGAAAUGUGCUUAAUUCUCAUGCAUUUGUGUAUGAUCUGUGAUUGGCAUUGCUUCAUUUGAUCCAGAUCUUAUUUUUGCAUAUUGUUUGUGGGUUUUGCAAAUUUGUUUGGGAAGCUGCAGGUAUUAAUAUUGGUACAGAGAUUUGAACUAAGGGAGGGAAAGGAAAAAUGGGUUGGUUUUUGUUUUCGGAAAUUAUUGGAUGGAUCUGAUAGAAUCAGGUGCAAGUUUGUUCCGAAUUUUUUUUGGGGGGGGGGGGGCUUUUUUAUCUCUUUCCUUUUAUAAUAUUUAAAUGCGUUGAUAUAUUAGCGCAGUUUAUUGAAGUUAUUGAUUUGACAUGAUGACUUAAUGGUGUUAAGAAAUGCGUAUAUGCAAUUGAAUAGAAAAAUGCAUUGUAUUUCAUAUGCGACAACGUUUCCAGCUUGGUCAAGUACUAUUUACUCAUUCUUGAAUGUAUGUUGGGAGAAAAUUGGUCUUGUAAUCUUUCCUUGUCAACAAGUUGUUGCUACCUUGAAAGAUUUAAGGAAAGUGCUGAAUCAUGCUGUCUGAGUACUGAUGUCGGGCUUUUUUUGAUUGAUUUAUGCUUGUUUAUGAGGUAUUUUUGUUUAAGCACCCUCGCAAAGCUAGGGGGCAAUGAUUGUUGUUUUGUAGCAAUUUUUUUAUAACUGUUGGCUGUGAGUGUCCGUUAAUAGCAUUAUGGUAUUGGCAACUGCUAGCACAAUGUCUUGAAAGGGCUUAUUGCAGGUGUGGAGGGGAUUGUUAGGAGUCGUGCAUACGAUUUUCCAUAUUUUGAUUGCCAAGGGAUGUUUAUUUGAAAUGGAUGUUGUAAUUGAUAUUAUCGCUGAAGUAUAUUCCUAUAACUGUCUCUUGAUAUGAGGAACUGUGUUUUUGUGAUUUGUUAUUUUUAGAGGUGAUUGAAAUGGCGCCAUACAAGCCGCAGAAUAUUCUCAUUACUGGGGCAGCUGGAUUUAUUGCAUCUCAUGUUGCUAACCGGCUGGUGCGAAGCUACCCUGAUUACAAGAUUGUUGUCCUUGACAAGCUUGACUAUUGCUCGAAUAUGAAGAACCUGCUUCCCUCUCAAUCGUCCCCAAAAUACAAGUUUGUUAAAGGGGAUAUUGCAAGUGCUGAUCUUGUCAACUACUUGCUUAUCACUGAGUCAAUUGACACAAUUAUGCACUUUGCUGCACAGACCCAUGUUGAUAAUUCCUUUGGCAAUAGCUUUGAAUUCACCAAGAACAACAUUUAUGGCACACAUGUGCUGUUAGAGGCUUGCAAAGUUUCUGGCGGUGUGAGAAGAUUUAUACAUGUGAGCACUGAUGAGGUCUAUGGUGAGACUGAUGAAGAUGCCGUUGUGGGAAACCAUGAAGCCUCACAACUCCUUCCUACAAACCCGUAUUCUGCCACCAAAGCUGGAGCUGAAAUGCUUGUUAUGGCAUAUGGUAGAUCAUAUGGCUUACCUGUAAUAACUACGCGAGGAAAUAAUGUUUAUGGUCCUAAUCAAUUUCCAGAAAAGUUAAUCCCAAAGUUUAUCCUUUUGGCUAUGAGAGGGAAGCCUCUUCCCAUUCACGGUGAUGGUUCUAAUGUACGAAGUUAUCUCUACUGUGAGGAUGUUGCCGAGGCAUUUGAAGUUAUUCUUCACAGGGGAGAAGUUGGUCAUGUAUACAACAUUGGAACUAAGAAGGAGCGAAGAGUGAUUGACGUUGCUAAAGAUAUAUGCAAACUUUUUAACAUGGAUCCUGAGACAAACAUCCAAUUUGUGGAGAACAGGCCGUUCAAUGAUCAGAGAUACUUCCUGGAUGAUGAGAAGCUGAAGGACUUGGGUUGGUCAGAGAGGACCAUAUGGGAAGAAGGACUAAAAAAGACUAUGGAAUGGUAUAUCAGCAACCCAGAUUGGUGGGGGGAUGUCACUGGAGCGCUGCUUCCUCAUCCUAGAAUGUUGAUGAUGCCUGGUGGAAUUGAAAGGCAUUUAGAUGAAUCUGGAUCUUCUGAAGUCUUAGAGAAUUCUCAUCAGAGCAAAAUGGUGGUCCCUACUGCUAAGAGCAGCAACCCACCAAAUAAACCAGUCCUCAAGUUUUUGAUUUAUGGUAGGACAGGGUGGAUUGGUGGUCUGCUCGGGAAAUUAUGUGAGAAACAAGGGAUUUCUUAUGAGUAUGGAAUGGGGCGGCUGGAAAAUCGGUCACAGCUUUUGGCAGACAUUCAAGCUGUCAAGCCGACACAUGUUUUCAAUGCUGCUGGUGUUACGGGCAGACCCAAUGUUGAUUGGUGCGAGUCACAUAAGACUGAAACAAUUCGUACGAAUGUUACGGGGACUCUCACCUUAGCUGAUGUAUGCAGAGACAAUGGUCUGCUGAUGAUGAACUUUGCUACUGGAUGUAUAUUUGAAUAUGAUGCUGCUCAUCCAGAGGGAUCUGGUAUCGGGUUUAAGGAGGAAGAUAUACCUAAUUUUGCUGGAUCUUUCUAUUCAAAGACCAAGGCCAUGGUAACGUCUCUUUCCUUGACAGAAUAUUCGUGUCUUGAAGAACUUGUACACAUAGAAUGUUGCUGAUUGAUCUUCUCUUUUUCCAUACAGGUUGAAGAGCUGCUGAAAGAAUAUGACAAUGUGUGCACACUCAGGGUCCGGAUGCCAAUAUCUUCAGACCUCAGCAAUCCACGAAACUUCAUUACCAAGAUAUCCCGCUACAAUAAAGUGGUUAACAUCCCCAACAGCAUGACUAUCUUGGAUGAACUUCUUCCUAUCUCAAUUGAGAUGGCAAAAAGAAAUCUCAGGGGCAUAUGGAACUUCACAAAUCCUGGGGUGGUUAGCCAUAAUGAGAUUCUGGAGAUGUACAAAAAAUACAUUGAUCCAGAAUUUAAAUGGGCCAACUUUACCCUUGAAGAACAAGCAAAGGUGAUAGUUGCCGCUCGAAGCAAUAAUGAGAUGGAUGCUACCAAAUUGAAGACCGAAUUCCCUGAGUUGCUACCAAUCAAGGAGUCGCUGAUAAAGUAUGUCUUUGAACCAAACAAGAAAACUUCUGCAUAGAACGAUUGCAAACCUCUUGGGGUUUGAUUCUGCAUUUUCCGUAUUAGAGAUUAUAUGAUUUUGUACGUUAGUUUGUAGCCGUUUCUCAUCUUAGCGUCAGCUCAUUUUUUUCCAUUGUUACAGAUUCCGGAUAGCUAGUAGGAAUAUUAUCAUGUUCUUUUUCAUUUGUCUACGGACUAAAAGUUAGUUCUUUCCCAUAUGAGUAGGGCUUUCUUAAAUUUCUUGCCCUAUCAUCAAGGCUUGUAACAGUUGGAAUCUAUCAUAUGAUAUAUAUGUUCAAUUGUCCUCUCUAUAUUUUCAUCGAUAUAAUACGUGGGAUGCAUUCAUCGUCCCAAGACAUUUGUCAGCCUUGGGCGCUAAUGUAGAUGAUCUAAGGUUUCAAUUAUAACACUACUUGUUCGUCUGAUUUAUAGGUGGCAAAUCAACCCAUUUAAUUAAAUUUAUCCGUACCCGUCCAUGAAUAGAUGGAUAUGGGUAUUUAAAAUUUUUGCAUAUGGGUAUAAAUGGGUAUUAUUGGGUAAUCCAUCAAAUCUAAUUAACCCAUUUAGAAUUGUCUCUCUCCAAGUCUCCUGUCUUCCUCCACCUAUAUAUAUAUUUUUUCAGAUUUUUCAUUUUGUCAUGAUGUUAAUUACUUUUGCUUCAUUAUUAUUAUUAUUUGUUGGUUUUAUCUUAUCAUUUUAUUUUUUCUUAGUUUGUUAACUUGCUCAUUUUUCAGCAUUACCAAUUUAUACAUGAAAAAAUGUUAGGGGUUCAAAAUUUUUGGAUUAAGUUUUUAUGUUAGUUUUUAUAGUACUUAGUUCAAAUUUUUGUAUUCUUAUUAUUCAAUUAUUAAAUAGCAUGCAACUUUGCGACAUAAAGUACGGAAAGGAAAAAAAUUGAUAAUUAGGCUUAUUGAACAUUAUAAGUAAAUAUUUAAAACUAAUGAUGGGUGCAAAAGGCGGUAUAAAUUGAUAAGUUAGUUUACAAAAAUGAAUUUAAAUGAGUUACAAAAGUUAAAAUAAAUGGAUUAUAAAUGGGUAAUUGGGUUACCCAAUUCAUUUUUUGACUUACCCAUUUAUAUCCAUCUAAUUAAAUGGAUAUAAAUGGGUUGACUCACUUAUACCCAUUACCCAUAUUAUCCAACCCAAACCCCCCCCCCCCAAGUCACCCAUUUUGCUACCUCUAAUCUGAUUUGUUUGAUUCCGAAGCCAAGCUUGAAUGAUGCCUUUGUUUAAAGCAGAAACUGGGCAUAAUCUUGCGAAAAUGAAUCUUUGUGUAUGAUUUGUGACGUUUUCCUAAUAAUGUAAAAGAUGGAGCUGGUGACAAUUUUUAAGCUAAAAUAGAUUUAGACAUUUCAGGCAGAGUACUAACCUCGCCAACCAAGAAAAAAUAAGCUGGGAAAAAAAAAAAAGAAAACAGGAGAAUAAUCCACUCACCUUUGUCACGCCAACUGCUCGUACCUCAACUGACCUGCUUCCCUGAGCAACAUCAACUGAUGCAUUUGAGAUUGGACCUGUCCACAGAUGCUGCAGCAUAUCUCUAGCUUGCAAUCUUCCAAAUUCCACAUCUAACAUGGAACCAAGAGAAGAAGACAAUAACCAAAAAAACUGUAGCAAUGGGAAUUUGCAACAACACAAACUUGGAUGAACACCAGUGAAACAGAUUAGUUACCUGCAUAUUUGUAAUUCCAUACAAGUGAAGUUUCCCGGAGUUCAUAAUGAGAUCGGGGUGUCCUUUCGGUGAAAUACUCGAAGACAUGCUGAAAAGUAGACAAAAGAAUCCAAAUAUCAGAGGCCAAAAGAUGCAAUAAAAAUACCACCAUACAUGUAUAUACCUUUACACUGUCAACCCAAUCCAUGUUUAAAUGCUCUGGCAUUGUUGUCAUCCAUUCACCCUUGGUAGAUCUCAGAAACAUCCCAUUCUCUGCUGCUAACCACAUGUUAUACUCACCAAAGUUCUGCAAAGACACACAUUUCACAAUGAUGUACAAGACAUUCUAAAGUAAAGAACCUAAAAGGGAUCCCGUACCUCAUCCAAGACACUUCUAUCACUUCCACUGAGGACAACAACCGUUGUCUUUGGAUCACUACAAAGAGCUGUCAAUGGUCCUUUCACCUCCGGAUGCAGUUUCAAUUCCAUUUCUUUAAUUUGAUCUCCACCUCUUCUUCCAGGAGUAUCUAUUGAUUCAGUUAGUGUAGCAUUGAAACCCUACAGUUUUGGUUCAUUCACAACAGAACAAAAACAACAGACAUGAAAUCAUAAUAGGAUCUAAAACCAACAGCCAUGAAAUCAUGGUACGAUCUAACACACAUACAUGAGUGGUGCCCUAAAUAUCCACAUUAUAGAUAUUUGAUAUUUAGUCCAUGAUGUCUUCCUUGGAUUUGAUAUGGCCAAAUCUACACCACAUAUGUCACCAGCUAAAACAAGCAAGAUCUUUAUAACUUAAAUCAAGAAGCAAGAGAGAAAGAAAAUAUGCAAUAGAGAAACUCAGCAUUAUAGCAUAAAAUGCAUCAAAAAGUUCACUUAUUAAAUUUUUGCUUUACCAAUUUUCGAUCAUUUACUUUCUUGCACCACGAGAUAAGUUUUAUAUUUGUCUCAUCUCUUUGUUCUUUAGUUUCUCUACUUUGUCGUAAGGGUAGAAAAAUGAGCUAAGCACCCUGUAAUUUUACCAACUUAUUCAAAAGACGCUUCUUUCUACUUGUUAAUGCUCACCCAAUAUGCUAUAUAUCACAAACUCCCAAAAUUAGUAGAGUCAGUGACCUGAUAAAUCCUGAUGUUUACUUUCUUUAGCUUAUUCUUCUCAUCAUUUUCCAUAUCACACCUUGGCAGAUGUGUCACUUCAUGUCAUAUACUAAAAAAAAUAUCUUAAAGAUUCAAAAAAGACAUUACACUUGUAAGCAAGUGAUACUGUACCACAACAUAACUGUACAAAGAACUUUUAUCAGUAAAAUACAAGAAACAAGCAAAUUGACGCAAAUCAAGUCUGUAUUUGUUUCUAUACCGUAAUAUAACUGACAAAAUUGCUUACUAACUACAUCACAACCAAAAGCAUGUACUAAUUGUAUCAUUCAAUUUUUAUGAACUCAAAUGCCCAAUGCAGCAAAAUCUACUCAAUCAACCAAAAAAAAAAAUUCAAAUGAGAAAGACAUCAUUAUACCAGUAUGAGCAAUCUGUUAUUAGACUGCAAGUAGCGUUUCACUGCAUCAGUGACAUUAAGCGGUGGUGGAACUUUUCUUAUCCUCUGCUGAGCCUCAAUAACAGUGUCAUUUAAUUCACUGCAAAACCAGUUAAAAGACACUCAAUUUCAGUUUAUCAGCUCUAAGCAAAGAAAGCAAAAGAUGGAGAUUGAGACAACAUAAAUAGCUAGGGUAUUUAUCUGAGCCAUCACAACAAUUUUAAUGUUUUCAGAAGCACACUAAGUUGAUAGCUCUUGAAAAAGCAACAAAUCUGUGCAGAUUUUGCUUUCGUACUGCAUUUGAAUGCAUUGAAUUAAUUAAACAUUGUAGGAAUUCAUUAUGGCUGCCAUAAACGUGUAAAAAGAAUAAAUGAACUCGCCAGAAUCCCCUAAGAGAGGCAUAAAAAAAAAAUGAAAAAUGCACAUAAAAAUUGUACGUAAAUCAUUUUUCUGCAAAUUGCAACUUAAGGAUAUUAGUUUAGAGCAUAUUAAGUUGUUAGAGAAGAGGUUUAUAUCACAUGGCUGACAACUGCGUAUACAGUUUAAAUAGAUCAAAUGUGUAGCAAUGUUGAAAAAGUUAAUUGUGCAGAACUGAACUACCUCUAUCAUGUGGAUUAAAUUAGGCUUUUUGGCCAAAAUGAGAUUUUGGAGAUCAACUCAUAACAACCACAAAGUCGAGCCAAAAUAACUGAGAAGCAAUGGAUUCAACUCCAAUUGUACCUACUUAUACGCAGAUUGAUAAAGGUUAUCACUAUACCAAGUCGAUCCUUAAUGGUCACUUGUUUGCAUGGAAACCAAUAAACUCUAACUUCAAGGCAAUGUUAUAUUUGCCUGCUAAGAGCAUCAAUGGCUCAAAAAAUUCUAGAUUCAUAGCACAGAACAAAUUCAUCACACUUCUUUUGGACAAAGCAAAUUGUAUUGAGUAUUUUUAGCUGAAAACAUUUGCCAAAAUCUCCCUUUUUCAACUUACUAAUAAAUUCUAGAUAAAUAUGGGUAAAAGUAGUUUUCCUUCUGACAAUCACCUGAUGAUCAAUACUGACCUCAGUUGUGUUUAAACACAUUCCUAGUCCUUCUAAUCUCCUUCUGGCUCGCCAUCAGCUUAAGUGCAUGAGACAAUUUAUGCCAAAGCAGGGAAUAAAAGGAGUGUUUUUUCAACAUAAAUACCUAUCCAUCACCAUCACUUCACCUUGUACUAAGUUUCGCUAUUGCAUGACCGCUUUCACGCAUUAUAACCGUAUCACCUCCUUUCUACCAUUUUAAUUCCAUCAAUAGAAUCUAUACCAAGGGUUGAGAGAGUGACAGCUAUACAAAUCCAUACUAGAAAUGAAAUUUAAUUUAUCACGCAAAGGAUGAAGAUAUGUUUCAAAUUUUCUCAAACUACAUUAAUAUAUUUGAUGUCCAAGUAAAGAUGUCCUGAUUGAUCAGUAUAGUGAAUUAAUAUUUGAUGCACAAAAGGACUUUACUGGAAUAUUUUGAAGCUUUUGAACAACACAGUCUCUUCCAUAUGGAUUUCGUGUGACACAGAAAUUGCAAUCAAAAUUUCUGUGUUUCUAUCCUACCUGUUUGGUGACAUGCAUUCUAUUCUGGGAUCUUACAAUACGUUUAAUUCUCCUAAACCAAUUUAUUUAUACAUGAUCCUGAUCUUACCCAUUCCCUUCAACCAUUAAACAGUAACUUCAAUGGCUGAAUUGACAUAAAGGUCAAAGUUAACUAGCAGACAAUUUCAAGUAGACGUCUAUCUCUGCAAACCAAAUUUCAAACUCUUGAAUGAGUACUCUAGUAGUUCAGUUUCCGAAAAUUCCUUACGUCAUUUCCUCUUUCUUAUUUCAUGUCAAAUCAAAUCCUAUCAUAUUGAAUGGAACUGAGUGUCAUCUAACGAAGUAGCUACGAUAAUUAUUUAUUACAACAGAAGCACAUCAUCCUGUUUCAUGCUAUUCCUACUUCAAUGUUUUAUGUUUUCAGCCAUCAUUAUAACUUGCAUAAAGUUAAAUAAUGACAAUAGAGAGGCCAGUCAGUAAGGGAAAAAACAAUGCAGUAAAUUAUUUUUUGACAGUCACCACAUGCACAAUCACUAAAAGAUAGGAGGUGACUACUGAGGCCGAUUCCAGAAUGUAUUGGUUCAGUGAAAUUUAAUCCCAUGGUUCAAGGCCAAGGACACAUAAUUAAUAUAACAAACACAGGGCCAAUGAAAAAUGAUGAAGCACAAUAGAUGGGUUGUAGACAAGAUAGAUUUGGUAAAAGAAUACAAGCCAAGAAGAGGACAAGAGUUCUGCAACUCUUAGAAGGUACGACUGAACUUGACAUGAUUUUAUUCCAUAUAAUAUCUUUUGUAAAAGCACUACAAGUCAAAGAUUUAGUAGUAUAGAAAAUAUUUGGAGGCCCAGCUUCUCAAGGACUAUUUAUAAAUAAGGAAAGUGUAAAAAUGUAUAUUUGAAAUUGAUGUAUGAUGGCCAUCAAAACUUCAAUAGAUGAUGAUACAAAUGCUAGUGCAAAGAAAUCUACCAAAAGAAGAAAAAAGAAAUCAAAAUGAUAGUAGAGACACUAGAAACCCACAUAUUCACCAUUCUGUGGGAUUCCCCAAACUAUGAAUUCUGCAUCAAAGAAUCUCUUGAUAAAGAGAGAAAGGUCUACCAUCUACUCCAAAGAGAUGUGAAGUGUUGUAACAUUUCUCCGCGCCGGUUUUGGGACCCUUCAGAAGUUCAAAGAUGAGUUAUUUCAAAUCUUGCUGGAAUUGGGGAAAAAAAUAGUGUCGAUAAAAAUCUAAAGUCUGUUAAAUCAGCAUAAUUUUCUAGAAAGGAGGCAUUAUUUUCGGACAUGCCGAGAAAGAAGGGAAAGUAUAUGGUAAGGUAGUGCAAGAUGAAAAGGCGCUGAUAAAAACAAAAGUAUUGGUUUCUUAUGGUUCUUAUGGUCAAAAGAACCAACUCCACCAACAAGAUACCUAUAUACAUUUACACAGAAAGAUUAGGCAUUCUUUCAUGUGGUCUCAAAGAAGCCAUCAUGAUAUGAGUGGUACUCCUGGUAUAUGAUUGUAGUUUGGUCGACGUAUUUAAAACCUUCACAAAACUACUACUAAAAUUUGGAAGUUUGAGCACUGGUCAUUAGUCAUGGAGUGCUCAAGCAUUUAGACUCAUAAGAAGAAUAAUUGCAACAAAAUUAGUUCUUAAAUAGUUCAGGUAGGCAAUUUAGGUAGAAAGGCUACAAUAUGUGGCAUGAAUGAAAAAGAAAACCAAUUGGUAUAUUCUCACAAUGUAUCAGCACAAAAUCUAGAAAAGGAAGUCUAGCAGUUGUCUUCUAUCCAUCAAUAUGUACAGCAUUUCCUAAUCUUUAUCAUAUUAGACAGCAGAGACAAGUUAAGCGUUUAUGGAGUUUCAAAAGAAAUGAGACUAUAAUCACACUCUUAAGUUCACAAACCUAACAAAAGUUUCAGCCCAUUCUUGAGCAGUAUGGGUUGUCACAUGUGCGAAGUUGUGUCGGUGACGUUUCUCCCUUUCUUCAGCAGGCAUAUUCAAUGCUUGGCCUAUUGCAGCAGCAACUUCAGUAAUAUUCCAAGGAUUCACCAGGAUUGCUCCAGCUCCCAAAGAUUGUGCAGCACCAGCAAACUAGAGUCCAGUGAAACUAAUUACUAACAAGAAGAUGCAUAAAGUAUUGCCUUCAGGGCAUAUACUUGAAAAUGACCUUCAUUUUUCAAUCGCUAAAUCAUCACAAACAACUUUCAGUAUCAAAGAGUUGGCAGUACUUGCCUCACUGAGAAUGAGAACCCCUUUUUUGGAAUCUUGACAAGCAACAAACUCAUAGCUAACAAGAUUCAUUCCAUCUCGCAAAGAUGUGACAAGUGCUACAUCUGAUCAGCAAGACACAGAUGAUGAUUGGAAUUUGGAAGUGUUAAAAGGCCUAAAGGCAGAUGUAGAUCAAGAGAGACAACAAAACUGUAAAUACUUCUAAAGUAAUAUGAGGGUUGCAUCUCUUAUAAUCCAAUAUGCACUAUUGAAGCAAAAGAAUUAACCAUUUGGUUGAAGCACAAUAUGAUCUAAAAGAUGCAACAAAUAAUUGUGAAAUAGCCAUGAAUACUGGGGAAACUCCACUGUGGUUUCCAAAGUCAACCUUCUAGGUGAUAUCAGUAUAAUUUCUGCAAUCAAGAUGACUGAAAUUUUAGAGAGCUGACAGUUGUUUUCAGAAAUGAUGAAAGUCAUUCUUUCAUACUUUACUUUAGGCCUUCAAACAAAAUUAAACAUGUUUAUCUCGUAAUUGCUUACACAACCACCUAACUUGCCAAUAUUUCACACACAUAUUUUACUUUUAUCUUGUUAUAGGUACAUGUUAAGGAUGAUGAAGGCCCUAAUCUAGUCCAAUCAUUUAGGGCACAGAUGGUCCAUCGCUCAGUGGUUCAGCCUGCUUCAGCUGUGAACAUGUUUCUUACAGAAUCAUGCCCUCAGACUAGAUUACAGAAAUGGGGAAAUAAUCCCAAUAUGUUCCAGAAAAAAAUUAGUAUAAUAUUCUAUACCCAAUUACUUUCAUUCUAAUAAGUGAAUGCCUAGACAGCUAGUAUGUGUAAAAAUUAAUGUUCAUCAAGAAGAUAAGGAUAUGAAAGAGUUAUAACAGGUUAGAAUACUCUAAGUACAUGAAGAGGACGUUGAUGCCUCUAGCAAAUUAUAACAUCUGAAACUGGUAGUGUAUGAGAAGGAAAAGUGAGUCAUCUAAGUAUCAUUGCAGCAAAGCCAUCAAAUCCUGGUCACAGUCUACAAUUUAAUGCAAGAUCCUAAAUGCUUGAGGUUAGACUGCAUAAAACACAGUUUAAUUAAGACUUAAAGACUAAGUCUGAAAAUGAACCAGUUCAUUGUGUCCAACUAAUUUCGAGUUCCACAAAUAAAAAUAUUCAAGAUGAUUAAAGUGGACGAAACUGAUGACUUAGAAUCUAGAAACCAUUAAACCAAAAAAAAAAAACAUGUUUAAGGUAACUUCUUGGACUGAAAAUGACGAAGUUGGAAAAGAAAUGAAUCGCUUCUCAUAUUUCAUGUUCAAGGUGACUGAAAAUUUACAUAGCAGCCCUAAAAAGAAUUGAGAGGAGGACAGGUGACGAAAAGACGUGUCAACGCCAAAGCCUCAUGCCCAAUAAAAUGCAAAUUAAAAUUUCUUAGAAACUAUAAACAAGCAAAUGAAACUUUUCUCCCUUAUUUUCCAUUUGCUUUUUACCAGUUAUACACGUUUAGUACAAUAAGAAUCAAUUUUCUUCAAUUUACCUCUUCUCUACAAGUAGCCAGUUCCAAUUACAAAUACUCAAUGUGCUAAAGAAAGAACAGAAACAUGAAACACUGAAAAAAUGUAUUAGAGCCAGCAAAAUCAAGUUAGCACACAAAUUGCAUCACUCAAAGCAAAGUGUGGCAAUAAAUCAGCCAAAAUCAAAAGUACACUACAAACGUUACUAAACAAUUUAGGUAAUCAUGCUCUUAAUCCAGUUAGCUUCUAAGCAGUAACUAUAUUAAUUACAUUUUGUAAGGUUCAUUAGCCAUAUACAGGACACAGAAUCUUAUCUUCCAAAAGCUGAGGAUUUGAAGAUCUUGAGAACAUAGAAUUAGUACCAGUAACGGCAUAGACCGCACAGAGUGCAUGGAAAUCAAGAGAACGAUCCUGCAGGAAAAAAAAUUUGCUUUAGGGAUGGAUACUUUACAUUCAUAUUUUUGCCAAAUGAUACCUGAAAAUGGGGUUGCUUAUAAUCACACAUACACAAAAAAAAAAGCAGCAAAAUAUUUCUUCAUCUUUUAAAUAUUAGAGAAUGGUAAAGAAAAACUGAUUUUCCGCCAGAGUAACUUUAUAGGGAAUAUACUUCAGUCAUUCUUCAUAAGUGGAUGGAAAGAGGACUAAAGACCUAGAAGUUGGGCAUGAGAUUAUGUAUAGGCCCACAUUACAGCAUGUGAGUUACCUUGGGCAAGAAAUCUCAAAAGUGCACUAUAACCUAAAUCCUAUGGCAGUUGGAAAUGAUGCAUUAAACAGUGUCACCAUCCUUGGUUUUACCAAAAAAACUGUAGUCUAUGUAAGAGAUCAACUUAAGGACACCAAGCUGUGAAAGGUAUUAUUUGCCCAAAGGGGAAGAACUACUGUUUAUUUUCAGUAGUAAACAUCUCUAGUGGUCAAUUGAAGAAAGCAAAGAAUAGAUUCGUUAAAAUCAAUGAAAAGACUGACCAGAUGAUGAAUUGGAACCCCAAUUAGAGUUCCAAAUUUUCCAUUGAUGCGUCCAACAAUUUCAUGAACCUGGCUCGUAAGCUUUUGAUCUGUAAAUACCAGAUAAGAGAAAUAUCACUUUGUAGAAGAUAUAAAUAAGGAAAUACAAAAUGUGCUAACCAAGGGAAGAAAGAAGAGUUGAUAUCUGGAGAAGCACUAAUGGCUUUGCCAAGAACAGAAGAACUUAAAAGAGCUGAUCAUUUCAAAAGCAUACAUUCAGGUACAUCUGUCCUUGUUGGCACAGCAAUUUGCAGCAAAACCACUUUAUCGCACCAAUAGGAAUUUUCCUCAAGAAAUUUUUCAAAUGCUAAUAUCUUUUGAGGAAUUCCUUUAAUCAUAUCAAGCCGAUCAACCCCUAACAUAACCUGAAAGAAACAUUCUGGGUUAUAAAAUUAGAACAUCCUAGAAUCAGAUCGUGCAUGAACACAACAAGAAAUGACUAUCAAAGCAUAUUUGACAACAUGUUUUGCUCAAUUUCUAUAGUAAACAUGGUACAUAACUGAGUUUUCAGAUUUCAAUGCCACGAGUUGGUAAGAAUCAAAGUAAAUAGUGCCAAAAAAAUGUAGUAAAAGCAGCAUAUAUAAUUAAUAGUUCACCCUAAAUUCAAUUAUACAAAAUUAGGGUAAUCACUUAAAAAUAUGAUGCACAAAGCUACUAAAAGCUCGAUAGAUCGAUAAAAAGAUUGGGGAAUGUGCUGAUAUCCUACAUGUCUGUAUAGAUACUCUUGUGAGCGCACAGCCUAUGCAAAUAUGAUACAUGCAUGUAUCCAUGGGUGUGCGUAUGGUUAUGGCUGGGGAGGGUGUGUGCGUGGGUGGGUGGGUGGAUGUGGGUGUGUGUGUUGUGAGAGAGAGAGAGUGUGUGUGUGAGAGUGUGAGAGAAAGUCAGAGUGAGACAGAGGGGGUGGAUACAAUUGUGAACAACCACAGGUGAUACAUAUUGCAUGCUCAUCAAUAUACAAAAGAAGAAGAGAGGAAAUCUUAUGAUAUGAGAUGUAAACAUUCAAACAAAAAUACAGAUUUUCCAAUUUAUACAAAUCAUAAUACAGGAAUCUAAUACUUUAUCAAUCAUAUGGACUCCAAAUGGAGAUCAUAUAUGAAGAUAAACAUACAAACAUCACCCAGAAUUGCCGAACUUCAUCAAACUUAAAUAAAGAAGUGGCUUCUAUCACUAAGAUCAGAAGGCCAUAGAGACAAUAAGGCAAGAAAAUAUGGGAAGGCAAAAGGGUAUGGGAGAGAGAGAGAGAGAGAGAGAGAGAGAGUACCUUUUUCCCAGCAAAUCUUUCUUUUAGUUCUUUGAUGUGUUCCUGAACUUGAGGAACUUCAAGUGCUCUAAUGAAUCGUUCUGAAUCUAUCCCAAUGGGAAACUAUUUUCCACCAAAACAGAACACAUGCAAGGGUUACAAGAGUGAAGCAGUUUAAACUAAUCACGCAGUCUUCAGUCUACUUUUACACAAAAAUUGAAUGAGAAAAGAAAAAAAUAAUUACUUAUACAGGAGAAAAUGAAUGAAAAAAAAAAAAGAAAAGAAGCACAAAUUAGAUUAUCAUACUGCAGCCACACGGGUCAGCCGUCCCUGAUCCUCCACUCCUUCGGGGGUACCUUCUAAUCCAAGUAUUCGAGUACAAGCACUAACAAAAUGCCUUGCAUAAUCAUAUGUGUGGAAGCUGCAAAACGUGUUCAGCUUAAACUCAGCUUGCAAGUUCCAUGCGUCAAUCUUAGUAUAUUAAAGGAGACUUUAAGAUGAUGUAUGCAAUAGCUUGAGUCAAGUGCAGGAUAUCAUUGAAUGUGGCAAUUACAAGAUGAAAGAUGAGGUAAUUAACAAAGAAAUACAUUUUAGACAGUAGCGAGAGUAGAAAAGGGAUUUCCCAGCAGAAAUUCACCCAUGAACAGGUUGAACUCAUUGUCAAGUUAGAUUGGACUAUGCCAGCAGUGCCUAAUUUGGAACAGAGACAGAGACAGAGCCCAGAUAAACAGUUAAAUAACAGACUAGACUACAAAUAUGCAUGAUGGAAUGACUCAUCAGAAUAUAUAGACUCGAGCAAAAUAUGAGGCCUUGCUUUGUGCACAAAGAAUUUUGUCAGCUUAAGGAAUCCAUGUUGAUUAAGCUAGCUGGUAUCAAGGCAUAAUCUGUAGGGUAUCUUUUAUGAACAUAGCAGUGACAAAACUCUGCAUUCAUGUUACUGAGCUGCUCUUGUAUUGCUUUUUCAGUUUCUUUUGGGUGGAUAAAUGAUAAUUAUUCUCUCAAAGUGAUGCUGUGUGAAAUAAAAAUUAGUCAUUGCUUUGUGUACUUUGGUUUACUUAUUUCCAAAACAAAAAAGAAAAGAAUCUAGAUUAUCUUUGAAUUCCUAGAUUUCAAGGCUCGAUCCAUGACCCUUCUGACAAGAUAGGGUUGUACCACUGCAACAGAAAACAUAGAUAAGUAUGUUUGUCCAAUCCUUACCCAACCAAAUCAGCAUGUAGUACUGCACGUAACAGGUCUGUACGAGAUGGCAAUGUGCGAUGAAUUUCAGAAGAUGGAAAAGGUGUAUGCAGAAACCAACCAACUUUCAUGUUCCUAUUGUGAUCUUUGAGACAUUUUGGAAGGAACAUGAGAUGGUAGUCAUGACACCAAACAACGUCACCCUCUUCAUAAUGCUUAUUCACAACAUCAGCAAACAUCUUAUUUGCUUUCUUGUAUGCAGCAAAUUGGGACUGAAAGCUCCGGGUAGUUGCCAGACGGUCUUCCUGUGGAAGUCCAAGAUAAUGGAAAAGAGGCCACAAUAUAUUGUUGCAAUACCCGUUGUAAUAUUGGUGAACUGUCUCUUCAUCCAAGAAGACGGGGAUACACCUCUGCAGAACAUCAAUGAGGCAGUAAGAUAAAUAUCUAACUUAGCAUUCCUCAGACAUGAAAUUCCAGUUAUACUGCAACAUCCAUAAACAUAAUUUUGCUGGAUACUGCAAAAAAUGAAGAUCAAUAAGGCCUAAAAGCCUCGUGCAAAAGAAAGCCUAUAGAUUGCACCUUCUCAGCCAAUGCUUUAGUAAGUGCCUUUUGACCAGCCUCAUCUGGUACAUUUACACCAGCCCAGCCAAUCCACCUUGCUUCAAAUUCUUUCACACCUUCAACGAUUCAAAGUUUCCAGGAAUUAGACAUUCUGUUUGCCAUCCUCAAUAGUCAAUACAGGUAGCAAAACAAAAUGAAUAGAACCUAUUGCUGAUAAAGUCAAGUCUAAAGAAGAGAAAAAGAAUGCUUACCAAGUAGAGCACUGACUAGACCCCCAGCACUUAUCUCCAAUGACCAUGUUUCCUCACCUCUCCUUACCGCAGACACUGGAAGCCUAUUAGCCACCACCAAAAGCCUUUGCCUGAUGGGCUUCCCAUCAAUCCUUUCCCAUCCAUCAUUAAGUGCUAGUGCAGCCAAGGCACCUUCCAAAUAUUGCUCCACAUAUGAAACUCCCGAGACAUCCCCAUCUCUGAGGCGCAAAUCGUGUUCAGAGAGUUCAGUCCUAAUGUUGCCAUCAAUAGAAUCACUUGACUGAGAAGCUCUGCUGCUUUUCCGUAACUCUCUUACUCUCAAAAGCCUCUCAAUUCGAGAUGUGGGGGUGGCUGAAUUGCUGUUGUACUUGUUUCCAGGCAUACGGGCAAUCUAGAAUUGGACCUCCGAAUACUAAAUUUAAUAGAGUUCCUGUUUCCCAGGAACCACCAAAUGUCCUGCAUAUCGACUAAACAAAUUACUAACACAUGCGCAGAUCAAAACAAAGUUCCAGCAAAUGUGACACUAAGGACAAAUAUAAUGGCCAGUUUUCCUAAAACAGAAUAAUGUAAAACAAAAUUCUACAGCAGUACAACAACUUUCUAUCCUUUUCUUUUCACAGUGAUGACAAAGACAAGGGAAAAAGAAAGAGGGCCAUCAACAUUCAUGGUAAAUAAAUAUUAGCAAAAAGGACAAGCAUAAACAAAGAGACAACAAAGACAAUGGGAUCCACAGAAUUGAGUGAGGGCAAAAAUGGGGUCUACCAUUAAGUCCCCCUCUAAUUAUAUAUCCCAAGAUUCCAGAAUAACACCAGCUGUAAAAUUCAUAGGGUCACAGAACCAAGUCCCAACUUCAGUGCAAGAAAAAACCAGAGAUGACAGGUAACAAAAUUACCCCUUUGAUAAAUACGAAAAUGUAAGCAUGCCCCAUGAUCAGAAUGGCCAAUAUAGGAAACAAAUGUUGAAGGAAAGCAAGUGACUUUGCCGAAAAUUUUCCAACUCAUCCUGUUACCGUAACGUACAAACAUAAUGCUGCAGUCAGGUUCACAUUCAAGAUUCGAAUUGUAUGCUAGAGAGAUAGGAAGAGUGUAGGGAGGCAUGGGGAGGGUAAAAGAAAAAAGAAAAAAAAAAGGAAAAACAUACAAACAUAAUGCACGCAAAAGAAUCACACUAACUUAUGAGAGCUAUGCAAUAUAAUUCUGGCCAGUAAGUUGAAAAAGAAAGAGAAAAAAUCAAGAAACAGUGGAGGAAGGAAAAAAAAAAGAACAGAAAAAUCAACACUCAAAUUUAGAACAAGAAACAAGAAAAUCAAUGCCAGCCCAAAUGGGUGUUACCUUAAUUGAACGAAAAUGACAAGGGUCUUGAGUUAAAAUCGAGAACCCAGAAAUUUGAGGCGGUGGAAGAGUGAGAAGGCAAAUGAUAAAGCGGUGAUUUCAAGAGUGAAGUACCGUACCAAGUAAUAGAGUGAGGGAGGGAGGGAGAGAGAGAGAGAGGGGGAGAGAUGGGUAGAAGAAGAGGAAAACAAAAAAGAUUCUGGCUCCGGGUGGCAAAGAAUUAUCAAAGAGAGAGAAAAAGAGAAUCCUCGUGUACGUUUUACACGGUGCAUAAAGCCUUCCAGCCAUGCAGACGCCACCAAAAUUUGUUGAUGGAUACCCUCCUUUUCACAAAUUUUCUUUUUAGUUUUCAAGUGGAGUGCCACUCUCCUUUGAACCUGCGAACCAGACAGAAUCCCAGCGCGAGCCCGCUGGCUUGUCUCCACCCGCGUCCCUGCCCUCGCCUUUCAAUUGAGUAAAAACAGUGGUAGUUGUCGUUCAAGGGCCUUUUGAGCCCCAAAAAAAAAAACUCAGUGAUUUCGAUUUCCGUCACACGUACUCUAUUCUCGAGACCAUAAUAAUUUGCUUAUAAGGAACUACUAGCGAAUUCGGUCAUUUUUUUUUUUUUUUUUCCUGACGGAGCGAGUGUCCAGGUCAAUUCUUACAGGUCCGACUAAUUCCACUCCAUUUCGGGAGGAGAGGUCCCAUCCCCCGAACACGAUAAUCACAGGAUUCGGAUCCUUACGUGCAUUGUAUAUCAACUUCUAAGGAGGUUUGAUGAGACCAACCAAAUUGCCCACGAGAGACGCUAGCGAAUUCGGUCCUCGACACCACAUUCGCUUAUAAGGGACUGCCUACGAUAAUAUAAUAUAUACUUUGGAGACCAUAUAUAAUUCGCUGCUUAUAAAUAACUAGGAGUAAGUAGUUGAUCAAGGGUCUUUUAAUUUGAGCCAAAAGAAAGAAAACUAAAUGACUUUGAUUUACUCUCGAAACCAUAAGUUAGUUACUUAUAGGGGCCACUAGAACCAUGGGAGCGCGCCAGGGAUGGACCGAGAAAUCUAUCGAAGACGAGACUAGACUAGAAUGGUUUUUGCCUGUAUUAUGUUGCGUUAAUCUAAACUACGUACCCCAAAAAGAUUAACAAUGAUGGACAUGGAUGGUUUUUACGCUUAAUUUUAGAGAUCCAAGUAAUUAAAAGGACAAAUCAAAUUUAUAUUUGAGAGAAUAAAUACUGUAAAAAGCAACAUAACACUUGGACAAAAAAGAAUCUCAAGUUGCAACUCAAUGAUCAUAUAUGCUUAUUCUAAUUUUGGGAUCCGAAGGUCUUAAUCAAAACUACUAUUUGUCGAGAAGCAACAGAAAAAUUAAUGUCUUAAUCAAAAUUUUUGAAUCUAUCUAUUGAUUAAGAAAACAUUUGUUUAGCUUUCUUUUCAGUUGGACGACAUAUAUAGCUCCAGCCAACUGAAUGCAGAAAAAAAAAGAAGAGUUUUUGUGUCAUACGAUGAAUAGAGCCCAAAAAUGUUGGAGAUUGAAUCUCUUUUAAUUUCUUUUCGACUAGUUAUUAAUUCAUGGUUGAUACAAUCAUAGUGUAAUUAACAACAAAAAAAAAAAACAAAUCCGUAGAAGCAUAUAUAAAGGAAAAAAAAAUGAGAAGCAGAAGUUGAAUACUUGAAUUAGAUAUGGGAUUAGAAGACUGCAAAUUAAUGAUCGUUUUCUGUUCUCCAAUCAAAACAUGAAAUUAAGAAUUCUAGAGCUUUUUUUUUUUUUUUUACUAUAUAUUUGACUAUCAUAUAGCAUUUUGGCUCAUAUAUAGAACCUAUUAUGGAAAGAAAUGUAGGGUUGGACCAAAACAAUAACGUACCACCACCACCACCGAAAGGUAAACCUAAUAACGAACCCUAUUCUUUGACAGUCAAGUCAAGUUGAUGAACAAGAAUCCAAGUUACUUCACAGUCGUAAUUUAGUCUUCAAAAACCACACGUAAUUCUACCAACAGCAAAGGGAGGGAGGGCGCUAGAUAAGCUAGCCGGCCUUAUUCUUUCCGAAACAUUAGAUGAUCUUAAAAAAAAAAAAAAAGAACAUGAGUUUCAUAAAUCUAAAGUUGCCCUUCACCCUUCAGUGCCAACCUUGUACCUACCCAAACUUUCUAAGCCGGCCACGAGGAAAUGCUUCAUAAAUGAUAGUAAAUAAAACCUUCACCACAAGCUCACCCUGUCAAACUCUCACACCCACACCUCCAACUGUGUGCAGCUUUCUGGCUGAUCUCUGUGUGUGUGUGUGUCCGAGCGUGAACAGGAAAAGCUCAGGUACACUUGACCAGCUAGCUUCUGUUGAAUGACUAAAGCUUACGAUUUACGUAAAAGUGAAAUAGACUCGAUUACUUGCAGAAAAAUUUUAACUUGUAAAAUGGUUUAACAGAAUUUUACAAAAGGAAACAAAGACAAGAUGUCUAAAUAGAUGCGUACAUGCAGAUUGCAGAUACAGCAUAUUUCUGUAGAUAGAGAGAGAGAUCUUACCUCUAAAUCGAAGAAGAGAAGAGCGAAGAGAUAUGGUGGAAAGGACGAACUUCAGCAGUAGCUUUUACUAAGAUAUCUGCAAUUAACCAGAGAGAAAGAGAGGAUAGUCGCUUUUUUAUUGAAAGUAUAGAAGACGAUCGAAGAGGUCUGGAGAAGUAAGGUUAUAAAUAAAAAAGGCUCCUCCUUUAUUGUAUAUUUUUGCUGCUGUUGCGCAAGCACACUUUACAGUACGUACAUUUCUGAUAUAUAUAUAUACACACACAUAUAUAUAUAUAUUCAUGUUUUUUUUUUUAAAUCAAACACACACAUAUAUUUAAAAUCAUUCGUAAUUAAAAUGAGGAGGAGGUGAAAAUAUUUAAAAUAUAGGGAUCAGAAAAUUAAUACAAUAGGUACGAAUUUGCAGGAAAGAAAGAGAUGAGAAGGAUUAAAGAGUGAAUUUGCUUAGCAGACAUGAGAGGACGGGAACUUUUAGGCUGCUCAAGACAUGUCCAACAAGUAGGCAUGGUGACAUUGGUUUUGCUUUAAGAAUUUUUUUGAGGAUUAAGACCAAAAGGUGGCCACCGAUCGAUGAUCAACCGUAUGGAGGGAAUUGAAUUUGUUCUCCCUUAUUAGUUCACUUUGAAAUAUUAUUAAUUGUCAAAAAAAUUAGGCCCACAAUUUCAUUGGUAAAAAGGACCUAUGUUUGAACGUAGGUUGAUUCUUCAUUCUGGCCUAGGAAUGCAUCAAAUCCUACUUUAGUUGAUCCUUAAUUUGUUUUUUUUUUUUUUUAAAGUAUUGUUUCUUGCUCGUUCUCUUGCUUUAAUUUCAGUUGCGGGGGCCAUUGGCCUUGUUUGGAUGGGAGCUUAUUUUCACCAUCUGAUCUAACAGGAUAUCUUUUUUCCUUUCUUUUCUCUUUUGUAACAGGAAAGAGAUGAAAUUUAAGAAGUGAAGAAUAAGGAACCUAACAUCGAUCUCUAUUCUUACGGCCUCAACUCAGAUAUAUAAUAUACGUAAUUUUAUUAUUAAAUAAAAAAAUAAAAAAAAAAAUAUAUAUAUAUAUAUACUCAAGCUCGCGACGAGCUUAAUAUUCUUAACUCGAGUUCGAGCUCGACUCAAGCUUGACUUGAACCGCUCGCGAGCGGUUCGAUUCGUUUGCAGCCCUACUCCCCUCUUCCUUUUACUAUAUAUAUAUUUGGUCUCAUAGAGCUCACGCACAAUUUCAUGGGCUUUUGCUUUUUGGUUAUUUUGGUGGCAGAACCUUUAUGGCUAUCCAUUAUAUCAAUUGUUAAGAUAAAUUUUUUUCCCUCUGCAACCAACACACACACAUAUAUACAUAUACAUACAUAUAAUAUAUAUAUAUAUAUAUAUCUGUAUAUGUGUAUAUAUUAUUGUGAGCAAAACAAGUUACGGCCAACAGUGCUUUUCUAUGUGUUGGUCACUUUACUGUGUUGCGGUAGUACUCCACCAUGCAAUGCAGAAUGAGAAAAGUUGGAUGUGUGGCUUUACAAAAAGCAUUAUUGCCUUUUCACUUUUGUCAUGACCAACUUGCAAAACUUUGAGAUUCCUGUCACAUUUGCUUGAUUUGGGACAAUGCAUGCAUGAUGCUUGUUUAGGCGAUUAAGCAAUCUCAGCUCACCACUUUGUAGUCGUUUCAAGAAACUCGCAUGAUUUUGGUCGUGAAAUAUCCCAAGUUACAUUUUAUUAAUUGGGCAGAGUUUCAGAAAUUUUUUCCUUCUUGUGGCAACUAAUUAACUUUAUAUCAGAUCAGAAUUUUCAAUAAUUAAACCAUCUAUGAGAUCACCUUAUAGCUUUCAAGUUUAAAUUGCAUAUAUGCUUAACUAGAAGUUCUUCAUUCUUUGGUUUUUCAUGAAUUUUAAAUCUACAUCCUGUGUAAAUUUCGAUGCUAAUAUAUAGUACAAGUCAUUGAUACAUCUAAGUGCAGAUUAAUUUAAGAUCGAUGGAAAGGUGCGAAUUUAGUCCCAUUUUACAAUUUUUUGUGCUUCAUUUUUUUUUUUUUUUUUGGUUUUAUUUUCUUUCAUCGAGAAUAUUGGACAAACCAUGGAACUAAGGCAAAUGGUCAAAAAAAGGAAGGCAGGUGUCGCUUCAUAUACGCUUAUUAUGAGUGAUGAUCCCCCUGAAAUUGACACAAUCAUUAUCUUUUGUUGGAAAGAGAAUUUCGAUAUCUAUUCCAUUUCCAUGCAUGCAGUAAUAUUCUCGACAAAUUGGUUCCCUCCUUGUCUUGCAAAAUUGAAAACUCCACAAAGAGGCUGCUUUACUAUUAUAUGCUAAUCCAAGAAAUACGUUUUUGGAAAAAUGUUUCUCCGCAAAUUCCUGCAAAUUACAGUGGAAAUUUUGUUACGGGGCUGAAGGAUCCUUAUUAAUUGUUAUCUUCGAGAUGAGACCACUCUGUCGAUCUUUUCUUCUUUUUUUUUUUUUUCCUUAUUUUUUUAUAUGUGACCACUCUGUCGAGAUGAGACCACAAGUAAAGCCUUAUUUUUUUUGAUACGUGAAGGGUUUUGAAUUUAAAAUCUCUUACUCACAAUUUCUUUUGUGGUCUCACCUUACCGUCCAUUCCAACCCUCUCUCAAGCCUUAGAUCGUAAGUUCAUAAGUAUUGAGAGGACGAAAGGGGAAAAAAAAUAAAAAAAAAAAAAUCGUUUGCGUCUGCUGUAAUAGUGUUAUGAGACAUCAUUUGAUGUGGUCAUAGAAUUAUGGCUUUUGAAAGUGAUUCUGAUCAUUCCAAUUUCAGCUAACAUUAGAUAAUGAUUAAAAACAAGAGACCAGUGAUCAAAAAAGUCCCUCAAAAUUUCCAUAAUUAGAAGCACAAUUAGAGAUAAGCCAAACCAACAAUACAGAGUCAUACAUACUAGUAUAUCUUUCCUUUUUCCGUAUUUAUAUACAAGAACGGAAGCCAAAAAACUUUCCACGAAGAAAAAUGUCAAUAUUUCGAUGGGACCUUUUGCCUGCCUUUAACAAGCAUAUAUAUAUAUACAUAUGUAUGGAGAAAGAAUAUAUGACUGGAUCAGCAUUCUUCCUGCUGUUUUCCAAACGUGUACGGGAAAUCCUAGUGCCAUAUGUACCCUAUAUUCCCAAAGCAAAUGCCUCUUUUCGACAAAAAAGAAGUUUCUGAGAAUACACCUUCUUUGCGAAAAAAGUAAAGAACAAAGAAAUUAUAAAUAUUUUGAUCAUUAACAAAGAAAUGCAUAAUUUAAAUUUUCACGAAAUCUGUCCUCAGAAAACCAUAUCUCCGGCCAAGUUGCAGAAGCUGUGGGCUUUGCAAGGCAACUGGGGUCGUCAUGGUGAUCAAUGCCUCAGCUUCACUUUUAGGCUUCCGGGGGGUCCAUGACAUUUUGAUAUUUAAAUCUUAGAGAGUUAAUUUUAUAGUAAUAUUUACAAAAUUGCAGCAGCACGAUAGAACUUCUAUGGAACAUAAAAAAGCAAAUUAGAAUGAUCUAACCAUUAAUUUAAGGCAUUAUAAAUAAAUUAGAAUGAUCCAUAGUGUUAACAAAAUACAUUCCAGAAGAGGUUUUUUUUUUUUUUUUUUUUAUAAAAAAAUUCUCUUUGCUUUCCCCAAAAGCCAAUAGUCUCAGAAUAAACCAGCUUCCAUCACCACAAUGAUCUACGUGCUUGCCACCAAGCACUUGAUUCUAGAAUCGCAAGAUUGAAGAGAAGAACACAGAUUACUGUUAAACGAAAAACACAUGUUUUCACUGUGUUUGAAUAGUGUAUUAUUUGAAAUAAUUAUUGUAGCACUUUUUGUGCUGCGAUGUAUGUGAAAUAAAAAAUAGUUAAAAAUAUAAAAAAGUGAGUUUAGAAAUGUGUUUAUGAUACAAGCAAAAUAUUAUUUGAAAAAAUUAGUUAUUCAAUUACUCAAAAAAAAUUUUUUUUUUGCCAAAUUGAUAACCACAUCGUUCAAAUUUCAAAACAAAUGCAUUGGAUCAAGUCCCAACUAUAUCAAAUUACUAGAGGGGACGGGACGGGGGAGUGCUCGUGUAUCGUGCGGGUAUUUAGUGUCUAUGGUUAAAGAAGAUUUUUCAUUGGACAAAUAAUAGUACAUUUUGAAAAGACACAGUCGUUAAAUAUGAUAAAACUAAUAAUAGUACAUUCUAAUUGCAUCACACACUUGUACAUUUAAUUUUAUCAAUACUUGUAAGUGAAUUUGGACAACGCAUAAAUGUUAUUCUAUACCCAGAGUCGAGAGGAUGUUCAGUCAAAUUAUACUCUAAAUUUCUCUAUAGUUUGCAUAUAAGCGAUAAACAAACGGAUCUUUAGGAGAUGCGAAGUUUUGGGUGAAUACAAACUAGAUUAAAUAGUAAGAAAGAAGAUGAGAUAUACGGAUCUUCAUUUUUGUUUCUAUGCAUGCACCCGCGCCAUGCAGAUGCGCUUGAGCACGCCCAUUCACACACACACACACACUAGUAUAUAGAAAUUGCCCUAGUAGGAACAUUUUGGCCAAUUAAUUAUAUUUAGUUCCUUAAUUACAUUGGAUGAUUACAACGUCAUGUGGCAAAAGGAAAAAAAAAAAAGACUGCUCGAUGAAGAAGAAUGAUUUUCAUUUUGCCCUUCCAUUCCGGCUUGAAUAAUACUACAACUUUGGGUACUUAGUUCUUUACAACAUUUUCAAAUUGAAUCAUCUAUAUUUUCAAAAUAAGCAUGUAUAAACAAAAUUAUGUAAUGACAUUUGGUAUUAUGCAGCAAGUACUAAAAAUGUUAGCCCUUAAACCAACUUGUCAUAAAAAAUAGCUGUUUUAUAUUUUAAUUUCUCUCCUGCAUUAUUUGUAACAUUCCCCAGCACGGAUUGACACAUAAAAGAAAUCCCCUAAAAAGAAGAAAAUUUUUCUGGUUCAGCUUAACAUACUAGCAGUAAAUUUAACUGGCUGUCUUUAGUAUAGCAUCUGCCAGCUCCCACUUCUUGUCGAUAUGAAUGAUGUGACACAGUUUUGAUAAUUUCCUUCAACAUAUAAACCCGUGCCAGUAAGAAUGCUCGUACAACUGGAAACUAAUGCUCGGUCUCUAUGCCAGCAUAAGCAUCAAAAUAAUUUGACACCUGUUAGCUUGCUUGGUCAUCAUUUGACAACCUUGCAGUUGCACAAAGACAAAUAUUCAAGCAUCAGAAUGAAGAAAAUUAAGGGGAAAUGCAGGGUACAUUCUGCAAAGAGAGUGAGAGGUAAAUUAAGGUGCCAUACCAUCAUCAUCAUCUUACUUUGCUUCAAUGAAAAGUGAUACAGCAGGAUGGCUCAAGGAAACUUGGUUUUCUGAUGCAAAAAGAAAAAAAAAAAAUAGAGUCCUUUAUCACAAAAUAUAUUUAAAAAGAAACUCACUUGAAGCUACUUAACAUACCUUCUGAUUCCACGCGCAACCAAUCUUGGCCACAUACUAAAGCUUCUCGAGUGUCUGGAUUGAGCGAACUACGAUGAUGAUCAAGCACUCUACCUCUGUUGCUAAAUACCAGAUCUCGUCCAAGCGUGGCAACAGGUAGCCCCAGAACAUCACGAGCCAUCAUGGACAAGAUGGGAUACCUUGGGGUGUGAACCUUCCACCAAUUCAAUAUGUUGAAAUCAUUGUUACGUGGAAAGACUGGUUCCUCUAAAUACUUGUCAAGGUCGGAUAUCAUGCUCUGACUUAUUGAAGUUUCAUGAAGGAACUUGUCAAAUCCUCUCAGUCGAUCUCUAGUUCCAUUAAUAGUACUAGGCAAGCUACCAUCAGGCAGAGCAGAAUCUUGAUCCACCGAAGACGAGCUUACGGCAUACUCACUGAAAAGUCCCCGGAUACCAUUGGAAACCUCCUUGAUGUGACCCACAGCAUCACUACCAUAAAUCUGAGGAUAAUAGUACUCCACCAACUUCAUCUUGAAUCUGGGAUCUAGGAUUGCAGCUAUUGCCACCGCCAAACUGCACUUCUUCCAGUACUUGUCAAACUUGGAUUUCAUCUUCACUGCAAUAGAACUUAGAAAAUCAUCAGGACUCUUGCACCAUUCUAUCAAUUGAAUGUGAAUAUCACAUAGCUCUGGAAAGUACAUGUUUGCAGUAGGAUAUUUGCACCCAACAAAAACAUUGGUAACUUCAAGGAAAAGUUUCAUAUAACCAGUAACAGCACUUGCCCACUCCCACUCUGUUUCAGAUAGAGCUGUCAUAUAGGAAGGGUCGUUCUCUUGUAGGAGAGAGAAUGCUCCCUUGUAUUCUACUGCUGCUUCAAGCAUCAAAUAAGUUGAGUUCCACUGCAUUGGGCAAUCAACAACUAGAUGCCUGUCUGUGCUAAUCCCAAUCUGCUGAGAGAACUCAUUGAAUUUUCCUAGUGUUGUUUGUGAACUUCUAACAUGCCUAAUGCUUUCUCGGAUUUUAUCCGUCACAUCUCGAAGUGCUUCCAUGACAUCUUGAACGAUAGAUUUCAGAACCUGUGCUGCACAGCGUACAUCAAACAAUUCACCAUUUUUCAGAAGAGGUUUGUUUUGAGACAGCCAAUCCUUAAUCCUGAAGACCAUAUCAUCAUACGCAAAACAAUCAUCAAAUGUCAUGGAAAAUAAUUUCCUUUCAACAGCCCAUUCUGUCAGACAUUUGAUAACAACUUCAGAAAGGAUGUCAUCUGUAUGAGAAGGAUCCAAAGUAAUGAAGUUCAGUAUCUUCUUCUGUAGCUUCCAGUCCCCAUCAACAUAGUAAGCUGUCAAAGACAUAUAUCUUGCAUUUUCUGAUGAAAACCACAUAUCAAUGGCAAGACUGAUCCUGGAAUGCAGAUUAUGUACCAGUUCAUAAACCUUCUGUUUCUCCUUCCCGUAUAUUGUCAUACAAUCAAGUUCAGUGGCACUAUUACUCGCAACAUCAAACAGGGGUUGCAAAUUCUUCGCAAAUAUUUUAAAUCCAACAUGCUCCACCAUAGCUAGUGGGUAACCAUGUAACAUUAUCAUACGGGCAAGAUCCAGUCUACUACGCUCUUGAUCAAAUUUAGCACUUGCCAGGCUGACAGCCUGACUAGGUUCUUCUUUUCGCGGUUCUGGAUCAAUUCUGUAAGCAAUGGGGGUGAUAAUUUCAUCUUUUCUUGGCACUUCAUCAUAUGUGAAAUUUGUAAGGCUAACAGCAGUAUCCUUUCUCUUUCUCUUAGCAGCUAGAAUCUGAGAAACAUCAUAGUUGGAUCUCUUCAAACACCUUAGCAAAUGAUUCCGCAAAUGAGUUGUUCCGCUGUUACUCGAUCCACUAAGCUUCUUCUUACAAUGUACACAAACAGCAUAACAUAUUUCUCCCUUCCUAACUCUUUCAAAAUGAUUCCACACUACAGACGUCAACCUCUUCGUCUUCUUAGCAGGAGUCUCAACAGGAAUUUCCAUAGCAAGGACUUACUUAUUAAGCAUUUAUAUCUGCAUUCACCACAUUAAGACAUGGAGAUUAAUUCUUGACUGGGACUGAAAGCAAAACAAAAUACUUAAUGCUCGAACUAAGCUGGACUAGGCAAGAGCUUGUUGGAGAAUUAGUUCGUCAAAAAAUUCAAACCAAGCCCAGAAAAACAUUUAUUGCUGAUCAACAGUUCAAGCUUAGCCUAAUAAACGUAACAAAGCUGCUUGAGCUUGCCUCAGUGUCAAGCUCGUUCAUAAAUUCAAUUCAUGCUAAACAAUGUAGUAUUCUAUUUGAUUAAGCUCGUUUACAUCCCAUUAACCACUACUUCCAUGAAAAAAAUUUCGCCACCAAUCAACAACACUACGAAAAAAGUAUCCUUGACAGUGUAACUUUCUACAGUGGAUAACAUAAAUUUAACCAGAUUUUUCAUCUAACCUACUACAUUCAGAUCCUUAAGCAACGAUUUUCUAAAAUCUACAAGAAAAAAUAGAUUAAUCAUCCUUAAAAACCUCGAAAUUCCAGAAUAGAGUUACUAAGUUCUAAUCCAAACAUCUGAAAUAUAAAGGUUCACAGACACACACAGACGCAGUGACUCCGAAAGGAAAAUGAAUUCAGAAAUUUCAGUCACAAUAAGCAAAAAUCAGAAAAAUGUAAAACAAUUCACGCGAAAGGGAAAAAAAAAAUUUCUCAGCAGUUGGUAAAUUCAGCGCACAAAUAACGUCAAUUUGCUAAUUUAAUUACAAAAAUUAUAAUCCAAAAAAAGAUUAAAAACAAAAACCGGAAAGUCAAACGAAUUCGGGUUGGAUCUUACAUGGAUCGAGAAAAAGAAUCCGGAUCUGAAGCUGAGGUUUCUGGCGCUGGAUGAGAGAAAUCGGUGAUGCUAACAGGGAAGGAUCCGAUCGGAGGGUCCGAAAAGCGGUAGAAUAGGAUACGGAUUACAGAGUCGUGAGGAAAAUGGAUAUUCUGAUCCGGAAAUGAAAUCUGGGGGAAUUUUGGGUAUACCCAGUGGGUAGGUUGGUAAAACGGAUGGGUCAAGGCAGGAGUUGUAAGGUAGUCUAGAGCUAACCGUGGGUUCUGGGUCCGGCUUGGUUAAGGUUAGUUGGGUUGGGUUGUAUAAUGCGGGUUUUGGGCAGGGGCCGAACCUCCUUGGGCUCUGGAUUACCGUUCUCUAGUUAUCACUAGGGCUGUAAACGAGUCGAGUCGAAUCGAGUUUUGGAUUAAUCGAGCUGAGGCUCGACUAAAUUUUAUCAAACUCGAACUCGAGUUCGAACUCGACGAGCCAGCAAAUUUAAAGCUCGAGCUCGAGCUCGAAAAAAAAUAAAAAUAAAUAAAAUAAUAUUUUUUAAUAAAUAAUAAAAUAUUAAGAAUAUAUAUGCAAUUUUACUAUUAAAAUAAGAAAAUAAAAAAUAUAUAUAUACUUAAAAUAAAAAAUAUAUAUAUACUUAAAAUAAAAAAAAUAAAUAUAUAUUAUAUAUAUAUUCGAGCUCGCGAGCCGAGCUUAAUAUUUUGAGCUCGAGUUCAAGCUCGAUUUUGACUCGAUCCGUUCGCGAGCGAUUCAAUUCGUUUGCAGCCGUAGACUCAUAAUUACUCUCCGUUAAUAGUGGUACCAUGUUUUGUCUAUGAAAAUAGAGAGCAGUAACAAUCUAAUUUGUCAUUGGGAUUUUCCUUUCUUUCUCUCUUUUAGUAAUAUAAUAGUUUGGUAGGUUUUAGGUAGGGAAUAUUUCAUUUUUACCUUCACUAUUAAUUUGACUUUUGACCUCGCUACCCCUUUAAAAAUAUUGUCAGUAAAAAUCUGUAAUAACUAUUGCAAGUGAAAGGUUUGAAAUACAGUAGUGAGUUUUUUGUGUUCUUAAACUUGUUCAAAUUGAAAAUUUGACUAUCGAUUUUUUGGUUCAAAUACAGAGUAAAACACCACAUAUUUCCUUCUUUCUUGAAUUUCACUAGCUCCAUUGAGCUCCUCCAAUCAGAAAUUAUUCGUCACUUGGUUAUUUUAGCAAAAAAAAAAAAAUUCCUUUAUUUAUGUUUUAGUUGGGAGGAGGAGCAAGAACGAUAACAGUUCCUGAAGAUUCAUGGCCAAGAUUUGACAAAAGAAAAAUGUAAGGUUCAGAUUGCAAUUUUUAUAUCGUUUUUCAUAUCAUGUAUGAGACGCACAAAAUUUUGUUCUAUAAUUAUAUAUUAUUGAAAGUGAAUUACACUACUAUAUUUACAAAACCUUCAGAAGCAACCGUUUCCUGUCCCCUCCAUUUUUUAUUUUUAUUUUUUUUCUUUUCAAACGAUAAGAGAUCCUGUCCCCUCCAUUUAGACGGUGAAACUUGGUACAGAAGCGAGAAACUUAUUAAAUGCAGAAAACUACUAUCAACUUACCACUUUUGUCAACCAAAAAUUAUCCCGAGAAUAGAAACGCUUUUUUUCGGCGGUAAGUAUGACCUAUCACGCUCUCCAUUUAAAGCUAAAAACGCUUCAAGCGAAGUAUCUAAAUAUCAAAAGCGUAAAUUGACUGGUCCGACAUCAAAGUCCUCCAUUUCUGGCCCGAGUUUGCCGCCAAAUCAAGCAAUCCCACUUGAAAAAUCCCAGUAAACAUACAUAUUCACCUGUUUGGUGAAACAGCAAAAUCACGAUAUCCCUAUCAGAUUCGUUAAUAUAUUACAGUAGCAAGAUUGAAUAUGGCGAGAAGGCGGUUAUUGCUGCUUUUGAAGCCGUUAGAUGUGUACCCUUCUCACCAAUCAGACAAGCUCUCUCGCUUUACCAGCCCCAAAGUACGUAACCCUUUUGAUCUCAGCUUACACUAGAGACAAGAAGCCUAGAAAAAGAAUCCAAUAAACCCAUUAAUUUCCUCAUUUACAUUUGUCUUAUUUGUGAGUUUUUAAAGUCUUUACUGCCUGCAGACUAACUGUUUGAUUAUAUGUUACUGUUAAUUGUUACUUUUGAUCUUUUUCAUUUGUCUGCAACAGAAUUUAGUAGAGUUCUUUGUUUGUUUUUUUGUUUUGUUUUGUUUUGUUUUUUUUUUUUUCCUUUUGCUCAUGAGAUAUGGUAGUAUAAGUAGGAAAGUAUUACCGAGAGAAGAAGUUUCCUUUUGCUUUUCGAAUAUUUUGCAUGGACUGUUUAAGACCUUUUCAUUUCACGGGACUGGUCUGAAGUUUUGGGAGACCAGAAAAGUUCUGCAAUUGCUUAGUGAAAUUACAUAUGGAAGUUUCUGUUUUUGUCCAUUAUUUGCAACUAAUACGUUUCCAGCUACUACAGAUUUUAUCCCAGCGGAUCACAAUUUGCUAUUGGGUGCCUAUAUGUUUUCUGUUUCUAUUAAAGUCACAUAUGUCUGAUAUCUUUUCUGUUGAAGAUGACACAGGUCAUAAAUUAUCUAGACAAUAGGCGCACAGUUCACAGUAAUGCGAUAAACUUCUGUCAGAAUAUUUUGAAGAAAAAGUUUGUUGAUUGGGACACUGUUUAUAGGAGCAAUCUAUCUCAGCCAAUCCGUGAUGUAGAUCUGGUUGUCACUAUAGGAGGUGAUGGUACAUUGUUGCAGGCAAGCCAUUUCAUGGAUAAUUCAAUCCCAAUUCUUGGCAUAAAUUCCGACCCCACUAAAGCUGAAGAGGUUAGGUUAUGUCAAUAAUAAAUAUGAAGCUGGGAUGCUUGUGUUUCACUCUGUAAAUUUCUACCACAUCAGUUGAUAAAUUUAAGGUACAUGUGAUUGUGUAAAACCAAAUUCAUGUCAUUUGCAAUAUAGGUGGAAGAACACAGUGAAGACUUUGAUGCUACGAGGAGCACGGGCCAUCUAUGUGCAGCAACCAUUAAAAAUUUUGAACAGGUGAGAUUCACACUCACCUAAUCCAAACUUGAUCAGUUAAACUAUAAUAAUAAAGAAACAAUUAACUAUAAACUACGAAUAGAAACUGGUAAUUGCGGGUGCAUACUUUAGAGAGCAUCUUCUACUGGGAAUUUGGCUUGUUAAUAAUCCUUUUUACUCCUAUUUUCUAGUGAAGCCUAAUUUCAGAGAUUGGUAAAGCCUAGAUAAUUCAGUUCACAGAGAAGUUAAAACCUAGAGUUUAGUAUAAGUUAGAAUUUUUACUGCAAAUUUGGUUCUUGUAUUUGAAACACCCCCCGCCCCCCCUCUUUCUCUCUGUCUCUCUGUAGCAAACUAUCUGCCAGAGUAAUCUACUUCUGAUAAUAUCUCGUCUGAAAGUUGUCAAUUGGACCUUCUACUGCUUUUGUUGUACACAGCAAUAACUAACCUUAAUCUGUAAAACUUGACCAGCUACGGCAACAUUCCUUUUUUAAUGGAAUUGAUCGUUACCACCCCCUGGAUACAUGAGACUUCUAGCUUAGUUCUUGAUUGUGAUCAUCUUGCAGAUGUUGGAUGACAUCCUUGAGAAUCGGGCUGUACCUUCUGAAGUUGCAAGGAUGUCCAUAAAUGUCAACUCUAAACAGCUUUCAAUUUUUCCUCUUAAUGACGUUUUAAUUGCACAUCCAUGUCCUGCAACAGUCUCAAGAUUCUCAUUCAGGUAAAUCUCGCCCAUAUAGGUAAUACAGAAUUUUAGAUUGUUUAACUAUAGCAACUUAAGAUCCUAAUGCACAAAUUUGUUGCGCCACCCUUUACAAUGUUUGCAUGUGCUUGGGCUCUUUUAAAAUGAGGAAUGUUAGAAUGGUCAGAGGAAAACUCGCCUCUGUCAGAGUAUGAGCUUCAAGCUGAGAUUGCAAAUAAAACAAAUAUGGCUAUAUUUCUAUGCUGGUUUCAGUCGCAUAAUUAUAUUGUUCUCUGUUGACAGAAUCUGGAGAGAAGGGGAUCAAUGUUCUCCAUUGCUGAACAGCCGAUCAAGUGGUCUGAGAGUAUCAACAGCUGCUGGAUCAACAGCUGCAAUGCUUUCUGCUGGUGGAUUUCCAAUGCCCAUUUUGUCUAGGGAUCUCCAAUACUUGGUGAGAGAGCCAAUAUCUCCUGGAGCCAACUCCAGUGUGCAUGGAGUUGUAAAGUCCAAUGAAUCUAUGGAAAUCAAAUGGUUUUCUGAAGAAGGGCUAAUCUACAUCGAUGGUUCCCACGUUGUGUUUUCUAUUCAAUUUGGGGACAUGAUUGAACUAUCUCCCAAGGCUCCAUCACUAAAUGUCUUUUUGCCUUCGCACUUCCUAUCAUAAAUUAUCCAUGAAUUUUCUGGGUAUAUUUGUACAAAAGAAAUAGACAUUUGUGUACAUUUCAUGCAUCUGUAAAUUGCAAUGGUUACAAAUAAAUUUUUUUGAUUAGGUAAUGAGAAGUUCAUUUUCUUUUAAUGUCAUAUUGUACACUAUAUUUGUUGUGGCUCGAAGACUGGUUCCUUGGCCUUCUCCUUUCAGUUGUAAGUAGUUCUCAUCAUUAAAACAUGUCAGCUAUUCUCCACGGCAAUAAAUGCAUUAGAAUAUGAUAUGGAGCGCAAAGACAUCUAUAACCAAUGCCCACGUUCUUGCUGUAAAGAUUUAUGGUAGCUUACCUAUAAUACUCUUAUCACCUUCUAUCCAAGUAGCGGAAUUUCCGUCUUAACGGACUUUCAAGGCAAAGAAUUGCAAUGAGAUACAGGUAGACUAGUAGACAUACAUAACACAUCUGAAGCACAAAGUUGUAGUCUAGAACUCCAUUAUGACCUGUCCAUGGUUUGUAUUACAAAUUUACAAUGAUCAUUUAGCUGAUAGAGCAGCUUAUUUGUUAUUUCCCCUCUAGUUGGAGCAGUUGCUUUAUCAACAAGUAUACUCUGUGCAAUUUCCUUCGUGUCAAAGAUAAUAAAAAAAUCUCAUCUGCAAUAUGAGCCCUACUUUUCCCUUUUCUCUUGAAAUUGUCAAUCAAAGAGUCAACAACAAGAAGGCCACCAAUCUACAACCUGAAAAAGGAAAAGUUCUUGUAAAUUCAGUAUUGAAUCAAGAACACUUUAAGCAUAAUAUUAUAGGAUUUUUGCUUACGUGAACAAUUGAGGGCGGUUUCGAGAGAGCUGAGGCCUCUUUAUUGGUGAAAGGAUGAGAUUCCUCAAAGUCAUUGACGGGUUGCUAGCACCAGCUCCUCCACCAGCACCAAAAACAGGACGAACACCAGCCCUUUUGUUACCAGCAUCAACAGGGAUUCCAGAUUGUCGCGCAGGUGAACCACUUGAGAUGUCAAAGGGGCCAGAGUUUGAACUGUUCUGCCUUGCAGGUGGCCAUAUAUCCUCUCUUGGUCCUGGAGUUUCAGGAGUGAGAACCGACCAAUCUGCCACAAAUAAGUUACUAGUAUUUCUUGGCUGAAUACAACCAGGACAAUUGAAGAAGGAAUAGUAUAUUGCGCAAUAUGUGCUUAAAUAUACUCAGUGAACAGAAUGCCAAAAAUCCAUCUCAUCAAGUCUUGAUUGCGAUAAAAAGAACAGGUUUACCUUUUCUGAUAGGGUCUCUGUUAUCCAUCACAUUGGCAGGAUUUGAGAACAAAUCAUGCUCUGCCCUUGGAUAGAAGUUGGGUGCAGGUUGAAUAGCGGAUCGUUUCGUUGACUCAUACUCACUUCUCAAUUGGUCAUACAUCUCAUCCAGCUUUCUUUUCUGUCUGGAAUAGUUUGAUAAUAAUACUGGUCAGUGGUGUAAAAUCCACAUCAACGAGUCACAGUAGGAUGACGUUCAGACUGACCUAGACUUUUCUGCAAAUUUUUCCUGGAGCUCUUGCUUAUCCUUAGAUAAGCUCUCAAUCUCUUGCUCCAUCAUCUGGCACCUCUUAGCCAUUUUCUGGUAUGCUGUAUGUACUUGCUCCAGUUUUUCAGUGAACUUUUCUUGCAUCACCUCACAUUUCUGCCGGCACUGAGCUACUAUUCUAUUCAUUUUAAAUUGCAUCUCCAACUCCUUUUGCCCGAUGUAGAACAUCACACUUCUGUAUGCACUCUUCAUCACUGUGUUCUUUUAGGAAAAUCAAACAGAAGAUCCGAUAAAAUUGUUUCUCAUACAAAAAGUUUGAAACUAAGCAUGUGCCUUGACAAAUCUAAGUGCUUCUUUUGCAUGUUACACAGCUCAAAAGUUCAAGUGAUCCAUUUAACUAGCCUGCAAGAGCAAAAAUCUACAGCUUUGGACAAUUUGGCAACCAUAAUAAGGUUCAAAAGGCAUAUCUUUCAGUUCUCUAGAAACUUCUGCCCUAUUCCACCAGAUGACUAGCCAAAUUGAAGUAUUACUCUUUAAUAUUCCAAGAAUUCUACCCUGUUUUCGCUUAUAACAAGCCAAUUCUGAAUAAUGAACGUCAGAAAAUUCUGAAAGAGUUAUUCAGGAUACAUAUUUGUGGUGAUAUCCCAGCCAUGACCAUCUGCAAAAAAAAUGAAAAUUCACCAAGUUUUGAUACUUAAACAUCAGCAAUGACAAGUCUUAGCAACGAAAGAAAGCCAAGCCACAAAAAUAAAUUAAUAAAUAAAGAUAGCUUAUGGAAAGCACAGAAAGUUCGAGGAGGGGAAUUCUUACAUUUGUCCAUUCAUCACUUGGAUUGAUAUCCACCGAUUUCAUGAGGCUGGAAAAUCAUAAUUCAUUAUAGGUACAACAGAAUCAGUGGAAUGUCAUAGCUAUUAGCUAAUGCCAGAAUUAAUGAUAUUAGUCAUAUAACUAGCUUUAGUAUAGGGUCCACCUCGAAACUGUGCAAAGUAGUCCAAGGCCAAAAGAGAAGAACAGAGUGAUUUUUGUGUUAUUGUAGUAUGGUGUUGCUAGUUUCAUAAUCCAUGAAACAUGAGACAUGCAUUAUCAAUGUCCAAGCAGGUUAUCUAACAAAAAGCUAUUAUGUUCACCAUCAGCAGCUACUUACCUUUUAGAGAGCACCUGAUCACAGAUAGGGCAAGCAGCAUCGUUGCUGAGAAUCUUACUGGCAUCCUCGGGACCUGUUAAUGUUGUUAAGGAGUACCUUGCCCAACUAUUACUGAUUCUAAAUUUAAGGGGGGGGGGGGGAAAUUACAUUAACUGCAAAAGGAUCUGCACUAUCUAUUGCAUUGGGAUACAAAGAAGGUGGCCACAAGUGGUGGAAACUGCCUGUCCUUCCAAUUCUCGCCAGCAUGCAUUGCAUCUCAUUUCAAUGUUUAGAUAGAGGUGACCAAAUAGAUAGGUACAAUAGGGAAAAGACCUGAUCAAUAUAACCAAGUUUCAACAUGCUUCUCUCAUAGAUUUGUGUCUCUACUAUGCUGUGAUCCAUUAGUUUCAAAGAAGACAACUUAGAGAACUCAAGCAACAAAUCAAUUAAUCAAUUUCCUCCAGAAACAAUAAAAGCUUGGGUCGAAACUCAUUUUUAAGAUGUGAUAUUUGGAAUCACAAGCUACAGUGCUAAGCUGAUAGCAUGAUCCAGAUGUAAGACGGCUUUUGUCUUAAGAUGCAGAAUGAUCUCUUUUUUUUCCAUAUUUUGCAUUCAGGGAGGUGGAGGUUAAAACUGUUAAAAGAAUGUAGAAAUACAUAUCUAAACAAUAAGAGAAGUAUAUGUUUUGAUGUUCCUCAUUUUCCUAGUUAGGCUACUGAUCUAACAAUGUUAACAGCCAAAUCAUUUAGUAGGACCAAUAAUAAACUAGGAAAUCAAAACUUGGAAAUGGUAACUUCAAUGCAAUCUAACAAUUAACCAAAAUGCAUCGACACUUGAACACAUGUACCUCAGUUAACUUGCAGUUCAUAACUAUUUGCUCCAAAAGAAAAAAAAGAGUUGCAGAUAGAAGCAAUUAAACAAAGCUUGAACCUGCUCUAUUCAACCUAAAAAAGAAGCAAGAUUCCAAUAUUAAGUUGGUAAAAAGACCAAGGAAAAAAGAAAAACAAGAAAAGGAAAAAUUUUCUAGUAAAGAAACUGUAAUAAUUAACAAGAAACGAUCAUUCGGCAACAUCUCAAAUUUCAAAUUAAAUGACAAGAACACACUAUAUUCAUGAUAUCAAAAAGACAAUUCGGAGUUAAUCCUGCAAAUUCAACGCUGCAAAUACAGAUGCGACAGCAUGGCACUGAAAUUGCAAUAGGCAUCAUAGUAAGAUGUAGAAUUAACUGUGAAAAGUCAAAUUCCUCCAACAGAAACAUCAUCUACAAUAAUUGGGGAAAACUUGAGAUUGAACUUUGUUCCUUGCAGUUUACUCUCUUAAUCACCUAGCCAAACAAGCUGAAUGUAACUUUAAUCAAGUUCAAGACUUUCAAUCUACUAAAUCAAGCAGCGGAGCAAAUAAGGGAAAUUAAAAUCAUGCGAAAUUUCUCAACAAAAUGCAAAAGCAGAAAUUGCAAGCAAGAGGAUAGAGAUUUUAUUUACCAGAUGAUAGAAGAAAGUUCUUCUUACGAACUAACUCCGUCGCUCGCUUCUUCGCAAAAUUCCUAAUUUCAAUAGGGAGAGAGAGAGAGAGAGAGAGAGAGAGAGAGAGUGAAACUGACAGCUUCGCAAUAGAACUUACGAAUGGCUUUCUGAUCGAAAUGUAUCUGAAAAUUAAAUCAAAUCAUUCUCAUCGCAAAUUUCUGACAAUGCAGGUGAAUUACGGAAUUAGCAAUUGAAUCCAAGCUGGAAUUGCUUUUGAACGGAAUCGGAACUUCUCUCUUUCUCUAUCCCUUUGGCUACGUUUGGGUUCAAGUAAAUGUUAAAAUGGCGGGAGUUUAUACUUUAAAUAGGCCUCUUAAUAAUUAAUUAAUAGGCUCGACUCCGCAUCUUUGGCUGUUCAGACUUCAGACCUUAAUAGCGCUAAUUUUAACCCAAACCAACAAAUUUUUUUUUUUUUUUUUUUGGAAAAAAAGAGUAACGCUUUGCAAAUUAUGUACAAAAAAAAUAUUUAUGAUGCUCCCUCAUUUUGCAAGGGCACUCGUUUUCAGUUUGUGAUUAUGUGAUACAAGAUAGUAUGUUGGUGUGUUUGGAUUGAGAAGAUUUGAAAUAAAAUAAUUUACUUCACAAAUUUCAAUUAUUUUUUUAUCUUUUCAAUCAUUCUUUUAUCUCACAUAUAUCACAUCACAAAAAGUGUUGCAGUAAUUAUCUCAAAUAAAUCAUCCAAAUAAACUCUUAUCCAAACAAAUAUGGUGCUAUUUUUUGUCCAGGCAAAAUAUUCAAAAAGUUUUAAAAAAAUAGGGCCUCAUUAACAAAAUAAUGUUGUCCCCUCUAAAAUUUUUUUAAUGUCUCUUUUGAACUUAAGUUGGCCCCUCUUUAUAAAUUAAUAAGUUCAUUUUGUGGGUGAUUUCAUGGUUGACGGUGCAUACAAAAUUUCGUCACAUGAAUUUUUCGUCAUUUACUUUUAAAAAGAUAAAAUUAUGUUUCUUACAAAUUUGAGUCCGUAAAAUUUGAUUCUAACCUAAAUUUUCAUCACUUUUUACGCUAAAUCUAUCACAUGACCUACAUCAUAAUCAUUUUUCAGGAGCAAAAAUAUCAGAUUAUUGUAUCAUGCUUAAUUACAUUUCUCAUCCUAUAAAUUACAUUUUAUCAUGCUUAAUUUUGAGCCAAAUUAAUUUACCUCUACUACAUUGAACAAUAGUGUUGUUUUCUUGAAAAAAAAAAAAGGUAUAAUUAACAGAAGUCAUUUUCCGGCAAGCAUUGUAGUCAUUUUCAGUCCAAUCGGUCGCAACGGCAUAGGUACAUAACUCCACCAUUUCGCGUUGUCUAAUUAACUUUCUAGAAUACCACCUCGUGGAAUAUGAAACUCUACCAUGUUCCCCCGACCACCUUCAUUCAUCAAUGUAAUGGGACCCUUGAAAGUUGCUCCAUUGCUUUUGUACGAGUUUUUUAUAUUGGCUAAAACUUGGGGUAGAUUCAUUUUCAAAUACGCAAUGAUCCAUAUUGUGCCAUAUUACUCGGUAAAUGGUAUAAUACAAUUUGAUUAGUUGAAUUUUUGAAAAUCGAAUCUACUCGUGUACGAGUCUUUUUAUAUUUUUGUAUUUUGAAUUGGGAUAAUUUCAGAAACCUCCUUUGAGGUUUCUGACAGUCUCACUCUUCUCCCUCGUGAUUUCAAAAAUAUCACAAAUCUUUCCUAAGAUUUAGAAUUUUGUAACAAAAUCAUCCCAUUAUGUCAAAAGUGAACAUAAAAAGUGUUUUCAGGAAUGAGAGGGAAUUUUAUUUUCAUAAAUGCCCUGAGGUAGGUGUACAAGCUAUAUUAGUGAAAUAAUGAAAACUAAUAAAAGCCAAAAAUAAAUUAGAAACCGGGGAUAAUUUCAGAUAUAAUAUGUUAUUCAUCAAUAAUAUUAUAUCAAAAGCUUUUAUUAGAUGGUUAUUUGUUCCAAUUGCAUAUUAAAUUAACCAUUAGUGCUUAUGAGAGUGCAUUAAAUAUUUAGUAGAGAUGCAAUUUACUUCAAUAAGUAGCAUGUGUAUAAAUACUUAAUGAAUGUACAAUCUGGUUGUAAUAAUAUACACCGUGUUAUCGACCAAGUACGAUGCAUAGAAAUUAUUGAACAUGCAAUUAUUUGUUCACAUGCAUAUUGCAAUUAGUCAUCGCAGCAAUAUGCAUAGUGCAAUGGUAUGUAUACAUCUGAAAUGGUUUAUUGGUGCUUUGAUCAACUUGUGCAUCUCCUUACAAACUGCAGUGGGUAUGUUAUUUUAUCUAUAUGACUAAUACUAAUUUGCCUAUAAACACCUUACACGGGGGUGAUCUAUGAGGUACAAUCAGUUUACAAAUAUAUACAUUAUGUUAGAUGUUAGUUACUUGACCGUAUAUAUCUAUAAAAGGUAGUGUAAUGGUACACAUAAAUUUUGAAUGGGUAGGUGUUAAAAAAAUGUACAUCAUGUUAGGUAUUAGUUAUUUGACUAUAUAUACAUGUAAAAGGGAUAUUAGAUAUAGCGUAAAAAAAAGUAAUUACUUGAGUUGGAAUAUAUUUUUCCUGAUAAUCACGAAAUAUUAGCUGACUUGUGAGGGUAUUUAAGUCUUUUUGACCAUGAUGAUGUAAGAAAUGUGAACUAAAUUCUGAUUGGGGAAAUUUGUGAUAUUUUUGAAACCACAAAAGAAAAAAGUGAGACUGUCAGAAACCUCAUGGGAGGUAUCUGAAAUUAUCCCUUUUGAAUUUGCACCCCAUACACUCUAUUCUCCGUAACCAAUGUGUUACACUCCUUUAAAUCGGUGUAAAAUUUGCACAAUUUAAUGUAUUUUUCUACUGAAUUGACAUAAAUUAAUAUUUAAUGUAAUUUAUACUCUCAUUUUUUUUUAUCGAAAAUGAUAUACAAGUCACAUCGAACAUUGAUUUACACUAACUCAACAAAAGGAUGCAUUUAAUAUUACUUUUUUUUUAAUACACUAAUCGAACAAUUAAUCGGACAGUGUAAAAAAGGUAUAACAACCAAAUGCGUGAGUGUGACAAGGAUCCAGAGCCUCCAUCAUGUUGGCCAAAUAGCAUAUUUCCUCAUUCCUCUUCGUCUUUUGCUUCUUUCAUUCAUCUCGUAUUUUAGUUGUUGUGGCUGAGAAAAUUUCUCCAUAAUAGCAAGUAGGGUUCAAGAAUUCAAGAUAGCACCAAGCUUUAGGCGGAGAAGAUAUUCUCAGCACAAACUGCACGCUUUUCACCCCCCCCCCCCACCCCCAGUAUCUCAUGAAAAGGACUAUUGGGACCAAAGCAUAAUCACGUCGUCGGCAAUCGGCAUGCCCUAAUACUAACUGCAUGGUACUAAAAUAGAUUUUGAGCGGUAAAAAUUUAAUAUCCAGGUAAAAUCAGUAAAGUUUCUUGGUCCUCUUCCUGUACGACUUAGCAUGAAGUGUAUUUUUUCGAUUUAUGCAUUAACACACUGUCUAGAUCAGCCUUUUAUUUUUGACAGGGCCCUUUUCAGUAUUCAUAUACUUCUGAUUUUUUUCCUUACCAAAAAUAAUUGAAUAUUCUCUUUACAUUCUACUGAUUAAACACUACAAAGUUUUAAGAGAUGGAGGUAUUGCCGCAGAAGCUAUAAUUGAGUAAUUUUUGAAGGCACUGUAGCAAUGAUUUAGAUAGUUUCAAGUGUCGAUUCGUUCGUUAGUAAGAGUGAAACUAAUUCGAGAAAAAUAUGUAAAUAUAAGAAGACAAUAAUAUGUGAGAGUGUGGUUUAUAUGUGUUCAAUAAGUGUCGGAACAAAAUUUAUUUUUAAAUCAAUCAAACAAUUAUACAAAACUCGCGGAUGAAACAGUGAUUUAGUAAUCGAGAUUAAAAUUUCAAGAAUUAGAAAUUCCGUAGAUUCUACAUUUAAAUUCCCCCGCCGUCUUCCCGUUUCGUAUGUCCCAUCCAUUCCCUGCUACGGAAAAAAAAAAAAAAAAACUAUACAAAUUGUUAGUAUAAUUUUAGCUAGUGGACGGGAACUCGAAUCUUGAGUCUUGACGGAGUAAAAGUACCCAAAAGAUAUUUAGAUGGACAAAGCAAAGAAGAUCUUUUGAUUUUGGUCCUUCAAAUGAAUAGCAAUUGCUGCUACAUUUAUGGGGUCCUCUGCUUGCUUCCAGUUCCAGCAAGGCGCGUGCCAGUCUUGAAAAAAGAUCCCAACUCACUCUAAUAACCCGUGCCAGCUCAGCGGGUCAGAUCCGUACUCGCUCCACGCAUUCAUAAUUUAUUAAAGACCCGACACGCAUGCAAAGCAACCGCCUUACCCUUCCCAAAAAUCCCCACAAAAAUAUCACAGAGACAACUACUUUUCUUCUUUCCUUAAACCCCUCUGCCCACUUUCUCCUUCGCAGUCUCUCAUUUCCACCCACUGCCCUCGUUCGCUCAUUUCAACCCAAUAAUAAUAAUAAUAAAUAAAUAAAUAAAUAAAAAUAAAAAAGGGAAGGGAAAAUAAAAGAUUGAAUUGAAUUUCCAAGUGGGUUUUUGAGGCGGAGAGAUUUAGGAUAGGUAGGAUGAAGAUUCAGUGCAACGUAUGUGAGGUAGCUGAAGCAAGUGUACUGUGCUGUGCUGAUGAGGCGGCGCUUUGCUGGGCUUGUGAUGAAAAAGUUCAUGCUGCUAAUAAGCUUGCUAGUAAGCAUCAAAGGGUUCCUCUUUCUACCUCUUCUUCUCAGAUGCCCAAGUGUGAUAUCUGCCAGGUUUGAUUUCUUUCUUCUUGUUGUGGGUCUUUUUUUUUUUGGUCUGUUUAAUUCAGCUGAAUUUGAUGAGGAUUGUGGCUUUUAGUUGUUAAUUUCGUUUUUGGGUAUGAAGGGAUGCAACUGGAAUGUCGAAAUUAGCAUUUAAUUUGAUCAGUAGUUGAAACUAUCCCGAAUGGAUAAAUUUAUUUGAUUGGUAAAGUUCUAUUUUAAAACAAAAAAAAAAUUAUGAUAUGGUUAUUGGACAUUUUCCUGCUUUAAUAUUUUAUUUUUAUAAAAAAGUUCUGAUGUUUAGUUGUUAAUAUGCUUCUUGAUGUGAUGGGAUACAAUGGGAUGCUGAAAUUUGUAUUUAAUUUGAUUAGUGGUUGAAAUAUCUGAUGAAUAAGAUUAUUUUACUGCAAAAGUUUUUCUUUUUUAUUCUCCAUUGGUCUUCUCUAUGGUUAUUAUAUAGAGGUGAGGUAUGACCUGUUAAUUCAUGAUUGGUUGAGAAAGUGAUGAUUUUUCAACCUUAUUGUACUUAGCUUGUGGUUGUUAUCAAGCGUAUGGUACGAUUUUUUUGGGUUAAUGGUUGGAUUGCAUGCUGUGUCCUUUAGCUAAUCCAUUGAGUGGUUAGAUUGGUUUUAUAUAUUCUCUUAAUGGCUUUCGGGGGUUGGUAGUUGCUGAACUAUAAAUAGGUGUAAGCUGCCUCUGGUCCCUAACUUUUACUGUACCUAAAUUAGGAACGAUAUGGGAAAUAGAUGCUCUAUUUUUUUUUAUGUGGUAUUGAAAUAUUAAGAGGACAGCGAUAGACCUGGUACACCUAUAAUGGUUUAUUUAAUUGGGUAAAGGUUGUAUAUUUUUUUCUUGCCGAGUGUUAUGCGUGACGAAUCUCUUUCCUUAUCUAAUGCAACAGUUUUGAUAUGUUGUGGAAAUUAUGUGCAAGGCUUUGAUGUGCGAAUUGCUUCGCUUGUUUAUACUGAGCUUUACACUGAGGUCUGCCAUGUUAUUUUAUUGUAUCAAUGUGUCUGUUUCAUCAAGACCUUGCUUUUGGCCCACCGUUAAGCAUCAGAAUUAAUAAUAUAUAUAGGUGUAAGCUUUCAUGGUCGAGUAUUGAAUCAAUGAUUUAGUUUUACUAGGAAGUAGUAGAUUGGUUAAGUUUCAUUAUUUGAUUUCUCAGUAUCUACAUUUUUCAUCAAAACAAUCAGAGUAUUUGUAUGUCUCUAUUACUUUCUUAACUGCUAAGAUUCCUGAUGAAAAUUAAUCCUCUAAAUGAACUUAAAAACUGAAUGUUAAUGAAGAAUUUCUUUAUUCUGCAGGAGACAGUUGGAUACUUCUUUUGUCUAGAGGAUCGAGCUUUGCUCUGCAGGAAAUGUGAUGUUGCCAUCCAUACAGCCAAUACCUAUGUUUCCACUCACCAGAGGUUCCUCCUUACUGGAGUAAAAGUAGGGCUUGAACCUGCUGAACCUGGGUCAUCAUCAUUGACAGGGAAUUCUCACUCUGGUGAGAAAAUAUCAGAAACUGAACUCCGCCCUUCGAGGAGGCCUGCUCCUGUUUCCUCCAGUAGUCAGUAUAAUAAGGUGUUACCCACCCAGGUCAAUGGGGUUGGGGAUUUUGUCCCAACAAAGACUCGUUUAACUGGAGGUUCUGCAGCUGGAAGUAUUCCACAGUGGCAGUUUGAUGAGUAUCUUGGGUUAAAUGACUUCAAUCAGAGUUACAAUUAUAUUGAUAAUGGUUCAUCUAAGGUAUGAUUCAGGUCAUAAUGAAUCUUGUGGCAUUUCUUUGAUCAACAUAGGUGAUAGGCUAUUUCUAUGGCCACUGGCAACGUUCAUUUGAUUUCUUGAUCAUACAAUUCUCCAUAGGGAUAAUGGAUAAUUAGUUUCUUACAGAGUAUGUAUAUUACACACAGAGUAAUUGUUUAUUUGCACUUUGCAUAUGUCUGUUGUUGCUUGUGUAUGAACUUGCUUUCAGUCAAAGGUGAAGUUACUGCAUGGAGAACUGGACAUGUGUUGCAUUCUCUUGGAGUGGAACAAACUCCAGUCUUCCUGUGUACAGCAGAUGUUACAUGGCAUUGCUUGAUAUUUACAUCACUCAAGAAUCUAGUAGGGAGCAAAAUAAGUAUUGCACCCGGUUUUGAAAUGUUUGCAUGAAACGCAAGGCCUGGGCACGAUUCAGAGGAUAUACGGAUUGUCCAAAAUGGUGCUCAGAAUCCUAGGAUUAGCAAAUGUGGUUGGAUGGGUUUAUCACUCAGGUAGAGGUCUAGGCUCAAUGUUGGUUUAAUUGCUAAUCUAGAGGUGCAAUUGAUUUACUUAAGUUUUCAGGUGCAUUAAGUUUCAUGGUGCUUGGAAGAAACUAGAGCUUAUAUCUUACUGCUUGUGCCCUUAUGGACUUUUGAGUAAACAAUCACAUGAACAUGCAAUCUUUUUCCUUCAACUUGGAAAGACAUCGACCAGGGAAAAGAAAGACGCAGAAAGUUAAUGAAAGAGGGAAAAGGUUGGAGCCUGGAGGGGUUGGAGAGGCACAGAAAUUAACCCUUUGCAUGUCUUUCAACAAGUGACCAGUAUUUCGUGGUGGUCCUCCCUCAUACCCCAAAAAAAAAGAAAAAAGAAAAAAAAAGCCCAUUUCCCUCAUCUUUCUGGAACUUGCAGUUCAUGAUAUAUAACCGUUCUUUUAAGGUUAAUGAUAUAUAAUCGUACUUUUUAAUAUGUACCCUUCAGCCCUGUGUUUGUUUACUUGCUAGUUCAUUUUGGUUUCUUGAAUUUUUUGUCAGUUCCUAGUAGGCUGCAAUUUCAGGUGUUUAAGGGGCAGAAAGGUUUGGGAAUGGCUGAUUUGGCUAUUCUGUUGACUGACCCAACAAGAGAAUUAGGACACACUAGGAGAGGAUUUGGAACCCUUUCAGUACAUUAAUUGUCUGGAGGAAUUGAACUUUUAUUCCAAUGGAUAUAUUUAUAGGCCUUGUUUGUUGUUUGUAUUUCAUUUUUGAUGCACCUUUGGAACUGCUCUUUUCUCCUCUCAAAUCCCAAUUGUAACCUUCAUAGGCAACAUUCUCAACUUACUGUGACCCUGUAGAGGUCUGUAGGGAAUAAUAGCCGAUGCAGGCCCUAAUUGCCCCUGUUCUUUCGGUGAAUUCUCCCAGGCCGAUAGUGGGAAGCUUGGAGGCUCAGAUUGCUCCUCAAUUUUAAGGGCUGCUGAUGAAGAAUUAGAUGGUGAUGAUUGUUUAGGUCAGGUACCAGAAGCUUCCUGGGCAGUGCCAGAAAUUCCAUCCCCACCUACUGCCUCUGGACUCUAUUGGCAGAAGGCUUAUCAGAAUCCACCUGACACUGCGGUCUUUGUGCCUGAUAUAUCUGGCUCUCCUAUGCAGAACUUGUACAAUCAUCAGUCACAUGGUUCAACCUUCAAAAGGCGAAAGCAUUUCUGAUGUAGGCGUCCUCUGAAUUUUCCUUGCUUUAGGUCAUAAAGGAUCAAAAUUCUCUCAUAAGUUGGUGUGGUGUUGUGUUUGAAAGUAGCUUCGUUUCCUUAGAUUUAGAGCAGUUAUAGUAAUUUGUAUUUGCUUUUGGUGUCAUUCCUACCUUAUUGUAAAUAUAUUGUGUUAUUGUUCCAUUUGGGUGAUGUAGGAUUGUCAAAUUAAUACAUGAAAAUGCUGUAUCUUUAAUGUCUCCGAGUGAAAUGAGAUCUGCGUUGGAUAUUGACAAGGAUGUUUACUUGAAUUUCAUGACCAUUGUGUAGGAAAAAUAGCCAAAAACAAUGUUAAUUAAAACUAAUAAAAUGAGGUUUGAAUGGUGCUUAAUAGUACGGUUCUAAGAAAUUUUUUCAAGAGGUAGAAAUGUUUUUCUAGAAUUAAUCAAGCAUUUUUCUUGAAAUGGUUUUCGAGGAUUAAAUAAGUCUUCUUCUUAUUAUAAAUAAGAAAAAUCAGAACUAGUAAAUGUUACGUAAAUUCAACAGAUAGUGGAAGAAGAAGAAGAAGAAGAAGAAAGCUGUCAGGAAAGUUUCUAUUGUCAGCUCUGAGUGUGCUUUCUAAAGUGAAAGUAACUGCUAUUUAUAGGUUUUAAAAAGUGUGCGUUGGAAAUGAUAUGUAAAAUGUAAAAGAAAAAUUUGAGUGUCCAUUUUAAAGUGGGAGUAGUUGCCAUUUAUAAGGUUCAGAAAGUGUACCUAGAAAAAUUUGAGUGUGCUCUUUAAAAUGGGAGUAGCUGCUGUUUAUAGGGUUUAGCAAGUGUACGUUGAAGAGGAUAUGUAAAACGUAAAAAAAUAGUAAUAAUAAAUUUUACUUCUUGCUUGUGGGAAAAUUAUCUCUGGCCGUAUUUAACUCAUUUGCAGAAAGGGUGCAGAUCCAUCAGUUUGUAUUAAAACGGCUCAAUUAACUUUUCUCUCAUACAUGCACGUGAAUACAUAUUAGUUACCAAUCUAACACAAAUUCAAUAAAAAAAAUUAAGCAUUAUAAAGUGAUGAAAAGUCCGUUUGAUUUUUUAAUGUGGAAUAAGAACUUUUAAAAUAUUCAUUUAUUUACUGAUUACUUUAGAAUUGUAUGGGUAACUUACGAGCAUUAUAUUUGAUAUGAAAACAUAUUGGGUCUGUUAGGAUAGAGUGUUAUUUGAAAUAAUUAAUAUACCAUUUUUUAUGAUAUGAUGUAUGUGAGAUAAAAAGGUGAUUGCGAAUACAAAAAAAUGGGUUGAAAAAUACAUUUAUAAUGCAAGCAAAAUAUCAUUUAAAAAAAUGGAGUAUUAUUUGCAAAAUUUUUUUUACUGACAUCAUAAACAAGUUUUUUAAACAUAUUUUUAUGUUCUCAAUUAAUUUUUUUCUCAGAGCAUUAUUUCAAAUAAUCUCUGUCCAAGGACACAUUUUUUUUGGGAAUAAAAAGAUUAUGUGAGGAAAAAAGAUUAUGUCAGAAGCUGACACUUGUCUGCUGGAUGAGUUCCCCAUGUUUGAAUUUAUGUCACAUUUGAAGGAUCUGUAACGGUGAAUGAAUAAUAUUUAGUUUGGGUUUCCUCCGUGGAGUACUAGCGGUCCUGAAAAAUGGAUGAUGAACAUAAUUCUCUGCAAGUUGGUAUCGCGGAGAUGAAAUUUUCAGUGAAACAUCAGGGGAUUAUCUACUCUUAUCCUCUUGUUUUCUCGAAAGGAGCAGCAAAAGAGUACCUGUUCUGUAAUUAUACAUCAUCAUCUUCUUUAUUUGUGGCUUCUAAGUUUAACAGCAAAAGGCUGUGGUGGCAGCUCGUCUUAAGCCAAAUAUAUGGUCUCCGGCCAGUGAAAUUAGUAAUGCAGGGGGCACCUCUCUAGUCUCUCCCCCGUGAGGAAAAAACUGCACGGUGAGAGCUUCUGCUGUCCUUCUAAUAAUAGCUACUUCGGGAGUUUAGAAUGGAAAAGAAAAAAAAAAAAAAAAAGAGAAAGAAUAAGUCAGAAAGGAAAAGAAUCCAAUUUUUUUUGUAAGUUGGUUGGGAGUUUUAAAAAAGAAAAGAAAGUAAAUAAUUUCUUCUUUUUUUUCUGGGAAUUGAAGAAAAAUGGAAAAAAUAUAUACUCAAAUAAGUUAAUUUACAAAUACGCCCUUCUUAUAAACAAAUGUGAAUUAAGUAACCUAAUGGAGAUUUGGCCGUUUGUAAUGGUGGGAUUCAUCGGAGGAGAUUAAAAUUUUUUUUUGUAUCACGAUUUUAAGGAUAAUAUUUGUUAUAUUCGAAAAAAAUUCACUUAAGGCUUACGUGUCUUCCUUUCUUUUUCACCCAACUUUGGGGAAAAAGUUUUCAAAGAGAUUAAGGAAAGUCAGAUCUUUUCUUUUCUUUUUCAUUUUUACUGUCAAAUAAUGGAAAAAGUUUCAUAUCUUUUCAAAACUUUUUCUUUCUAUUCCUUUCCUUCCUCCCAAGCUCAAAGCAACAUGCAUAUGGCCCCCUCAAAAUUUUCAUUUUUGAGGUUUAGAGAAUAAUAAUCAUCCAACAAAAUUACUUGAUAAAAUGGAGGUGUAAUACAGAGAUCACACAGCUACUAUACCGGAAAUAAAAGCUAUUUUUUCCGUCAUCAAAAUUAGCAAGCUUAAAUGCGGAUCUUGUCUAGCCGAAAAAAGAGAUUGGCUUCCAAUUUCUGCUAGGACUUAUGUAUUUGAAUACAAGAUUCCACACUAAUAUACUAUGAUUAACUCUUGUUUUUCUGCACUUAAUCCAAAUCUUGUUUUUGAUUUUAGUUGCCUUCGGUUUUGUCUUGAUCAACACUGUUACUGCUGCUUGCACUUCCUUUUACUUCCUUGUGCAUGAGCUUCAACACUCUCUCAUAAGCUCCAAGGGCCAAUUCUAGCGUAUCAAUGGAUCUUUUCCUGUCCACUACUGAAACUGCCAAAUGCUCUUCCAUUUCCUUCAUCUCCGUGAUUGGAACAUACAGGUCCUUCUUACCAGAGAAGCCCAAAUCCCAUCUACCAAAACCAGCGACACUUUUUCUCAUCCUAGCCAAAGCUGCACUGACAUGACCAUUUACUCCUGCGGCUACUGCCAUCACAUUACUGAUGCUUCCCGUUUUCUCUUGAUCAACAACUUUGAUCAAAUCUCCUCGUCCCACGUCCCAAAAGCAAAGUUUUCCAUCUUCUGAUGCUGUAACAAGAUUCUUUCCCCAGUUCAUUGUGGCCAUGGAUGUGAUUGCAUCAUCAUGCUGCCUCUUCCAAGUGAUCAAUUGAGGUCCUUGUUUCAUCAUCAUUCUGGAUCUCACCUUAAGUGCACAUUUGUACACCAAUCCAUCUGACCCUGCAACAUAGAACUCUGACUCCAGGGGGUCUACUUUCACCUCCCAUAUUGUACAUGGAAAUGUAAUUGAACGGAGAGGUGAUGUGUGCAUGAGGCCCCAGAACUUGCACGUGCAAUCUGACGAGCACGAAAUUAUGGUGCAAUUGCAUCCACCGGUGCCUGUUGUGAUGGUCGUUACUGAAGAUUGAUGGCCAACGAAUCUUUGCAGUGGUGCCGAAUAGCUUGAACUUCUGGAAGAAAAUGAAUCCACAAGCCGAUGUAUAGGGAACACUGCAAUGGUUCCGUCAUCACUGCCUGAGAAAAGAAGUGAUCCAUCGUCGUUGAUUUCCAGGCAGGUUAUGGCUUUGGAGUGGGCAGCAACAGACAGAAUUAUAUCUCCUGAAGGGAGUGAGAUGGAGUGUACAUGACCAGAUACACCACCAGCAAAGAGAUACGAUCCGUCUCGAGUAGCAACAAGGGGUGCAACAGGUUCAGGCAUGGGGAGUUGAUGGAAGGGAGCGGAGUACCACCAGUGAUAGAGGUGAACUGAGCCAAGGCCAGUGUCUGAACAAACAUGAGAAGCAGCAAUCAGCUUCUUACCGAUCAUGGUUAGCCCUUUACGAGGCGUUCGACUGCCAUUGUACUGACCCAGGCUAGAACCUGAGUAAGCAUCAUAAGCAGUGAUUCGACCAUCAGGGGAGCUAGUAAGGACAAACUCUUGCACAAAUGAUGCCAUUUUCAGGCCGGAAACUCGAAUGAAGAUUGUGAGCUUAACACGAGAAGGGCAUGCUUCUACUAGCUUUUACACAUGUAGCUGCUGGAAACUUGGUCUUAGAAAAGGAGUUGGCUCUCUACUCAAAACUGUUUUAAUAUACUCUUAACAAGUGGCAAUGUAAAGGGCAAUUACAGGUUGAUUUAAACAAACUGUCCAAUACAGUAUAUUUUGUUGACAGACACAUAAUCAUCCAGAUGGAGCUUCCAGGCCAGUCGAAUAAGAGUUGCAUGAAACUGCCUUCUGCCUGAAGUCAACCUUUAGUUUUCUUGCGUCAUCGUGUUUCAUCAUGCUGAUGUAUGCAUUUCUGCUUUUUCUUGAUCAGCCCUUAGCAUUUUGAUUAAUGGCAGUAUUUACCUCCUUUUCCUCCGCAUAUUGCAAAACUACGCCUUGACAAUUCUUUGAAUUUGCAAUGAAGAAAAUUGUGGACCUUGCAGCCAGAUUUGCAAAACGUAUUAAUUGAAGAAAGGACUUGUCACAAAAAUCUGAUUCUUACAAAGAUGUCAAGCUGAUGCCUUAGCUACGUCAGGCUAUCUUUUCUGUUCAAGAAAAAGGGUAUAUUAAAAUACCCACCAGUUGAGAACUUGAGAUCAAGAAACCACUUAGCAGGUAUUCAAAAAGAGCACUGGACAAUCGCCAGAUCCAGCCAAUACUCUGCAUCUUUUUAAGUAAUCGACGAACCUCUAAUAGAAUAUUUUUAGUAACGGAAAUUAAAGAAAAAGGCAAAAAAAAAAGGGUCCAAAUCCAGGCUCUAAUUUGUCCUCUAAUGCUGCAUUUUCUUAAUCAGCAUGCACUGUUGAAACUCUUCUUGAUUAUAAAGUUUACCAUCUGAACCCAAUCAUUGAAAAGCACGAAAUAAUGUAUCAAAGCAAGAGAAUAAGUUAAAAAUGUUUUCUUGCCAAUCAUCUAGCACACAGUCGAUGCUAAUAACAGAGCAUGAAAGUACAUAAAAUUAGUUAAUGAUUAGUUCCACUAAAGUUUACAGGCUGGAAAAUUUUCUACAAGCGGUGAAGAAUGACGUGCAACGAAUUCAGAAGAAAAGGUUCAGACACUUGCACUAAAUAAAGAGAUUGGGUUAAUCACUACGUUGUAUCUCAGGGGUCACUCAUCGAGGAUGUGUUUCUCAUUAGAAUUCACAAUAGCGGGCUAUAUCCUGGAGU
rnacentral:lncRNA from 1 species